rnacentral:lncRNA from 1 species
GGGAAGUUAGACUGUUCAUGUUAUGUGGAAAAACUAACUGUGGGCAGUUAUAGAUUUCAAGUGUCUCAAGACAAGUUAGGUGUCUCAUACCGUCGGAAAGGGAUUUAAAUCUACCACAUUCAUGAAUGGCCAAAGUUCGAAGAGACCUCAAACCUUGCAAUAAGUGCUCUGAUAAUGACUCGAUUUCAUUACAGCAGUGAAUUGUAAGAGAUUCUAAUGCACUAAGAGUGCCGAAUUCAAACGUACCAGGUAAUUCAAUGAGUUUGGAAAAUUCAGAUAUGGAAAGUGACUUAAGAUUACUGUUGUUAACAAUAGACUUCAAUAACUCUUCAUUUCCUCCUUUAGCAAAAAGUGAUUUAACAGAUGCAAGGGGUGGCAAUGUAAGUUUGGGGACAUUUCUUAUAUCUAAAUUUAAAAGUUGUGGUAGCAUCUCUACUCCUUCGACUUCCAAAACCCUCUCUAAAUUUGGUAAGCCUUUCAAAGUCAACUUUUUCAAUGACGUAAAAGCCUUCUCAGUCGCAGGUUCAUACAAAUCAUCAUCAAUGUACUUUAUAUCUCUCAUUCCAGAUACAUAAAGAAUAUCUAAACAUGGUAAUUUACCAAAUGGAGGAAGCUGCCUGCAGUUUUUACAGUCAUAGAGAAUAAUACUAACUAAACCUCUUAGAAUAGAAGUAUUUCUCAUCCAACGAGGAAAUUGUGUUCCCAUAUAACCAUCCACCCCAAUAUGCUUAAGUCCUGAAUGGGGCUCAAGAGCUUCAAGUACUCGCUCAGCAUGAACACCACUAACUUUUGAAUGAUCCCAUGACAAAUAUAAGCGAUUUAAGUCUUUCUUGCCAAUCAAAUUAGCUUUUCUAGCAUCCUCCUCAAUUGACACAUUCUCAAGGCCUUUGAUGUAUAGCUUGCCUCCUAAUUGUAAGUUGUGUAGCUCUGCUAAACCAAACCCAGUUUCUAAACCAACUAUGAAAUAGUUCAAUGUUUGGAGACUAGUUAACUCCCCAAUUUUAAAAGGAGUUGAUUUCAAUGAUGGACAACUUUUAAUAAUGAGAUGUCGAAGGUCCUGCAAUUUUGUGAAUUGUUUUGGAAAACUAGAUAAAAAAUAACAACUUAGAAGUUUAAGUGUUUGCAAUUUUUGAAGUUUACAAAAAGACGCAGGCAAGGUUGUGAUAUCACUUCCGUAAAGAACCAAGUACCUCAAAUGUAUUAAAUUCUUCAAUGACGAGAGUUGAUAAGAACUUAUACAUAAAGCUCGGAGAGGAGUGCUUGAUAGAAACGCAUCUAAAUUCUUGCAAGGUCGCGUAUACUCAAGGAAAGUUCGCAAGGAAUCAACUUUUUGGAAGGGAAUCAUGUAGUCAUCUUUUGAUUUGUUAUCACACAGGCUGAUAUGGUGAACUCUAAUUGGCAAAUUAGUCAACUUUGAAACAUCACAAGAGACACAUUCUUCUCCCAUAAUAGACUGAGCUAAAUCAUGGACUAAAUCAUGCAUUUUAAAUGUAAUGUUACCUACUAAAUCUGAUUCGACUUCUUGAAAAAAUGACCUUUGAUAUAAUUCAUUCCAUACCUCAUUACCAACAUGCUCCAUCUGUAAGUUUCCUCUAGAUAUAACAAGUCCAUUAGCCAUCCAAAGUUUAAUGAGUUCUUCCUUAUCCAUUUCAAAAUCCUUAGGAAAAACAGCACAAAAAGUAAAACAUGGCCUCAAUGACAAUUUCAAGUUAAAGUAGCUCAGUCUCAAAGCAGACAUGACAUGGUUAUCAUCAGCUAAAUUCCAAAACUCACUUUCCACCACAGAAAUCCAUUGAUGUUCAUCGCUUUUAAAGCGUAAAAGGCUUCCCAAUACUUUAGCAGCAAGAGGUGAACCCACACAUUUUCUCACUAACUUUUGGCCUAUUUCCACAAGAUCUGCACGCCCUUCUCUAUUUGCUCCAAAAGCAUGUUGUUUGAACAACGACCAGAUGUCAUCAUCAGAUAACUGUGCUAAAGGAUGAACCUUAGUUCCCAUGAUGGAUGCAACAAUCUCAAGUCUGGUAGUGACCAAAAUUGAUGCACCUUUCUUUCCAAGUUGCAACAAAGACUUUAACUUAUUCCAUUUCUCUUGGUCUUCACUCCAAACAUCAUCAAGAACAAGCAAAUACCUUUUGUUUUGCAAAAUAUCUUGAACCUUUUUUUUCCUUGACUCUAAAGACAAGAGAUCUAGGUUUUUUCCAAUGGUGUUUUCUAUGAUGGACUCUAAAAUUUUCAGUAAACUGAAAUCAUCCGAAACACACACCCAUAUUUUCAAGUCAAAAUGUGUUUUUACCCUUUCAUCAUUGAAGACCAUUUGAGCGAGUGUUGUUUUUCCUUGUCCGCCAACACCAACAAUGGAACAGACAGAGAGUUCUUCACUGUCGCUAGCAUUUAGAAGAAACUCUACAAUCUGCUCUUUAUCUUUGUCUCUUCCAUAUACUUUCGGUUCGGUGACAGUAGAAAUAGUUUGGCGCCAUUCAUCAUCUCCUCGUUGCUGCUCCUCUGUGACUCCCACCAGUUGAAAUCCAAACUUGAUCCUUUCUUCAGCAAUAUCAUCAAUCCUUUUAGCAACCUCCUUCAUCCUCUUUCCAAUGUUACGACGAGCCAAAAUCUUCAUAGGAUGAAAACUAGUGAUGCACUUGUUGCCUCCAUGUGCUUUUGAAGUUAUUGAACAUUCAUCCAAUAUAUCAUCAAGUACAUAAGCAGCGUCACCCAGUUUUUGCAGCCAGUUCCUCACAAGAUCGUUUGUUAUUUGCUUCUUUUCAGCAUCUUUUAGUACAGCACGAAUUGCAGUGAGAUUUCCAGAUAGCCUUUGGGUCAAUUCUCCAACACCCAAAAAGGAUGCAAUCUCCUCUCGAACAAAAGAUCCGAGGUUUUCUAUCACGAUUCCAAGUAAAGCUUCAGCCAUUUUGUAGGUAUGAGAACAGAAAUGAAACAAGGUUUGGUUUGGAGAUAGACUUUGCUUUUGGAAGUUGAAUAUGCGUUAUUAUUUGUUUUCAUGGGCUAUUUAUUAAAUCGGUGGUUGCAGUUCUGAUGCAACUUGUCAAAAAUAUUUAGUGCAUGACAGUGAGGAAAAGUUAAUGACAGCAGGGAAAAAACAUGUUGUUAAGGUACAUGGCAAUGAAGGGGAAAAAACAAAUUUGGAAAAACAACAUGAACUUACACUGAGUAGAAAAGUUGUUCUCUUUCAAAGGUAUUGUUAGCAUUUUUUUUAUUCAAUCAACUUACAGGAGAAAGUAAUGGUUAAAUGGACUUGAUUAUUACUUUAAAUUCAGCAAUGUGAGACUUCAAACAACAUUAUUAAUAAUAAUACAUAAUGAAAAAAUAUUGAUCCUUAAAGAGUGUUUUAGGAGCAGUUGUUAACAUUUCCCUUCAAUAAAUAAGUUUUGAAACCAAAUAAUCUAUCAUAUUUAACUAAAAAGUAUAUAGGGUUAAUAGUAUUUUACCCUCUGUAAUAUAGGUCAUUUCCGGUUUUCCCCCUGUAAAAUAUUUUUUUUGAAUUUCAUCCCCUGUAAUUUGAGCAAAUUUAGGUUUACCCCCUUGUAAUUUGAAAAAAUUUCGGUUUACCCCCUUGUUAAUUUGAGCAAAUUUCGGUUUACCCCCUACCAUAUCUUCGAUUUUGUACUGUCAAAAUUCAUGAAGGUCCAAAAUAAAAAAUCUUCAAAUUACAAGGACGAGAUCCAAAGAAAAUAUUUUACAGGAGGUAAAACCGGAAAUAACUUAUAUUACAGGGGUAAAACACUAUUAACCCUAGUAUAUAUGUGCAAUAAUAUUUCACCUAAAAAAGUGUAAAUUAAUAGAUAAGUUUUUGCCAUCACCGACUAAAUAGUACCUCUCACCCACUUCACUUUGAAAGUUGAUGCAACCUUUAAUUUUGAAAUGGUGGUUGUAUAGGUCUUAAUAGAGGCCCCGGUGUAUGAAGUCCACCUUAAGGUUAAGUUUUCAUAACAGCUCCUGUGUUUAUGCAUGGUUUUGGUUUAAUUGUUAAAUCAAAGACUUUUCUACUUUGUUGUAAAUGUAGCUAGCAAGAACUCUACCACAUCAGUAUUUUUGUUUUGAAGAGUCAAACCAAUCGACCAAAAUUAACAACAGAAAAAAUAAAACAUGAGAAAACAAAAAUUCGUUUUAGGAGUUAUUUCUUUCAACAUAUAUUUUUUCAUACAUCACCGCUGCAACACCCUACGACCCCGAAUUUAGAUUAUUAAAUAAUACAAGUGUCACACAUACUCGACAUUUCAUUAUUCAUGAAACAUAGAUCAUAAUUCAGCACCACAAUUGUUCAUCAAUUUCAAAUGAAACAAAUUAAGUUCUCAACACCAUGGUAAAAUAAAUCAAAAUUUCAAAAUUUUAACUCCAAGAAUCAUAAUCAAACGACAAACCCCAAAUCCUAGUGUUACAGAUCAUAGAACGUAAUUCGACAACAUAGAUUUUUCAGUAAUAAAAUAUAAUGGAAGGUAUAUGAAAUGAAAAAUCAAAUUCGGUUUUGUUUUUUGUCGUCAACUUUUUGUUGUAAGAUAAAAAAAAAUGUUUUUUUUUGGUUAUAUUAUAUUAAAUUUUGGUACAAGAUGACAGAGAUGUGUUGAUUUGUUUAUUUGAAUAUCAUACGCAUUUAAAUUUAAUGAAAUUGUAGCUCAUGUCUCAUUUUUAGAUACUUUCUUUGUCUCAUAUUGAUAAUGCGUGUCACUUUAUGAUAUUUUGUAACUAUUAAGAAAAGUUGUAAAUUAGUUGAAGAUAGUAGUUGUGUAAAUUAUAAUUGAGUGAUAACUAUAGAAAUGUUGAUGUUAUUAGGCUGAACACCUUCAUUCAUGUUUGAACGGAAUUCAAAGUUGUUUAUGUGAGUUUGAGGGUAUGUUUGUCACUUCAUCUAUAGACAACAAAAAUACAAGUAUUUACAGAGAAGCGUAGUGAAAGAGUAUGAUUUUGAGAUAGAAUUGCAAAGAUUAAAAAAACAAAAAAAAGUAACACUUAAUUUGAAACAUUUUUAUUUCGUUAAUAUGAUUCUUUAAAUGGGUCGUCUAAUAUUUAUUAGAACAAACAUCUGAUUCGUCUGAGUGAUAAUGGGCUCGAAAACAUUAAGCAAGUAAGGGGUUUGAACUUUUUCUUGUGGUAUAAACAUGUUGUGAAGGUACAUGGCAAUGAAGGGGAAAAAAUAAAAUUGGAAAAAAAGUUGUUCUCUUUCAAAUGUAUCGCUUAAAUUGAUUUAACGAACUUAAAAAAUGUUUUUGAAGGAAACAAUACAUGUACUUGUUUGCAAUGAAUACUUUUUUUUUUUUUUUUUUUUUUACAAAAGGUUAGGUUUGGCAAAUUUUUGCUGGAAAAUAUUACUCCCUCUGUCCUAUAAUACUUUACACAGUUGACCUUAUUACGUAUGUCAAUACAUAACUUUGAGCUUAAAUAUCUUGAAUAAUAUAUUAUAAAAAAAAUAUGAAAAUUUGAUAUUUUAAAAAUACUCAUCAAAACAAAUCUAACGACAUCUUAUAUGAUAUUAUUUAUCUUUAUAUAUUAGUAGAAAAAUACGGUCAAAGUAAGUUAGGUCAAAAUUACACAUUUUCAAAUGGAUCAUCUAUUGCGGGACUGAGGGAGUACUAGGCUAAAGCGGUUUAACCUAAAAAUUGUAGAGUUGAAAUUAUCAUUUAACUUAAAGGGGUUGAAUGGCCAUGCACAACACACGGGUCCUCUAAUAAAUACUUUAAACCAUACAACCACCAUACAUUGGGGCCUCUUGUAAGACCUAUACAACCACCAUUUCGAAAUUAAAGGUUGUUUUAAAUUUCAAUGGGAAUUGGGUGAGAGGUUGUCGUGAGAAUAAAUUGAGCUUACUAUUUAGUCGGUGAUGGCAAAAACUUAUUUAUUAGUGUACAUUUUUUUAGGUGAAAUAUUAUUGCACAAGUGUACUAUUUAGUUAAAUAUGAUACAUUAUUUGGUUUCAAACCUUAUUUAUUAAAUAAGUUGUUGUCAUUUUCGGUGGAAACAUGUUAGAUCGUUCGUCAGAGUCUAUAACUCUGCUUACUUAUUAAAAAGACCAUUAAUAUAUAUAGAUAAGAUUAAGAUUUACAGAUAAACCUAUCAGGACUAACUUGUCGGUACAUAUAUGUUUUUCUUAAAGAUGUGGUCCAUAUAUGUGUAAUUACAUAUACUCCAUUAAAUUGUAAAUUUUCGGUUUCUCAUAAUAUCCAUUAACACAAUUUAUUUAUUUAUCUUUGCAACUUUUGUUCUGCCAUUUAGGAUUUCCAAUGAGCUACAAAUAUUUUGGUAUUACUCUCUUAUUCCAAUUCCAACAUGUAAACAUACUUUUUGGUAUUACCCUCUUUCUUUGGUGUUGGUGGGGUGGUGUCUUUUCUAUUUUCGAUUUUGAAUUUGCAGUUUUUCUGCGAAUCCUAAUUGUUUGUAUAUUUGACUCGAUUUAUUAUUUAUAAUAUUAUAUAUUGCCAUUAAAAAAAAAAGUCUCUUAUUGUCAUUCUCAUAUAAUUCCAAAUUAUAAAGUAGCUCAUUAGUUACUAUUUAGUUUAGUAGGAAGUUUGUUGCAAAAGUUAAUGAGAAGACAUGCAUAUUUUACCCUCUCUCAUGGCUUUCCUGCCAUUCAUAUUAUUAGAUGGAACCACCAUUUUCAUCCUUGAGUUUUUUUUUUUUAGGGACCAAUAUUAUUUUCACAUUGAUUAAUCAGUUUCAUCGAAGGAACAUGUUCUAAGAAGAGAGGAGAAAGAUAUUAGGUUAAAAACUUUUUUAUUUUAAUCUACUUGUCAGUUCAUCUCAUCUCCACUAUUAGGUACACAAAACCUUUGAGCAUGUGCACAUAGCAAAAAAGGUGAUGGACGAAAACGACCUAGCUAGAGCUUAGAAAGAACGACCUAACGAGAAUGAUAUUUGCAUUGGAUAAUGUGAGUUUUUUUAUUUAAGAGGAAUGAUAUUUGCACAUAAAAAUGUGGUACCUUUUACAAAAAUCUGUUAGAAUUUCUUCUAAUAUUUUGUGGGCUACAAUCAAUUGUUGGUUUUGGUUUUAAUAAAAACGGACUGAUGUAUGUUUAUGCCCUAAUAAAAGUGAUCAGUAGAUAAUGAGCUUUUUGGGCACUUAAUUUGAUUUGUGUAGAAACAUAGUGUAGACGCAAUCACUAGGCCCAUGAUGGGUGGUACCUAGAUUGCACGGUUAUAAUUAGAGAGGUUAGGUCCCCUUUGCCAUCACUCUCACUAUUCUGCUUGGUUUGCCCCAUUGAAAACCCUAAGUCCGAAGCAUGUGAAAGGCAAAGGAAGACUCUUGUCUCAAAUCUCGGCGAAUCCAGUAAUCAUGGUUUACAAGUAAGUGUGUUCUAAUUUCAUAUAAUAACUCGAUGUCGAUAAUUAAUUCUUACAUGUGUAUUGAUUUAGAACCCUAAAAUCAAAUGUUUUUGGACUGUAUCGCAUAGAUAGAUUUUUAUAUGUGAUGCAUUACGUGUUGUUGAUGCCAAUAACUAGCAUUGAUACAUGUGUUCAUAACAAUUUACAGUAUUCAGCCUUCCGAUUCAUAUAUGUCUUCGGUUUAUGUGCAUGUAUGCUAUAUAAGUUUUUUCGUUCUUCAUGAUUUUUUAUUUUUUUUUGUAUGUAAGCGUGACCAAUUUUGGUUUGCCAUAAAAAUCAACGAGACAAGCACUAAUCCUAAUUUAAAUUGCGUUGGAUUCUUAAAUUGUCUAUCUGUCAAUAGUUCAUUGGCUAAUGCAUUUUAUUUGGUUGGAUUCUUUAUUGUUUCCAUUCAAAUCAAAUCCAUUAUUUAUUUAUACGUGUAUGCAUUGAGCAUUAUUUGGACUAAUUGUGCAUUGAUCCAAUUUUGUGUUACUUGCAUAUUGUAGUAUAGAAAAUUUUCGGUCUGCACAGGUGUGUCAUUGAAUUUUUUUCAGAUAAUAAAUUCAUAGACGAUUGUGACUCUUUUGGAAAAUUGCAAGUUGCAUUGUUGUGCUUACAACUUUGAUUAUAAUUUUUCAGUUUGUUAUGUAGAAAGGGUGAUAUGAAAGCAAUUCUUUCUUAAAAAUUUGCACCGAUUUAUCUGACAAAUAUUUGUUUUGUUUUGAAUGGUGAAUACAUGUUUUCGUUUUGGAACAAAUUAUACCAUAUUUUUAAAGAAAUCUUUAUAUUUGAUUUUGAUUCAAAAUAUGUUUGUCAGUUUCAUUUUCAUAAAUUGAAUUUGCUUUUAAGAAUAUGGUUAUUAUGAUUGAAUUGCAAUUGUAUGUUUGGAUCUUGAAACAAUUUUGAGUAGUUAUGUUCAAAUUUACAAUGUAUCUUUUGUGCUACUUCUUUUGAUGUUGUAGUUGUUACUGCAAAUUGAUUUUAUGCCUAUUUCUGUUGCCAUCAGGUUUGCGGUUUUUGAAACAAAAUUUACAUCAUGGUUGUGAUUCAUUGUAUAUGUGCAUCUAAUAUGUGUAAACAUUGACAUGAUCACCAUAUGAAUAUUCCGACAAGCUUACUUUAAUUUUAUCUCAAACCCGGAAGGAAACACCAUGAUUAAUAAAUAUUUUAUGGAUCAAAGUUUGCAUAUUCAAAAUGGAUUUGAUUUGAUUUUGGUGGAUUGAUUUGCUUUGAAAAUAAAGUAAUUUGAUUGGGAAUAAUUUCCAAAUUUGAUUUCAUAUUUUUAUUUAUGGGAAUAAAUUUUAUUUUGUGAAAUAUGUAAAAUCCUUUGUUUUUUAGACAUAUAUUCUCAAGGAUGUGAGUCUAAAAUAUUAUUUGUGCAAAUCUCUUUUACAGAAGUGAAUUUUUAUAUUAAAGUGUUGUAAUUGUGAAAUUACUUUAGACUCAAUUUUGUCAAUAGCACCAAAUAUUUGUGUAUAUGAAUUUAUAGUAUAAAUUCUAUGUUGCCUUGUUCUUAUUUGAAUGCUCACUUGUGUAAUAUCUUAAAAGAUAAUUUUUGAGCAAUUUUGAAAGCAAUUGAAAAUAUUAUCCUUGUAUUGUAUUGAUAUAUUAUUGGAGUCUUUCUUUUGGUAUUAUAGUUUGUUGUUAAAUUAUGAACCAAUUGAGACGACAAUAUUGCGGAACUUUCUUUCGGUCAUCGAAACUUAAUGACUCUGCAUACAAGGAGAAUUGAUUAUACUUUUUGAGGUUAGUCAUGAUUUAAUUAAUUUAAAUUCUUUUAUUGAAUUUGAUUACACGCGUUCCUUUAUAAUUUAGGGGAUGAGCAUAUCAUAUUGGUGUAAUAUUAAUCGACAUGACCAUUGUGUGAUAGAGAAUAUAGUUGAAUAUUUGUUUAAAUAUUUUCAAAAGCCUUGGAUUGAUAACCCAACUAUUAUUCUAUAUCAAGUGGGACAAUCUUACAUGUCAAUUAUCUAAAUAUGAGAAACAAAUAUUAUUUGUUGGUGAAUACUCUUUUGUUUAUCAUGGAGACAUUGAUGAUAUUAUAGUCUUUUCUUAGAUAUAUUUUGUGACUAUUUUGUCUUUUAUCCUCAAUAGUAGUGAAAUUCAAGUCUCAUAUUUCCGCUGCGUAGGUAAUUGAUUUAAAUCAUUACUUGUUAAUGAGAUUAUGAGUUUAGCGGUAAUAGUACUCUUCCAAAAGAUAACACAUAAUUAUAUGUUGAUUUUAUUUUAUGUGCUUUUAACCUACUAUUCUACCGCAUUGUAUCAAACAAAAUUAUGAUGAAUACAAAUUGAAACAAUAUUGACCAGUUUAGAUGCAUUUAAAUGAUGCAUAUUUUUUCUGUGUCCAAUUUUGACAAGAGUUAUUGAUUCCUAUGCAAAAGAAUUUCAUGCGUUGAUAUAGGCCGUUACCAUCAAAGUGGGACCGUCUCUAUUGAUUGAUUGAUGAAAUUACUUUUUGUAAUUUGAGGAAUGUUUUUAAUCGUAACAUGUAGUUUCCUUCCCAAAGGUGGUUAUUGCAUUUUACAAUUAAAAAUUGAUUUGGGAUAAAGUUAUUGGAGAAUGUUUUGAACUAAGGAACUUGUCUGCCCAAAGGUGACAAUUUCCCAAAUUCAAUACAUGCUCAUUGAUUAACUUAUCUAAGGUUUUGACCUAGGCUUUGCCCUAGUUUGUGCAUUCUGUCCAAAGGUGAUUGUACAAUUAUAUUGGCCUAAUUGUGAUAGCUUGUUUAUUUUGAGCUAGACAGUCAUAAUAUUCCUAAGGACCUAAAAGACCUCCAAAAGGGCUUCUUGGACCUCUCAAGAAGGGCUUAACACCCUUGAAGAAAGCCCAAAGGCCCAAGACGCGUAUUUCCCAGAAAGCCGCCUUACUGGACCUCUAGAACCUUCUAGAAACCGCCCUAUAUACCUAAAUACCCCUACUACUUGGAGAUUAAGCAACCAAAACCCAAGCCCAUAGAAGGCUAUAAAUACCACCCAUGAGAGUAUCGAGUGACUGCCCAAACUGGGUCAACCUUUUUAAGGCUCUGAACUCGACGGCCCGAUAAAGAAGAAGUAUCGAGGGACCGCCCAAACUGGGUCAACCUUUUUAAGGCUCUGAACUCGGCGGCCCGAUAAAGAAGAAGUAUCGAGUGACCGCCCAAACUGGGUCAACUUUUUUCAGGCUCUGAACUCGGCGGCCCGAUAAAGAAGAAGUAUUGAGCGACCGCCCAAACUGGGUCAACCUUUUUAAGGCUCUGAACUCGGCGACCCGAUAAAAAACGAGACUUUAUAGCCAUAGCAAUGUUUACGAUCUAAAAGGAGAAAUCUACGAAUUUUGUUUCGAUAUAAAAAUAAUAGACCUUCGUUAGAAUGAACUUUGUGUUGAAAAAUCUGACAUUCGGAUCAAAUUACCUUUUUCACAGAGAAAGUUGAUAAGAUAUGUUAUACCCUGUUUUUGGACCUAAAAAUACUGGGCCCAAUUUCAUUGCAAACUUUGUCAGUUAUCAAAUUUCAACUGCACAGUUCAAAUUGUCUCUGCCUCGCAGUAUUUUCAAUCACAAUUUUACCUAUGUUUUUCUUGCAUAAAACUUUUCAAAAUGUCUUUACUUGUCUUGUAAGUCAUUCAAAAGUGUCUCUGAAUCAUUACAUUGCUUUUUCUACAGUUUAUUUCAAAAUUUGCAAAAAGUCAUACAGAAGGGUAUUUUGGUCAUUUCCUGCAGUGGGACCCAUUUUCAUCCUUGUGACUGUCUCCGAGUCUUUUCAGAUUGUUUUUUUAACGUUUCAUCAGUAAGCCUUAUCAAAUUCAUUUCAAACUUGCAUCCGAGUCAGUGUCAAGUCAAUUUGAUUCUGUUUAGGUCAUUUUUAGCCCUAGGGGCAUUUUGGUCAUUUCACACAAAAUUUUGGCAUAGAGAGGUUACUUUGAAGUACCUCAUUUAGGUCAUUGGUUCGUUUUAGUCCGUUUUGUCAAUUUUAUUUUUGUUUCACUUUAAGUUUGGUCAAAUUACGUUUUUUAUUCAAAUUUUAUUUUUAAUUGCAUUUUGGUCCCUCAAUUGAGGUCCCAAAACUGCAUUUUGUCCAAACUGUUUUUUUAUUUCAUUUCAAGCCUUUUUUUAAUUUUUGCAGUUUAGUCCUCAAUUUCUUUGUUUUUACAGAAAGGUCCAAAUUUCUUUUUUUGGCCAAAGCCGUGCCAUUUUUUCUCCAGGUCCAGGUGUCCUUUUCCUAUUGGUUCCAAUGCACACAUGUCAGCUAUAAAAGCAUUAAGUCAGAUUUCAGAAGCAAUAAUUACACGCCACAUCACAAACACUUUCCAAUUUUCUUUCCCAUUCUCAAAGAUCAAAAGCUUAACAAUUUUCCAGAAUCAUCAAGAACAUUCAAACCCUAACCGUUUCUGAACCAACUCCAAAUCAAUCCAAAUCAAUCCAAAUCAACUCAAAUCAACAGAAAUCAACACAGAAUAUUACAAAUCAGUACAGAAUCAACAAGAUUUUUUGCAAUUCUCAGAGAUUCCGCAUCGAAUCUUCAUCAUCGAAUUGAGUUUCUUCGCAAUCCAAGGUGAGAAUUCGCCAUUGACGAACUCCAGCACCGAUCACGAAGAAUUCGAGAGCGUGAAAAGAAGAAGGAAAGAAGUAGAAUCUGGACCGAUGAAGAAGAAGAAGAAUCACUGAUUUAUUUUCAGUUUCAAAACCGGAAAUCAACAAGCAAAAGCCAAAUCCAAGCGUUUCCGAAGAAACUCAACAGAAUCUCCAUAAAAAACUCAGGUAAAACUCAGAACCUCUUUUCAACAAAUAGUAUCAUAGUUUAAACCUGUAAAAAAUCACGUAAGAAAGAAGAUCAAAAUUUCCAGAAUUCAGAGAGAAAACUAUAACCGUAAACAUCAAAACCUAGAUCCGUAAGGAUCAAAGCUUUGAAAGCAAGAACGAGUACCAGAAGAGCAGCGAACAACGAAACGAUGUAGAUCUUCAAGGAUCUAAACGUUUUAUUUCAAAAAGAUCAAAAUCAAUUUCAAAGUCGUACGACAAAUUUCCAGAUCUACAUCGUUUCAAACUGUAUUUGAAAAAAUAACUGCUGGAUUCGUGUUUAGGGUUAAAGGACGAAUCAAAAUAUGCAAGAAUCUUUGAAAUCUGGAAAAUUAGGUCACCGGAAACUGCAUGAACUCGCCGGAGAAGAUGAAGUUUCCGGCGGACCUUCAAGGUCUCCGCCGUAGCUUCAUCCUCGCCGGCGGCGAGGUUAGAGAGAGUUGGGAGAUGAGAGAAGAGAGAAGAACUUAGAGAGAGAAAGGAAAGUGGAAAAUGAUUUAAACCGGUCCCCCUUCACUUUUAUAGCCAGUGAACCGGACCGGUCCAGAACCGGUCCAUUCCCCUUUGAUUCCUGGCCGUUUGAUCUAGGGUUUCAGGAUCCUAGAUCAAUCGUGUGGCUCCUGUGCAUCCGGACCUUGUAGUUUUGGGCUUUGGUUUGGGCCUAGGUUUCUUGUGUAUUUCUGUCUCUUGUCUUGCUAUUUGCACUGUUCUUCUUUGCUAUUUGAACCAAUGUUUUGAUUAAAAAUCUUGAUAAAUUUCCUAGAAAAUCCAUGCUUACUUCUUGAUAUUUUCUUGAUGUUUUAUGGUAUUUUUGCAUAUUGGAAGUGGCAAAAUUCUUGUAUGAUUAAUCCAUGGCAUUUUAAUUCUUUCUUGGAUUAUUUCUUAUGAUUGUUUUUUGUCAAUUCUAUCAUUGAUAUGUUAAUGUGAGGUGCUCAUGCCUACAAUCCUAUGUUGAUUUUGCUGUUUUAGAUUGAUUCAUGAAACCUUGAUUGUAUGAUCAAUGUAUGCAUAUUCUAGAAAAUAAUAAAAUGCUAAUUCUAUCUCAAAAUUGGUAUGAAACUAAGCUUGCUUGUUUCUAAUGAUCCUAUGAUUAUAGCUUGAGAUAAAAGAAACUAUUUCAAAUUUGCUAUAACAUGAGAAUUAGAAGCUACAAAUGCCUUAGGUUUCAUAUCAAAAUUUUAGGUUUUAUUACCAUUUUAUUACUAUCUUUGUGGCAUUUUGUGCGUUUUUGCCUCUUGCUACUCUUUAUGCUUUAUUUCACUAACAAGUUUAUUUCCAUGUUUCAUGCAUUUCAUUUAGCAUUCCCUCCACUUUCUUUAGCUUAGCAUUUAUUUUUGCAAGUUUUAAUUCAUUUAGUGGUGUAAUUUGUUAUCAUUGGUUUGUAGCUUGGCAAAGGGGCCAUAGAAUGUAUUUAGGCAAUUUUUGUAAUAUGGACUAUGGACACUAUGACGCACCGACACGCACACACUCACCCUAGAUGUAUGCUUAGGAUUGUAUGCAUAGAUGUAUGGCUAGGAUUGCAUGAUUAGAUGAAUGCUUAGGUUUGAACACUUAGAGAAAAUCCAGCUUUUUCCAAAAUAUGCAAAUAACCUCACUUGAAAACAUUUUUGCAAAAAUAAAAUAGGAGUCAAAACUCCUUUUCCCUUUUAUUUUCUUAAGUAAAACUUUUAAUGAACUUUAACCAUGCUUAGACUUCAUUUAGCAAAACGAUUAAUUCCACCUCACAUUUUCCAAAUCUUAUGCCCUUGAGGCCUCUCAUCUCUAUUCUUCAAAAUCUCUUUUCAAACUUAAAAUCAACCAACAAAAACAAAAACCAUUUUUGAGAAUGAACUACGAACGGUUUUGAUCCCUUAAAAGGGUACGUAGGCAAUGAGUCAAAACUCAUCCAAGCCGAAAUAAAAAUCAAAUUCUACUUCUUCUCACCCCCAUUCUUCACUAAUCUUACCUUCUUUUUACAAAUAAGCAAUAAAACUAAAGCGUAGAAAUAAACUCAGGAGAACGGUUCUUAUGGAAUACCAUAAUCGCUCCGGGUGCCUAACACCUUCCCGUAGUGAAAACGACCCCCGAAUCUAGAACUUUUUAAGGGUUUUUCUCCUUUUACCCUUCCCAAGAAAAAGAGAGAUAUCAACGGUCGAAAGGUUCAAGUCCAAUUAAUGGCUUGGCACCCAAAAACCAUGAUAACAGAAAUGGCGACUUCACUGGAGAUAUUUUUUUUAGCGGGUCGCGCCUAGUUUUCCUUAGUUUAUAUUUACACUUUGUUUUAUUGCUUACAUAUGUGAAUACUUGUUUAUUUUCAUUUGACGAGUGGGGUGAGAAUAUCAAAAGUCCUAUACCCGGGCUGAGUGAACUUAUGUUUAGGUAGAGAUAUAAUCGACAAUUCGAUCCGGGGGUUGCCUCGUGUAUUGGAUUAUGCGAUCAAUCUCACAUAGCUGAGGCAUUUUGAAGGUGAUAUUGUCGGCGUGUGUUGUCAUGCUUAGGCACUUCACUUUCAAUUGUUCGACGAAGCUAUGAACCGUAGUUACCAAACCCAUCCUAGCCUUUUUAGGACGUAGUGCGGUGGCUAAAUUGAGUGUUGUCUCAAACUUUAGUCGUCACGCGAUACUACACUCAAACUAGACCUUCUCACAAAUAAUCAUGGAACGGGUGUCGUCCUGUACUACCAUGAUAUAUGUGAGAGAGGUUGCAGUUUGGGAACUGUGUUAGAACCUUGGUUACUACUAUCCAAAGCCUUAGUUCACCGGACGCCGUGUCCAUCCGUGGCCCUGCUACUUUGAAUCUCAACCCACCUUGUUCUUUGUAACUAAACAACACAAUCAUGCAUACAUGCAUUCAUGCAUAAACUUUUUUCAUGCAUUCAUCGAAGGGUUUAAACAAAUGGAAAUUUUUGUAAAUAAUCACAGGUAUGAAGAAGACUAAGUGCUACAAGUUCAAGGAGGUGGAUUUGGUUAGUUUGAGAGAGUUGGCACUCAAGGUCAAGAGUCAAACAGGGUUCCGACUCCGGUAUGGGGGAUUGCUUACUUUGCUCCGAACCGAUGUGGACGAGAAGCUAGUGCACACUCUAGUGCAAUUUUAUGAUCCGAGCUUCCGUUGCUUCACUUUCCCGGAUUUCCAGUUGGUUCCUACUCUCGAGGCUUACUCCGAUCUAGUGGGUUUACCUAUAGCCGAGAAGACGCCUUUCACCGGUCCCGGGACUUCUCUUACUCCUCUGGUUAUUGCUAAGGAUCUCUACCUCAAGACUUCCGACGUCUCCAACCAUCUUAUUACCAAGUCUCACAUCCGGGGGUUCGCUUCGAAGUAUCUUCUUGAGCAAGCUAAUCUCAGUACUACUCGUCAGGAUACACUCGAGGCUAUUCUUGCUUUGCUUAUCUACGGGCUCAUUCUCUUUCCGAACCUCGACAACUUCGUGGACAUGAAUGCUAUCGAGGUCUUCCAUUCCAAGAACCCGGUUCCUACUUUGCUAGCAGAUACCUACCACGCCAUUCAUGACAGGACUCUCAAGGGCCGUGGGUAUAUUCUUUGCUGCAUAUCUCUUCUGUAUAGGUGGUUUAUUUCGCACCUUCCGAGUUCCUUCCACGACAACUCGGAGAACUGGUCCUACUCGCAGCGGAUUAUGGCCCUCACUCCUAAUGAGGUCGUCUGGCUUACUCCUGCCGCUCAAGUGAAGGAAAUCAUUAUGGGUUGUGGAGACUUUCUCAAUGUACCUCUUCUUGGUACUCGUGGAGGAAUCAACUACAAUCCCGAGCUUGCUAUGAGACAAUUUGGUUUCCCUAUGAAGUCGAAGCCCAUCAAUCUCGCCACAUCUCCAGAGUUCUUCUUCUACACGAAUGCUCCUACCGGACAAAGGAAAGCUUUCAUGGAUGCUUGGUCCAAGGUUCGAAGGAAGAGUGUGAAGCAUCUAGGUGUGAGAACCGGUGUUGCUCAUGAGGCUUAUACUCAGUGGGUGAUAGACCGAGCUGAGGAGAUUGGCAUGCCUUAUCCAGCUAUGAGAUACGUGUCUUCGUCUACUCCAUCUAUGCCUCUACCUUUGCUUCCCACGACUCAGGAUAUGUAUCAGGAGCAUCUAGCUAUGGAGAGUCGUGAGAAGCAAGUGUGGAAAGCUCGGUACAAUCAAGCCGAGAAUCUAAUCAUGACUUUGGAUGGUAGAGAUGAGCAGAAGACUCAUGAGAACCUGAUGUUGAAGAAAGAACUAGCUAAGGCCCGGAGGGAAUUGGAAGAGAAAGACGAGCUGCUUAUGAGGGAUUCCAAGAGAGCCAGAGGACGGCGAGACUUCUUUGCCAGAUACUGUGAUUCAGAUUCCGAGUCCGAUGAUCCUCCGACUACUUCCUAUGCUUGAGGGCUUCAUUUGUUUAUCUUGCUGAAAUUUCAAAGUCUUCCUUUUGAAAAUACUAUGUAGUUUUGAUUAUUUGCAAGAUUUCUAAUUUGUUUAAAAAUCCUUCGAUGAAAAAAAGAAGUCUUUUGCAUUUACAUUUGCAUAUCAUGCAUCAUAUGCAUCAUGCAUCGGUCACAAAGGCUUCCAAGUGCUCACUAUCUCCUGGUUCCUCUGCCGCAGUGUGAAAAGUGGCUCGUGCUCAGAGGGUCUACGAACCUGAUAGAACUGAUCGAACCAGAGAAUACAGAAGGAAGAAAAGGGCUAUGGAAGAAGAGAACACACAACUCCGUACCGAAUUGGCAUCUUUAAAGGAGGAAUUGGCCAAAGCUCAUGAUGCUAUGACUGCUCUGUUGGCUGCUCAGGAACAACCAGUUCCCGUAGUUUCUACAGCUGCAAAUGUGACUCCUACAGUAACAACUGAUCCCCGCUUUAUCAUGCCAUCCGGGUAUCCUUACGGACUUCCGUUGUACUAUACUGCUAAUACGGGGGCAGGCACCUCUGGUACUACCAACAAUGGCCCAAUCUCAGGGGCAAACUUGACUCCUGUUAGUACCGCCUUGACUCAAGCCGCAACAACUGUUACCGAGCCCAUUGUGAAUACGGUGCCUCAAUUUGUCCAUGUUGAUGCGCACCACGGGAGUAUUGCCGCAACCGGAACUAUGGAAGAGAGAAUGGAAGAACUUGCCAAAGAGCUCCGACGGGAAAUUAAGGCCAACAGGGGAAACGGAGACUCCAUUAAAACCCAGGAUCUCUGCUUAGUAUCGAAGGUAGAUGUUCCAAAAAAGUUCAAAGUCCCGGAGUUCGACAAGUAUAACGGGCUGACUUGUCCUCAAAAUCAUAUUGUCAAAUAUGUCCGGAAGAUGGGCAACUACAAGGACAAUGAUUCCCUUAUGAUCCAUUACUUCCAAGACAGUCUGAUGGAAGACGCUGCGGAGUGGUAUACUAGUCUGAGCAAAGAUGAUGUCCAUACUUUUGAUGAGCUAGCCACUGCUUUCAAGAGCCACUACGGGUUUAACACUCGAUUGAAGCCGAAUAGGGAGUUUCUCAGGUCCCUAUCUCAGAAAAAGGAGGAAAGUUUCCGGGAAUAUGCGCAAAGGUGGAGAGGGGCAGCUGCCCGUAUCACUCCUGCCUUAGAUGAAGAAGAAAUGACCCAGACAUUCUUAAAGACCUUGAAGAAAGAUUAUGUUGAGAGGAUGAUCAUCGCUGCCCCGAACAACUUUUCGGAGAUGGUCACUAUGGGAACCCGUCUUGAGGAAGCCGUCAGGGAUGGAAUCAUUGUGUUUGAGAAAGCUGAAUCCUCUGUGAAUGCGUCGAAGAGAUAUGGUAAUGGACACCACAAGAAGAAAGAAACGGAAGUGGGAAUGGUGUCAGCUGGAGCCGGUCAAUCAAUAGCUACCGUUGCUCCUAUCAAUGCAGCUCAAAUGCCUCCGUCAUAUCCAUAUAUGCCGUACUCUCAGCAUCCGUUCUUCCCACCGUUUUACCAUCAGUACCCCCUGCCACCGGGUCAACCUCAAGUGCCCGUCAAUGCAAUUGCCCAACAGAUGAAACAACAGUUGCCGGUUCAACAACAACAACAACAACAACAGCAGCAGCAAUAUACCAGACCAACUUUUCCUCCUAUACCAAUGUUGUAUGCAGAGCUUCUUCCAACUUUACUCCAGAGAGGACACUGCACGACUAGACAGGGUAAGCCCCCACCUGAUCCGUUGCCUCCAAGGUUCAGGUCUGAUCUCAAAUGUGAUUUUCAUCAAGGUGCCUUAGGUCAUGAUGUCGAGGGGUGUUAUGCUUUGAAGUAUAUCGUGAAGAAGCUCAUUGAUCAAGGGAAGCUGACUUUUGAGAAUAAUGUCCCACACGUCCUCGACAAUCCUCUCCCAAAUCAUGCCGCUGUGAAUAUGAUCGAAGUGUGUGAGGAAGCUCCUAGACUUGAUGUCCGCAACGUCGUAACUCCUCUGGUACCUCUACACAUCAAGCUGUGCAAAGCUUCUCUAUUCAGCCAUGAUCAUGCCAAGUGUCUAGGAUGCCUCCGUGAUCCUUUGGGUUGCCAUACUGUUCAAGACGACAUCCAAAGCUUGAUGAAUGAUAAUCUUCUGACUGUCAGUGAUGUUUGCGUGAUUGUGCCAGUUUUUCACGAUCCGCCUGUCAAGAGUGUACCUUUGAAGAAGAAUGCUGAGCCUUUGGUGAUAAGGUUGCCAGGACCAAUUCCUUAUGUUUCGGACAAGGCAGUUCCAUACAAAUACAAUGCUACUAUGAUAGAAAAUGGAGUAGAGGUGCCUCUAGCCUCCUUUGCCACAGUAAGCAAUAUUGCUGAAGGGACUUCUGCAGCGCUAAGAAGCGGGAAAGUCCGUCCGCCGUUAUUUCAGAAGAAGGUAGCUACGCCAAUCACGCCACCAGUUGAAGAAGCAACUCCAACCGUUGUUUCGCCCAUUGCUACAGAUGUGAACCAGUCCGACAAAUCUAUAGAGGAUUCGAACUUAGAUGAGAUUCUGAGGAUAAUAAAGAGGAGCGACUACAAGAUCGUUGAUCAGUUGCUGCAGACUCCUUCGAAGAUAUCUGUCUUGUCAUUACUCUUAAGCUCUGAGGCUCACAGGAAUACCUUGUUGAAAGUGCUGGAGCAGGCGUAUGUUGACCACGAAGUUACGGUAGAUCGUUUCGGUGGCAUAGUGGGAAAUAUUACUGCUUGCAACAACCUCUGGUUUAGUGAAGAAGAGUUGCCGGAAGUGGGAAAGAGUCACAAUCUGGCUUUGCACAUCUCGGUGAAUUGUAAAUCAGACAUGAUAUCAAAUGUGUUGGUGGAUACCGGUUCCUCACUCAAUGUAAUGCCCAAGACAACUCUAGAUCAGCUGAGCUACCGAGGAACCCCUUUGAGGAGGAGUACUUUCUUGGUCAAAGCUUUUGACGGAUCUCGAAAGAAUGUGCUGGGGGAGAUAGAAUUGCCAAUAACCAUUGGCCCUGAGAAUUUCUUGGUUACUUUCCAAGUGAUGGACAUUAAUGCAUCCUACAGUUGUCUGCUGGGAAGACCGUGGAUACACGAUGCGGGUGCGGUAACCUCCACCUUACAUCAGAAGUUGAAGUUCAUAAGGAAUGGAAAGCUUGUUACCGUUCAUGGAGAAGAAGCAUAUUUAGUCAGCCAGCUGACUUCUUUCUCUUGUAUUGAAGCAGGGUCUGCUGAAGGGACUGCUUUCCAAGGUUUGACCAUUGAAGGUGCAGAGCCUAAGAAAGCUGGGGCUGCUAUGGCUUCAUUGAAAGAUGCUCAGAAGGUUAUCCAGGAAGGUCAGACUGCCGGUUGGGGCAAGGUGAUACAGCUCUGUGAGAACAAGCGUAAAGAAGGUCUCGGGUUCUCCCCGUCAUCAAGGGUUUCCUCGGGAGUCUUCCACAGUGCAGGGUUUGUUAAUGCUAUCUCUGAAGAAGCCACUGGAUCUGGUCUCAGGCCUGUAUUUGUUACACCAGGAGGCAUUGCGACGGAUUGGGAUGCCAUUGACAUUCCUUCAAUCAUGCAUGUUUCUGAGUAAUGUGUCUUGUUGCUUUAAUGCUUUGUUUUCAAAAUAACAAUCCUCUCGCUCUGCCCAAAGCGAGAGUGAUAUUUUCUGUAAGGGCAUGUUUGUUUCGGCAUUGCCGUUGAUUAAUAAAAUUUUGUCGUUUCUUCCACGACUACUUUUUUUAGUGCUUUUUCCCUUGGAAACAAUGGUAAUGCCAGAAAAAACCAAAACGUUUGUAUUUUCUUAUUAAUUUCAAAAAUCUGCAUGAAAAAAAAAAAAACUCUUUCUAAAAUCAUCCAAUCAUUAUAUGCAGGUUGAACCAUAAUAAACCCGUUGAACACAGUAAUCCUACGGUUCCUCCAAAUUUUGAAUUCCCUGUGUAUGAAGCCGAAGAUGAGGAAGGUGAUGACAUACCAUAUGAGAUCACUCGGUUACUUGAGCAGGAAAAGAAAGCCAUUCAGCCUCACCAGGAAGAGAUUGAGCUUAUCAACAUAGGUACCGAGGAAAACAAGCGAGAAAUCAAGAUUGGUGCUACUCUAGAGGAAGGGGUUAAACAGAAGAUCAUCCAGCUCCUCCGGGAAUAUCCGGAUAUUUUUGCAUGGUCGUAUGAAGAUAUGCCAGGUCUAGACCCUAUGAUUGUGGAGCAUCGGAUCCCCACCAAGCCUGAAUGUCCUCCCGUCAGGCAGAAAUUGAGGAGGACUCAUCCAGAUAUGGCUCUCAAGAUUAAGAGCGAGGUUCAAAAGCAGAUUGAUGCGGGUUUCCUCAUGACAGUUGAGUAUCCUGAAUGGGUUGCCAAUAUUGUGCCUGUGCCAAAGAAGGAUGGUAAAGUCCGGAUGUGUGUUGACUUCAGAGACCUGAAUAAAGCCAGUCCAAAAGACAACUUUCCAUUACCUCAUAUUGAUGUGCUUGUUGAUAAUACUGCUCAGUCUAAGGUGUUCUCCUUCAUGGACGGUUUCUCCGGUUAUAAUCAGAUCAAAAUGUCUCCUGAAGAUAGAGAAAAGACAUCUUUUAUCACUCCAUGGGGUACUUUCUGCUACAAAGUGAUGCCAUUCGGUCUAAUUAAUGCUGGUGCUACCUACCAAAGGGGAAUGACUACUCUGUUUCAUGACAUGAUUCACAAAGAAGUCGAGGUAUAUGUGGAUGAUAUGAUUGUGAAGUCAACAGACGAGGAGCAACAUGUUGAAUAUUUGACGAAGAUGUUUGAAAGAUUGAGAAAAUACAAGCUUCGAUUGAAUCCCAACAAGUGUACAUUCGGCGUCAGAUCCGGGAAGUUAUUAGGCUUCGGUGUCAGCCAAAAGGGCAUUGAAGUCGAUCCUGAUAAAGUCCGGGCCAUCCGAGAAAUGCCAGCUCCACAGACAGAGAAACAAGUCAGAGGUUUCCUCGGGCGUUUGAAUUACAUCUCCCGAUUCAUAUCUCACAUGACCGCAAUCUGCGGGCCGAUCUUCAAGCUACUCAGAAAGAAUCAGCCUAUUGUAUGGAAUGAUGAAUGCCAAGAAGCUUUUGAUAGCAUCAAGAAUUACCUGCUGGAACCACCUAUCCUUGUCCCACCCGUGGAAGGAAGGCCUUUGAUUAUGUAUUUGGCAGUAUUUGAUGAAUCCAUGGGAUGCGUGCUUGGUCAACAAGAUGAAACUGGAAAGAAAGAGCAUGCUAUCUACUACCUGAGCAAGAAGUUCACUGAUUGUGAAACUCGGUAUACAAUGCUUGAGAAGACUUGUUGUGCUCUAGCUUGGGCUGCUAAACGCCUGCGCCAUUAUUUGGUGAAUCAUACAACUUGGUUGAUAUCCAGAAUGGAUCCGAUAAAGUAUGUCUUUGAGAAAGCUGCUGUUACUGGAAAGAUUGCACGCUGGCAGAUGCUUUUGUCUGAAUAUGAUAUUGUGUUCAAAACUCAAAGGGCAAUCAAAGGUAGCAUUCUUGCAGAUCAUCUUGCUUACCAACCUCUUGAUGAUUAUCAACCGAUUGAAUUCGACUUCCCCGAUGAAGAAAUCAUGUAUUUAAAAUCAAAAGACUGCGAAGAACCGUUGAUUGAUGAAGGUCCAGAUCCCAAUAGCAAGUGGGGUUUAAUCUUUGAUGGUGCUGUCAAUGCUUAUGGUAAAGGAAUUGGGGCAGUCAUUGUAUCCCCGCAGGGGCAUCACAUUCCUUUUACCGCCCGAAUUUUGUUCGAAUGUACCAACAAUAUGGCUGAGUAUGAAGCAUGUAUCUUUGGGAUCGAGGAAGCAAUUGACAUGAGAAUCAAACACCUCGACAUCUAUGGAGAUUCUGCGCUCGUCAUCAAUCAGAUAAAGGGUGAAUGGGAGACCCACCAUGCUAAGUUGAUUCCUUAUCGUGAUUAUGCGAGGCGUCUUCUGACAUAUUUUACAAAGGUUGAGCUGCACCAUAUUCCUCGUGAUGAGAACCAAAUGGCUGAUGCUCUUGCUACUCUAUCCUCCAUGUUUCGAGUAAACCAUUGGAAUGAUGUGCCAUUAAUCAAAGUGCAACGCCUUGAAAGACCUUCGCAUGUGUUUGCUAUUGGGGAUGUGAUCGAUCAGGCUGGUGAAAAUGUGGUUGACUAUAAACCCUGGUACUAUGACAUCAAACAGUUCUUGCUAAGCCGUGAGUAUCCGCCGGGUGCUUCCAAACAAGACAAGAAGACCCUGAGAAGAUUGGCCAGUAGAUUCCUGUUAGAUGGAGAUAUCCUAUACAAGAGGAACUAUGACAUGGUACUGUUAAGAUGUGUUGAUGAACAUGAAGCGGAGCAGUUAAUGCAUGAUGUACAUGACGGUACCUUCGGGACCCAUGCUACAGGGCAUACUAUGUCAAGGAAGUUGUUACGAGCAGGUUACUACUGGAUGGCCAUGGAGCAUGAUUGCUACCAAUACGCCAGAAAAUGCCACAAAUGUCAAAUCUAUGCUGAUAAGAUUCAUGUGCCUCCGCACGCUCUCAAUGUUAUUUCAUCCCCAUGGCCGUUCUCAAUGUGGGGCAUCGACAUGAUCGGAAGAAUUGAACCGAAGGCUUCAAAUGGUCAUCGUUUCAUUUUAGUGGCAAUUGACUACUUCACCAAGUGGGUCGAAGCAGCAUCUUAUACCAAUGUGACCAAGCAAGUGGUAGCUAAGUUCAUCAAGAACAACAUCAUCUGUCGAUAUGGUGUUCCCAGCAAGAUUAUUACCGACAAUGGUACCAACCUGAACAACAAUGUGGUGCAAGCUCUUUGUGAAGAAUUCAAAAUUGAGCAUCAUAACUCUUCUCCCUAUAGACCUCAGAUGAAUGGUGCAGUUGAGGCCGCCAACAAGAAUAUCAAGAGAAUUGUCCAGAAGAUGGUAACCACUUACAAGGACUGGCAUGAGAUGUUACCCUAUGCUCUGCAUGGUUACCGUACUACAGUGCGCAGUUCAACCGGGGCAACCCCUUUCUCUCUUGUAUAUGGUAUGGAAGCAGUUCUUCCUUUGGAAGUGGAGAUCCCGUCUCUCCGUGUGAUCAUGGAAGCAAAGUUAUCCGAGGCUGAAUGGUGCCAAAGCCGGUAUGAUCAGUUGAAUUUGAUUGAGGAAAAACGUAUGGAUGCCAUGGCUCGUGGACAGUCAUAUCAAACAAGAAUGAAGACUGCUUUUGACAAGAAAGUUCAUCCUCGAGAAUUCAAAGUAGGGGAACUUGUAUUGAAAAGGAGGAUAAGCCAGCAACCCGACCCAAGGGGCAAGUGGACGCCUAACUAUGAAGGUCCUUAUGUUGUCAAGAAGGCCUUCUCCGGUGGUGCUUUAAUCCUUACACACAUGGAUGGUGCGGAACUUCCAAAUCCAGUGAAUGCCGAUAUAGUCAAGAAAUACUUUGCCUAGAAAUGUGAAAAGAACAGCGUGGUAGGUCGAAAACCCGAAAGGGCGGCCUAGGCAAAAAUGCGCUUCCCGGUGGAUCGAAAACCCGAAAGGGCGGUCCAGGCAAAAAUAAGGGACAAAAAAAUAUAUGAAAAAAGCUCGCUGAGAUUGUGCGCAACUCAGGCAAGAAUGAGCGUCUCGAUGAAUCGAAAACCCGGAAGGGCGGUUCAUGCAAAAAUGAGAUUGAAACAAAAGGCAAGUAACUAUAAUCUGGCCAACCACCGUUCCCUUGGGGCAUCUGCAGCUGUUAAUGACUAUCUUCAUCAAAAGCUCCUACACUUGCGAAUUCAAAGUUUCCAGGAAAUGUAAUGAUUGCUGUGUUCAAUGUACCACCAACCAAUAAAAUUACCAUUUUCCAAGCUUUGAAAAUCCGUGGAGUCACGCCGUCGGCUGACCACCACUCUUAUACGUCAAUUUGAGCUUGUGCUUUUGUUUGAAACUCUAUUUUUUCUUCUACUUUCAAAGUUAUAUACAAAAAUAUUUUCUUUCUAUUUUGAUAAUGACAAUGCUUGAAACAAACAUUUUGAAAAUUGAAAACUUUUUGUCUAUUUUGAAAAGCAAACCUGAGCGACAGGGUACAUUCAAAUGAAACAUGCAUGAGCGAGAGUAUGUUGAUGUCUAUUUCAAUAUGUGUUACAAGCGGGUUCUCCUCCAGGAUAGUCUGUGGUCAAUGGCAAGAAUGAAAAAACAGAAUAAAGUGCAUGAAAAUGAAUAGGCUAGCUAAGUUGAAAACCCGAAAGGGCGGCUUAGGCAAAAAUGAGCACCUCGCUGGAUUGACAACCCGAAAGGGCAGUUCAGGCAAAAAUGGGGCAUUGAAAAGAAUUUAUUUCCCCGGUGGAUCGAAAACCCGAAAGGGCGAUCCAGGCAAAAAUGGGAUGCAAAAAUGAAUGAAAAAUGAGAAUAUAACAUGCAAAAAAAAGCAUUGACCACAGAUGCAAUGUCUACAACAUACCCAGCAUUGAAAUGCCCAGCACAACGGCGUUUUCCCCGGUGGAGUCUCUCAAGACUCUAUCCCCAGCAAGUUACAUACCUACCGGCCCUCGGCCAUGGUUCCGAUACGUCUCCCAACGACGUCAUCUCCAUAGAGGAUCUCCGAGAAUGUGUAACAUAGCACGAGCCACUAUGUGCCCAAUACUCUGAUGUCUUGUCUUCCCCGUGAAGUCGUGCCUACAAAAUGCCAACAGUCAUGCAUUACAAGCAUUCAUACAUGCAUAAUCAUGCAUAUUACGUGCCCAUGCAUUUAAUGAAACUGUUAUAUCAUCCGUGCAUAUUGCAUUUCCAAUGUCAACAUCAGUCUCAAUUCGAUACUCAUAUCGGGUUCUCUGUCAAAACCUUGUGAGCCAAUAAUAUCGGUCAAUUUCUGCCUUUCAAUUCAAAUCGAUGUCAAGUCAAUCUCAAUCUAUAUUUUGUCAAAACAAACCAAUCCCCAGUGAAUAUGUUUCUGUUUGGUCAAGUGGCUAGUUCAAGUCCAAGAACAGCUUGUACCUAUCAAUUUGCUUAUAUUAUCGGUCGAGUGCCCAGCUCAAUCCAAGAGCAGCUUGUACCCGUCAAUAUGUUUCCGUUUGGUCAAGUGACUAGCUCAAUCCAAGAGCAGCUUGUACCUGUCUAUCUGUUUCUGUCCGGUGGAGUAACCAGUUCGCAUCCAAGAACAAGCUCGCACCUGUCUAUUUGCCUUGCUUUCAGUCGAGUAACCAGUUCGAAUCCGUAAGAACAACUCGUACUUGCCAAUUUUCUCUUUUUCCCAGUCGGGUCACUAGUUCGAAUCCAUAAGAACAACUCGCACUUUCCAAUAUCCUCAAGUGAGUUACCAGUUCGAAUCCAUAAGAACAACUCAUGUUUGUCCAAGUAACCUCUAUCCCCUGUGAAGUGACCAGUUCGAAUCCAUAAGAACAACUCGCAGUUGUCUGUUUGUUUCAUUCCCGGUCAAGUGGCUAGUUCGAAUCCAAGAGCAGCUUGUACCUGUCCAACUUGUUCCUAGUUUCCCGUUACUCCGAUAUUCACUAUCUUUGUCAAUGUCUACCAAUCCCGCAAUGGAUACGACAUAUUUUGUUAAUUCCAAUCCCCAUGAGGUCUUGCAUUCAUAAUCCAAAUGAUGCAUGGCAUGCAUAUUAUUUGAAAAUGGGUAGGCGUAUUUUUACGUCCAAACACAGUGCAAAUGCUAAUAUUUAAGUAUCUUCGUCCUGUCAAGCCAAAGACUCCGUCUCUUGACUCUCCAGACAAAGAAACUUAAAUAGGGGCAGCUGUUAUACCCUGUUUUUGGACCUAAAAAUACUGGGCCCAAUUUCAUUGCAAACUUUGUCAGUUAUCAAAUUUCAACUGCACAGUUCAAAUUGUCUCUGCCUCGCAGUAUUUUCAAUCACAAUUUUACCUAUGUUUUUCUUGCAUAAAACUUUUCAAAAUGUCUUUACUUGUCUUGUAAGUCAUUCAAAAGUGUCUCUGAAUCAUUACAUUGCUUUUUCUACAGUUUAUUUCAAAAUUUGCAAAAAGUCAUACAGAAGGGUAUUUUGGUCAUUUCCUGCAGUGGGACCCAUUUUCAUCCUUGUGACUGUCUCCGAGUCUUUUCAGAUUGUUUUUUUAACGUUUCAUCAGUAAGCCUUAUCAAAUUCAUUUCAAACUUGCAUCCGAGUCAGUGUCAAGUCUAUUUGAUUCUGUUUAGGUCAUUUUUAGCCCUAGGGGCAUUUUGGUCAUUUCACACAAAAUUUUGGCAUAGAGAGGUUACUUUGAAGUACCUCAUUUAGGUCAUUGGUUCGUUUUAGUCCGUUUUGUCAAUUUUAUUUUUGUUUCACUUUACGUUUGGUCAAAUUACGUUUUUUAUUCAAAUUUUAUUUUUAAUUGCAUUUUGGUCCCUCAAUUGAGGUCCCAAAACUGCAUUUUGUCCAAACUGUUUUUUUAUUUCAUUUCAAGCCUUUUUUUAAUUUUUGCAGUUUAGUCCUCAAUUUCUUUGUUUUUACAGAAAGGUCCAAAUUUCUUUUUUUGGCCAAAGCCGUGCCAUUUUUUCUCCAGGUCCAGGUGUCCUUUUCCUAUUGGUUCCAAUGCACACAUGUCAGCUAUAAAAGCAUUAAGUCAGAUUUCAGAAGCAAUAAUUACACGCCACAUCACAAACACUUUCCAAUUUUCUUUCCCAUUCUCAAAGAUCAAAAGCUUAACAAUUUUCCAGAAUCAUCAAGAACAUUCAAACCCUAACCGUUUCUGAACCAACUCCAAAUCAAUCCAAAUCAAUCCAAAUCAACUCAAAUCAACAGAAAUCAACACAGAAUAUUACAAAUCAGUACAGAAUCAACAAGAUUUUUUACAAUUCUCAGAGAUUCCGCAUCGAAUCUUCAUCAUCGAAUUGAGUUUCUUCGCAAUCCAAGGUGAGAAUUCGCCAUUGACGAACUCCAGCACCGAUCACGAAGAAUUCGAGAGCGUGAAAAGAAGAAGGAAAGAAGUAGAAUCUGGACCGAUGAAGAAGAAGAAGAAUCACUGAUUUAUUUUCAGUUUCAAAACCGGAAAUCAACAAGCAAAAGCCAAAUCCAAGCGUUUCCGAAGAAACUCAACAGAAUCUCCAUAAAAAACUCAGGUAAAACUCAGAACCUCUUUUCAACAAAUAGUAUCAUAGUUUAAACCUGUAAAAAAUCACGUAAGCAAGAAGAUCAAAAUUUCCAGAAUUCAGAGAGAAAACUAUAACCGUAAACAUCAAAACCUAGAUCCGUAAGGAUCAAAGCUUUGAAAGCAAGAACGAGUACCAGAAGAGCAGCGAACAACGAAACGAUGUAGAUCUUCAAGGAUCUAAACAUUUUAUUUCAAAAAGAUCAAAAUCAAUUUCAAAGUCGUACGACAAAUUUCCAGAUCUACAUCGUUUCAAACUGUAUUUGAAAAAAUAACUGCUGGAUUCGUGUUUAGGGUUAAAGGACGAAUCAAAAUAUGCAAGAAUCUUUGAAAUCUGGAAAAUUAGGUCACCGGAAACUGCAUGAACUCGCCGGAGAAGAUGAAGUUUCCGGCGGACCUUUAAGGUCUCCGCCGUAGCUUCAUCCUCGCCGGCGGCGAGGUUAGAGAGAGUUGGGAGAUGAGAGAAGAGAGAAGAACUUAGAGAGAGAAAGGAAAGUGGAAAAUGAUUUAAACCGGUCCCCCUUCACUUUUAUAGCCAGUGAACCGGACCGGUCCAGAACCGGUCCAUUCCCCUUUGAUUCCUGGCCGUUUGAUCUAGGGUUUCAGGAUCCUAGAUCAAUCGUGUGGCUCCUGUGCAUCCGGACCUUGUAGUUUUGGGCUUUGGUUUGGGCCUAGGUUUCUUGUGUAUUUCUGUCUCUUGUCUUGCUAUUUGCACUGUUCUUCUUUGCUAUUUGAACCAAUGUUUUGAUUAAAAAUCUUGAUAAAUUUCCUAGAAAAUCCAUGCUUACUUCUUGAUAUUUUCUUGAUGUUUUAUGGUAUUUUUGCAUAUUGGAAGUGGCAAAAUUCUUGUAUGAUUAAUCCAUGGCAUUUUAAUUCUUUCUUGGAUUAUUUCUUAUGAUUGUUUUUUGUCAAUUCUAUCAUUGAUAUGUUAAUGUGAGGUGCUCAUGCCUACAAUCCUAUGUUGAUUUUGCUGUUUUAGAUUGAUUCAUGAAACCUUGAUUGUAUGAUCAAUGUAUGCAUAUUCUAGAAAAUAAUAAAAUGCUAAUUCUAUCUCAAAAUUGGUAUGAAACUAAGCUUGCUUGUUUCUAAUGAUCCUAUGAUUAUAGCUUGAGAUAAAAGAAACUAUUUCAAAUUUGCUAUAACAUGAGAAUUAGAAGCUACAAAUGCCUUAGGUUUCAUAUCAAAAUUUUAGGUUUUAUUACCAUUUUAUUACUAUCUUUGUGGCAUUUUGUGCGUUUUUGCCUCUUGCUACUCUUUAUGCUUUAUUUCACUAACAAGUUUAUUUCCAUGUUUCAUGCAUUUCAUUUAGCAUUCCCUCCACUUUCUUUAGCUUAGCAUUUAUUUUUGCAAGUUUUAAUUCAUUUAGUGGUGUAAUUUGUUAUCAUUGGUUUGUAGCUUGGCAAAGGGGCCAUAGAAUGUAUUUAGGCAAUUUUUGUAAUAUGGACUAUGGACACUAUGACGCACCGACACGCACACACUCACCCUAGAUGUAUGCUUAGGAUUGUAUGCAUAGAUGUAUGGCUAGGAUUGCAUGAUUAGAUGAAUGCUUAGGUUUGAACACUUAGAGAAAAUCCAGCUUUUUCCAAAAUAUGCAAAUAACCUCACUUGAAAACAUUUUUGCAAAAAUAAAAUAGGAGUCAAAACUCCUUUUCCCUUUUAUUUUCUUAAGUAAAACUUUUAAUGAACUUUAACCAUGCUUAGACUUCAUUUAGCAAAACGAUUAAUUCCACCUCACAUUUUCCAAAUCUUAUGCCCUUGAGGCCUCUCAUCUCUAUUCUUCAAAAUCUCUUUUCAAACUUAAAAUCAACCAACAAAAACAAAAACCAUUUUUGAGAAUGAACUACGAACGGUUUUGAUCCCUUAAAAGGGUACGUAGGCAAUGAGUCAAAACUCAUCCAAGCCGAAAUAAAAAUCAAAUUCUACUUCUUCUCACCCCCAUUCUUCACUAAUCUUACCUUCUUUUUACAAAUAAGCAAUAAAACUAAAGCGUAGAAAUAAACUCAGGAGAACGGUUCUUAUGGAAUACCAUAAUCGCUCCGGGUGCCUAACACCUUCCCGUAGUGAAAACGACCCCCGAAUCUAGAACUUUUUAAGGGUUUUUCUCCUUUUACCCUUCCCAAGAAAAAGAGAGAUAUCAACGGUCGAAAGGUUCAAGUCCAAUUAAUGGCUUGGCACCCAAAAACCAUGAUAACAAGAUAAAACAAAAAAUUCUCAAGAAAGUACGAAUACAUUAAAAGCUUAAGUUGUUCAUCAAAAUAAAUAUUUGCCUCAAAGAGCCAGGCGUUACAACUCAAAAGCGCCCAUAAUAGCAAUAAAUCCAAAAGACAAAAUAAAUAGGCGACUACAAAGAAAAAUCAACAUCGACCAGAAGUCUUCAAGGCUCUUCAACCAGCUCGCCAUCUUGAACGAACUUCAGAGAGUCAAGACCCGACAAAUCCAAGUCUGGAUAGAAAUGGGCAACUUGCGACUUUGCCCUUUGAAAACAAUCUUCAAAGAAACCAGCUAGCGCCAUCUUACCGUUCUCGACCUCAUCCUUUGAUUUUUUCAAGUCGUCUUUCAAUUUGGCGUUCUGAGUAUCAAGCUCGCCCUUCUCCACCUGCCAGUCAGAAUUCUCUUUCUCUGCAUCAGCGACUGUUUUCUCAAGCGCAGCUUUUUCCUUCAGAAGCCCCUCCACCCUCUCUUCAAAGGUUGUAGCCUUGUGCUUGAAUUUCUCUACAUCCUUAACAGAGUCUUGAUACUCUCUCUCUAAAGCCUCAUUUUUUUCUCCAUCGACUGUAUGUACAACAAAGUUCGAAGAGUGCUGGUCCCGGCAUCUUGCACCAGCUUAUCAAAUUUGCCAUGAAAAGCGGCGUCUUUAUCCACCGCCGAGAAAGGGACAUUUUCUUCCAUGUAACGGCGGUAGUUGAAGUCGCGGUGCCAAAAUGAAGCUUCAAACGCCGCGUCAGCCUCCACCGAUAAAGCUUUUCCGCCUCCUUUCCUUGCUGUUUUCAUUUUCUUCUUCUAGGGGGAGACGGUCAGGUCGUUCACCUCAUUCACCAUAACCUCUCCCUCAGCUAUCUUCUCAGGCAUAGUAUCCACCUCGCCGGCGGCAAGUUCAGAGUUGGCGACGUUCUCUCUUUUCUUCGUACCUUUACGAAGAAUCACCCCAGCUGGGUCACUUGAGAUAUGUUCUCCAGAAGCAUGUUUUUCUUUGAGAGCCUCAAGGUACUUCCUUCUCUCUUUUCCGGAUAAGGGCAACGUCGGCACUGUACAAAAGAAAAAGAGGACACAUCAAUUAAAAGAACAAAGAGAGUAGAAUUGAAAGAAAGGAAAACACAAAUCAUCGAAACUCACGAAGGUAUAACUCAAGGUCCUCUAAAUCCCCUUCUUUGUUUAAAAGUUUUCGGAUAUCUGUGUGAAGCAUCCGAUCUAAAAAACCAACUACUCCCUGUUCAUAAGGAAUCAUUUUUUGAUAAUCGUAACCAGAGACCGCCAAAGGAGUAGCAGUCCAUCCUAAAGGAAACCUCAACUCGCCCUCAACACUCGCAACACUCACUAACGAGUCUUUUGAUGAUUGAACCCUUAGAAAACUCUUUUUCCAAUCCCUUUUAAAGUUUGAAGCAAAGGCUGGAAAGAGUUGUUUUCCAGGAUGAGCACUAAUAGGGACCCAGGAACCUUUAUCCACUCCUUUCGUUCCAUAAAAUGAAAGAAGACUCCGGCUGAGGGAAUCAUAUCCAAGGCGUCACACAGGAUCUCAAAACCACGGAUAAACGCCCAGCUGUUAGGAUGAAUCUGAGUGGGGGCGACGUUGAGCAAGCGAAGAACGUCCAUUUCAAAAAGGUUGAAAGGGAUUUUCACCCCAAACUCCUCCAAGACAGCGCCGUACAUAUGGAAGAUCUCCUUUACUCCCUUUCGACACAUAGUGCAUACUUUCUCGCCGGCAGGGCAGGGCGCCAAGACGAUGUCUUCCUCUCUUUUGGUUGACGAAACUGAAAGCUUACUUCUAAAAAAAUUCACUUUCGCCUGAUCGUUAUAUGCAGAAUCAUACCGUUGCACGUCAUCUGAGAAGCACUCGGUAUCGAAUUCAUGACAUGCAAGUCGAAUGCCCUUUCCACGAACCAUUUUCGAAGGGGAACUAGCGACGAUUUCUUUUCCCAAAUUAUUUUCUGAGGUUGAAUAUAAUAAAACACAGUCUCUAUCAUCAGAUUCGCUACAGUCACUCUCGCUAGAUAAGUCGGAGAAAUUCAUAUGACUAAAGUAAUUAGAAUCGUACACCUCCCAAUCGAUUAAACCAUUUUUUCGUUUGGCAUGUUUCAAACAUUGUAAUCUCAACCUUUGCCUGUCUAGGGGAUUCGAAGGUACUAGUUAUAUCCCUCUCUCAUCACACUCCCUAACUACUACCAUGGGUAAAUGAAAAGAACGAAAGGAAAUGAGAGAAUUACCUGAAGGAUGCAACGAACAAAUCAGAGGCGGAGAGGUAUUUUUGCUUUGUGGGAAGCUGAAGCGAUGAAAUGAAACAAGGGAAAGGUUCCGUUUUUAAAGAGAGAAAAAACUCGGAUUUCUCGGAAAACGUGCAAAUUCAGCGGAUCCUAGACACGUGUAACAGAUCAAAUGAAAAGGUCGCACACCAUUACAAAUGCAAAGGUCAGAAGAUGUGGACCGUUGGAUGAAAAGGGCAUCGCAAAUAGAACCAUCUCGCCCGAAACAUUAGAACGCCAUUGAAAUCACUUUAGAAUUAAAGCACCACGUCUUGUACCAAGACUUGUGCUUGGGGGCUAUGGACCGUCAUAAUAUUCCGAAGAGCUUAGAGUCCCUCGGAAGGAUCUUAAAACGCCUUCGUAAGGACCUAAAAGGGUUCUCCAAAAGGUCUGUGGGUUCUAGAGGCGCUCUCCUAAAACACGUCGCCCCUAUGAACCCCAGAACUUGCCUAAAUCUUUUCUUCAGCUCUAAAGCACCACGUCUUGUACCAAGACUUGUGCUUGGGGGCUGUGGACCGUCAUAAUAUUCCUAAGGACCUAAAAGACCUCCAAAAGGGCUUCUUGAACCUCUCAAGAAGGGCUUAACACCCUUGAAGAAAGCCCAAAGGCCCAAGGCGCGUAUUUCCCAGUAAGCCGCCUUACUGGACCUCUAAAACCUUCUAGAAACCGCCCUAAAUACCUAAAUACCCCUAUUACUUGGAGAUUAAGCAACCAAAAUCCAAGCCCAUAGAAGGCUAUAAAUACCACCCUUGAGAACACUCUCAGGCAUCCAAUAUUCAGUCUAAACCCUAAUAGACGAUUCUUAACCCUAGAAUCCUUAUUGUACUUUUUCUGCAGGUACAUGAGCUAUAUCUUGUCAAUUGAUAUAUUUUAAUGCAUUCAUGUUUUGUCUCAUAUAUUUCCUCAAUGGAUAAUAAUUAUGUUUUAAUUUUGCAUGCUCAUUGAUUAACUUAUAUGCGAUGGAGCUAUUGGAGUUUAUGUUGAACCAAAGAAUUUGUCUGCCUAAAGGUGACAAUUUCCCAAGUUCAAUGUGUCCUCAUUGAUUAAAUCAUUUGAGGUUUUGGCUUGAGUUUUGACCUUAGUUUGUGCAUUUUUCCCAAAGGUGAUUGUACAAUUUUAUUGGUCUAGUUAUAAUAGCUUCUUUAUUUUGAGCUAAAUCUUAUCUUAUGACAUAUUUUAAUGAAUUCAUGUUUUGUACCAAUGAAUUUCUCUGUGAAACUAUAAGAAAUGGAAGUAAGAUUUGGAGUUUCCUCUAGGAGAACAUGCAUGAACUGAAAUAACCUUUUGGUAAGUGGGAGAUGACUCACAAGUUAAAGUACCUUACCAUAUUGGUCUCCAUAUUUCUAAUGAAAAAGUUAUUGGACGUGAGAAUAUGACAAUGUUGCAAUUUAGGAGUAACUGUGAAGUCAGUGGGAGAUGUCAUUUUAGAUUAAUCUGAUCUAGGAGUAAUUGUGCAGUCAGUGGGAGAUGUCAUCCAUAAUUUAACAUUUAGGAUGAAUCUUGUUUGUGUUACCCUGUUGGAGCAACUUUGUUUUAGUUUUCCUCUUGGAGGUAGAAAACUAAGUUUGAGAUUAAACUCACAUAACCUUGCUUCAUCCUUUGUUCAUCUAUAUAAACUGUCUCUAGUAGAUGGUUCAUCACUCCCUCGAUUUUUUGUUGAUGAUUUGUAUAAGUUGUCUUUGACUUCACAUAACCUUGAUUUAUCUUUCAUUGUCAAAACUAGUAGAUGGUUCAUGACUCCCUGGAUCUUUUGUUGAUGAUUUGUAUAAGUUGUCUUUGACUUCACAUAACCUUGAUUCAUCUUUAAUUGUCAAAAUUUUGUUACUAUAUACUAUAUGAUCUAAUGUUGAGGAAGACAUCCUUUACUUUAUGGCAUAAGCACUUGGAUCAUAUUUAUUGGGAAAGGGAUGAGAAAUUAAUCAAAAUAAAUAUUCUACCUUUCUUAAAAUUUGAUGAUCUAGAUACUUAUGUGGAUUGCAUUAGAAGAAAAUUUAUUAAAACCAACAUAAUGGGUACAACUUGCAGUUCUCAACCCUUAGAAAUUGUCAAUAUUGAAAUUAGUGGCUCCCAACUCGUAUUAUUUUUAGUGAUAAAUUAUUUAUUACAUUCAUAGAAUUCCUAACCUUGAUGUUAAUUCUCCUUUUAACCAAAUGACUUGGACUCAUUGUUUCAAGAGUCACUUUGAAUAACAUGAAUACUGUGAAUUUUUAAUGUCUUUGGUUAGUGGGAGUUUGAAUUUUAUAUUAUCAAUUUUCUGAUGAUGGAUUUUUCAUUCACUUAUUAUCUUUGAUAUAUUGAUGUGAAUUUUCAUUCAAUUUCAUUAUUGAUGAUGAGCUGAAUUCUUGUAUAUAUCAAAUAUCAAAUGUGAAAAAUUAAAGCUCAGUGUUGAAAGGAUCACUAUGCCGGUGAUCGACACUAUUUUGGAGCUGAGGCAUUACAUGUGAAAAAUUUGAGCUCAAUGUUGACAUGAUCUUUAUGCCGGCUGUUAACAUUAUUCUGGAGCUGAUGUAUAAUGUGUGAAAUUUAAAGCUCAGUGUCGUUGGGAUCACUAUGCCGGUAAUUGAAACUAUUUUGGAGCUGAGGCAAUGUGGUUUUCCGUGAACCACAUAAUUUCUCUGGCUUUAAGGCAUUUGAGAGAAAUCACAUAAUUUCUCUGGUUUAAGGCAUUGAGAGAAAUUGAGGACCGACGAUGAAAAUGAUAGAAUUGGUCGAUGAUCACGUUGACAUAUCAUUUCUUGCUACACUCUACACAAAUGACUAGUCGACGGAAUUGGUGAUAUUUGUAACCAUGGAAGGUGUUGCAUCAAUUAAGGAUAUAACUACCGCUAUGAUUCGAUAUCUUUCAGUUCUUAGUUGGAAGGAGUCUUAAUUAAGUGUUGCAUCAUGGGAUCAUGUAGCGGCCACAUUAGGAAGUUUGUUAUCAGUCGUCUGAGAGUCGAUUUCAAUUUUUUUUUUUUUUUUUUUUAAAAAUACACAAUUGAUUUUGCCCAAGUGGGAGAAUGUUGGAAUUUCUAGAUCUUCUAAUAUUUUGUGGGCUACAAUCAAUUGUUGGUUUUGGUUUUAAUAAAAACGGACUGAUGUUGUGAUCCAUUUGAUGAUGCUUAUGCCCUAAUAAAAAUGAUCAAUAGAUAAUGGGCUUUUUGGGUACUUAAUCUGAUUUGUGUAGAAACAUAGUGUAGGCCCAAUCACUAGUCCCAUGAUGGGUGGUACCUAGGGUUGCACGGUUAUAAAUAGAGAGGCUAGGUCCCCUUUGCCAUCACUCAGACUAUUCUGCUCAUUAGUGGUUUUUCCCGUUGAAAAUCCUAAGUCUGGAGCAUGUGAAAGGUAAAGGAAGACUCAUUUCUCAAAUAUUGGCGAAUCCGGUAAUCAUGGUUUACAAGUAAGUGUGUUCUAAUUUCAUAUAAUAACUCGAUUUCGAUAAUUAAUUCUUACAAAAUUAGCCUUGCAUAUCAACCGAAAUGCAGAGAGAAACCGAUAAAAUGAGGAAAAAGUACCCUGGACUAUAUUUUUUUACGGCAGGGUUGGUAAAUAUUGUGUUUAGAAAUCAUUUCUCUUGAUGAAAUUGAAAUGGAGGGAUAGGAUUUAGUGUCUGACUAAACUAUGACACAUUGGUGUCAAUUGAUCUCAUUGCAUUUUACAACUCUUAGGUUACUGUGAUAAAUAGGCACCGUUAAUGUUUUUUUUGUCACCGAUCUCGAGCAAGCGAUGGAAAUUCUUACUGAUGAUCUUAUGCUUCGUGUCACGAACACAUAUGUUGACCAUAUACAAAGAUAAAUAAUUUCAUAUAAGAUGUUAUUGGAUUCUUCUUGAUCGAUAUUUUCAAAAUAUUAAAUUUUCAUAAUUUUUUCUAAUAGAUAAUUAAAGAUUUCACCUAAUUACAAUAAAUAUUCUAAAGUAACAUUCGUUUCACAAUUUUAGUGAAUGUGUUGGAAUUAAUGGAUGAAACAUAUCCAUAAUAAAAAAAGACUAUAUCAUUUGUGAAAAUGAUUUAUAAAAUACAUAAGGAUGAAUAUCCUACUCUACACAGAGAGAAUGAAUGCUCUCGGCAGUUAACUAUACAUUAGACUAAUGCUAACUUUCUCAAUAGUUAAAAGGUAAAACAGUAAUAAAUCCUUGAUUGUUAAAUAGAAAUAGUAAUUUUUUUUUUUAUCAUGCAAAGAACACAUUCUUGAACUCAAUCUCACCCUGACAGUUCCCACUCGCCCACAUCUGUCUCUUUUCAGCCUUCCAAAACCUUUUUGAUUCCACCACAUGGAAACUCAACCAGAUAAUACUAUUCAAGACACUAUAAUCAAAUCUAAUGACCGUUAUAUAUCAAAAAGAAAAAAUAUGGGAAUAUAAAACUAAAUUACUUAAUAAAUAAGGAACUCAUGCUAAUUUUAAAUUUGGCAACAAAAAGGGAAAUUAUGAAAAUGUGAUUAAGUUCCCAAGUACCUCCAAAUCUCAAUUAAAAAGAGUUCACGACUAGUUUUUAUGUGUUGUUGGACUAAAAAUCUAACAACCUCAUUUGAUAUAUAACUGCGCAUAUUUUUUUUCUUUCUAAUAUCACAUGAAUGAAACACCCAACUAUGUCAAAAAAAAGGAGAUGAUUAACAUAGCUGACAGGAAACUAUGUCCGAAACUGACAAUAAGUAUAGUGAGGAAACUAUCUCCAAAAAUGAUUUGUCUAAAUGAUCUAAUUCCUUAUAUAUGUUUUCUUCAUUCUUCUGUAAAAUAUAUUCAAGUUUAUCAAUAGAACACACAUACCUGAAAUGAUUUUCAACCCUUCAAAAAGCUCCAAUUAUUUGGCAAACAAUAACUUCAAAGAAUAUAUCAACUUUGUAGCCUUAUGGAAAAAUAUGCUCCAUCACUUAAACUCAUGUGCUAGUUGAUCUCUAAUACUUUCGGGAAGAAAACGAGCCAUAAAUAAUUUAUAAUAAGACCAUCAUAGAGGCUUUUUGAAAGUAAACGGUGCCGUGGUUCACAAUUUACUAGCAAAAAUCUAUUAUUAAUCUAUGUAUACUGCUAUAUUUUUGACUUAAAAUCGGGCUAUGAUAUCAACUUUGUCACAAUCCAAGAACAGGGGCGGAUUGAGUGUGAAACAUGGUGUGGUAGCUGCCACACCAGAUUCUUGCCUAAUUUUUUUUUUUUUUUGUUUAUAUGCAUAAACAUAAGGCAAGGGAAGGAAAGUGGAAAUUGGAAAACACACACCACACAAACAAAACAACGCGUUUCUUCUCCUCUUCUCUACUCUCACAAUCGGUUUCUUCUUCUCUUCUCACAAAUCACAAUUCACAAUCUCCUUUCUUCUCACAACAAACAAACAAACCUCUCCUUCCACUCUCAUCAGUCAGCAGCAUCAUUUUCUCUCUUCACUCCUUCUUCAAAUCUAGUGUAUCUCUCAAUUCUCACUCUAUAAGUCUAAGUCAAGGUAAGUGAAAUAGUCAAUUGAUUCUCUACUUUCUCAUUCAUUCUACAAUUGCUUUUUUAGGGUUUUAGAAUUGUGAAAUACUUCUGCUGGCAUUUUGCGUGUUGUAUAUUCCGGCAUCAUGACCGAGUGGUUUUGGGUUUUAAGUGUGCCACCUAUAUACGGUCACUUUUGUAUUUUCUGCCGUUUUUUCCGCGAGUUGUGGGUGCGUCUUACACCCUCUCGAAGAUGAAUAAUAUUUGCCGUAAAAAAAUGUUAUAUAUUAUUUUUAGUAUAAUUGUAUUAUAGUUUCUUUAAAAAUUUUGCCACACUAAUAUGAAAUGUCUAGAUCCGCCCCUGCCCAAGAACAAUAAUCGUGAUCGGCGCACAAACUUAUACAUUUUAGUCCGGCAAGCCUAACAACCAAACUUGAAAAUGACAAAUAAAUAAUUUACAAAUAACCAUUUUUCAUCAAAAUAAUAUUUACAAAAAUUUGGACAGAAUAUCCUCUGUAUUUUUAACGUUUCAAAGAUCUGAAUCCUGUCCAUAAACCUGUUUCCAUCAACCAGAAACUCAAAAAGAGAUUUUUACAUAUUUGUACAACUCAAAAUAAGACAUUCUAGACUUCAAAUAGUUGCAGAUACACUGACUGUAAUAUAUACAUAAGCAAAAGAGUCGUCCAUCAAGGUGGCCUACAAAAAAAAAUGUGACACUGCUGAACCUUGAGUCUACUACCAGCUUUCUACUCAGCUGUAUGUGAAUCUGAAAAAAUAGAAAAUGAAAGAGUAAGCCACGAGGACUUAGUGAGGAGACAACAACAACCACCGACUAGAAGGAAAACACACAUGGGCACAAGUAAUUAAGUUUCUCAAAUCUAGUGUUCAUUUUCAAAACUAGUAACCGUAUAAAAUUCUAAUAAUCUGCAACUGUUUAUAUGCAUGAAAAUUCACACAUUGUAAAUAUUUCCAAUCAAAUAAGUAUACUUCAACGAAAAUCCAAUAUCGUAAAGAGGUGAGGAAAAAAAUCAAAUCCCAUAAUAUAUUACAAGCCUUUUAGGUGCAUUGUCCAACUAAAAGUAUACUUCAAUGAAACCCUGUAACCUGAGUAAGCCGUCAAGCUAUCGACGUUAAAUGAAGCGCUGCGUGGGAGGCAACCCACAAUUUUUAUUUUUUUAUUUUAUUUUUUUUCUAAAGAAAUAAAAAGAUCAGUCAAAGUGAGCAAGUAUAGGUGGAUGGUCCAGCAUCAUGGGAUGCCCGUAGCUGACACCAUGCAAAUAUCCAAAAAGUUAUUUCGUAGAAUGUCUUAUUUUGAGUUGUACAAAUAUUAGCUGGUAUUAAAGUUGACAUCAUGGGAUUGUUGUUAGGAGCAAGCAUCAGUGUUGUCAAAAGCUAAUUUCGUAGCCAUGAGAAAAUAAAAAAGAUGAAUUUAAAGUUGAAAUAGAGACAAAGUAUAAUGGAAUUUGUUUGCUUUGCAAUUGUGAAUCCUUGAUGGAACUCAGUUGGUAUUUAUAAGCAAGCAAUCUUGGAAUACUAGACCCUUCUCCAAGCCAACCAUAUUUUCGAACUCAAUAAUCACUUGAAUCAUCAAACAUAUUAUUAAACUAAAUAUUUGCACAACAGGAUAUAAAAUUAUGUUCAAUCUUGAUUUGUCUUACCACGCAUAUUUUCAAACCCAAUAAUUAUAUUUUUGCAUCUAGUGUAAUUAUUUUGACAUGCAGCAUCCAGAAGUGUGUACUCAACAAACAUAAUUUGGAAAACAAUUAUAGAUGACAUGACAAAAUUACCCUUACAAAAAAUUAUCAAAUUUUCCUUCAAUUUUUUUUAUCAAAUUUGUUAAAAAUAUUAAGUUAAUAUUCAUAAAUUUGUAAUUUUUAACUAUAAUUUCAUUUUUAGAAUUUUCUAAAUUAAAUAUUAAAUAAAACGUAAAAAGUAUUUAUUUUUUAUUUAUAUCUAUAAAAAUCAUUUAUUUAAAAUAUUAAAAAAAAUCUUGUUUUUGUCCACUAAGUUAUUUGACUGGAAAAAAAAAUCAAUUUAUAUAUUUUAUAUGAAUAAAAUGAUAGUUUAUUUUGUACCAAACAAAAAAAUUGAUAGUUUAUUUUCUAGGUCGUGGUUCAUACUUCAUACCGAUUCAUAUGGUCAGACCCAAAAAAUGACCCAAUAUAAAUGCGACACAUGGCACUAUUUUGUCUUUUUGCAACGUUCAAAAUUUCAACCGAUUUCGUGCUUUUACCUCUUUACCCUUUCAGUAAAAUGGCCAGUCAAAUUGUGCGUAUUACACAAACACCUCUGUAUCAAUCUCUCUCUUGUAGGUCAGUUUAAAAAAAAUAAAAAAUUUCUCUCGUGUCUAUUACAGAAACACCCCUAGAUCAAUUCUCUCUCUUGUGCGUAUUACACAAACACCCUAAAUCAAUUUCUAAUAAAAAAAAUUCUCUCUUGUGUCUAUUACACAAACACCCCUAGAUCAAUUCAUUCAUUCCUUUCCCUUUGAGUUCUACAUCGUUCCACCUUCUCGUAUCAUUGUUCAUCGUCGCUGCAAAUCUGGCAACUGUAACUGUUCAUCGUAGUCUACACGAGUUCCAGAACUGAUUCUCCAAAAACCUUUCGACAGCUGUUUCUCAAAGACCAUUGUCAACCAUCAUUCAUUCAGCUUCUAUCUUGAUUUACAUUAUCCAUCAGCGAGGUCUGUAUGUCCUCUUUCAAACUCAUUAUUGUUUCACGAUUUAAGUUAUACUCCCUCCGUCCCUCAAUAGAUGACCUAGUUGACAAUAUACAUCAUUGACUUGACAUACUUUGACCAUAUUUUUCUACUAAUUCACAAAGAUAAAUAAUAUCAUGUAAGAUGUUGUUGGAUGUGUCUCGAUGAAUAUUUUUCGAAGGGAGUACUAUUUACUUAGAAUCAAGAAAGAAUAUUUGUCGCAGAUAAGUUUGCAGUGUUAUUUAUAGGUUAAAUAACUUUGAAGAAUAAACCGUCAAUUCAGUACCUUAACUAUUAGAAUCACAUAAAAGGAAGGACUUAAUUGAGGAGUGAGUUGAUAGUUGUUUUAGAUAGUUAAGUCAUAGUUUAUUUGAUUGUCGCUUCAAAGCCUAAUGGCUAUGUUCUGGUUUGGGAUUCUAUGCUUUGAUUUAUGGAUUUGAACAGUUAAGCUUAAGCAGCCUUUGGCGUUGGGUUUAUUUACAAAAUAUUGAUUUCCAAAAACUUAUUGAUUACAUUCUUAGUUUACUUCCAAAAGGAUGCAGAAAGUUGAACCAUACAUGACUUGUUUGGGGGGAAACACAUAACCGAAUUGACUGAUUAAGACACACACUCAAGUGGUGUCAUCAGUGAAAGUUGAAUGAUUCAACUUUGUUAUAAUUCACAGCAUCAAUUCGAUCACAAAAACAAACUACACAAUUCAUAAAACACAUUUAGCACAAAAAAUGCAAGAGACAAAAAAUAUUUAAAGAAGAAAUCAGUAAAGGCCAAAAGAAUCAUCAUUAGCACCAAAACUAUAGUUACUAAGAAAGAUAAACAUAUAUACUUGUAAAGCCUAAAUCAUGUAUAAGAAUUAGCUUCAUUAGAAAAUACAAAAAAGUAAAUUAUAAAUUAUUUUAUCAACCCACUUGUGUUGGUCGGAUGAUGUUGGCUUCAGACCAACACUCAAAGGCACUGAUAAUGCCCGGUGUAAACUCUUUUAAAAUAUGUCUCAAAAAUUGGUGAACCAUUGCAAAACUUUAAGAUAGUAAACAUGUGAAUGGACAAAAUAGGGAAGGAUAAGAAGAAAAAUAGCUUUGUGUGUACCUUGAAGCAAUAUGGAAGACAUGCUCUAAACGUGUGUAUCAUUUCAUGUGUAUAAAAUUUUAGGGUUGGAGGUUGUUAAUAAGAAAACCACUCAUCUUCUUCACGGGUAACAAAGACAACCAAGGAUGUUCUAAAAUCCAACAAAGAGUACAAAAAAAUAUUUAAACAAAUGGGAAGUUAAUUUUGGAUAAUUUAUUGGAGAAAUUGAAAGAGAGCAUAGCAAGUGGUUAAGCACAAUAGUUAUGUAAAAUAUGAGACUAUCCAUCAUAUAAAAUCAAUAUUCCUGACAUCAUACACAACCUAUCUUUAUGCAUUUUAUCACCAACAGAUAGAGAAAUGGGAUUAUUCUCCCAUAGAUUUUAUCAAUACAAAGGAGCUAUUCUGCCAUAGACUAGAGCAUUCACUAGUUAACAUUGUUGUUCACAAAAUAUUAAAUAACUACCAACUAAUGUAACUGAAAAACAAGUUUCAAAAUAUAACAAAAUUUUAGAGAAAUAAUUUGUGCAAAGGGCUGCACAGUGCACACAAUUUACACUGUAGAAGCGAAGAGAAUUAUUAACGGUAACACUUUAGAAAUUACUAGAAUCAUGUGAACAUAACAAAUGCCUCUUUAAUCAUGUAGAAGCUGAGAGAACUGGAGAAGUAUUAAUGGUAUCAUUUCCGAAUAGAGAAUCAAUGAGUGAAUUUAGUAACAAAUAUAUUUCAUGUUUCAUUCUAGUCUCCUGCAAAUAAUCCUAGACAUCCAUAUAAAACUGAACGAGCAUAAUGACAUCAAUGUAUCUGCGAAUUCCCUAGAAUUAAUACUUAAGUGCAGAAGCAGUAUCGAAUGAAAAAUUUCCAGCAAACCAAGGACAAUUCCUUCUUCUAUUUCAAUGACACAUGUUGCAAGCCAAGGCACUCAAUGUGUUCUGCAUAUAUCUAGUUUGCUAGUGCUAGGGAGUUUCAAUCAUGACUGUAGGCAUUUGCCUCUUUACUUAGGUACAAGCAUUGCAAAAUUUGGUUCGUAUGACAUGCACCGUAUUUUGAUCAUUUAAUAUAUGGUUCUAACUAUUUAUUCAAUAUUGUUGUUAUUCUUGCUUUUAUUGUUUUAUUGAAAUUCAAAAUGAUAUGGACACAUACUUUUGAAUCUAGAAAUAGAAUAACAACCUAUCUUAAGUUAUCACUCUAGACAUGGAUGUUAAUAUUUGAUAAUCACUUUUAAUCUAGGACUUAAUGCUUUUGGGUAAUUUAAUCGGUUUGGAAAUCGUCGAUUAAACUAUCCAAUCGACUUUGUGAUCGUUUAAAUGUUUGGAAAAUCGAUUUUUAAGCGAUCCCUUAGAAAUAACGUUAUCAUUUGGACACGAAUGAUAUUGUCGAGUGAUUGUGAUAAUAUAGUUUAAAAAGGUAGAAUCCAUUAAUCGAUCGAGAGAUUACAGCUGUUACGCUUGGUUGAUGUCUCUGACCGCAAGCGGAAUAGCCCUAUCUCUUCUCAUUUUACUUUUAUGUCGAUUAGGAAAAUAGUUUUACACAAACAAACAAUUUAUACCCAAACACUUAACGUGACAAAUAUUGUGAAAAUGCUUAUGAAAUACGCAACUUCUUGUGGACACAAUCCUAUUAUACUCACGUGUAAAUAGUUUUAUGAGAUGGAAAAAUCCUUCAUCAAUAGCUAUAAAAAUAUUUCUUUCAUCACGGCAAAGAACACAUGCUUUUAGCAAUUUCAAAUAAAUAACCUGCAAUAUUUUCUUCCACCACGACAUGAAUCUGAUUGCCUUAAGUCCCAACUGAAGACAAAUAAUGAAAGUGCAAAUCUAGAGUUCAGAUUUGGAAUUGACUCUGAUGAAAGUAACGGGCCUUUGAUUGCUUCAGCAAAAAGAUUAACCAGAGUUGAUCCCUUGGCUCCAUAUUCUAUUUCUUUAGAAUUAACUUCAAUUAGAGGCAUGUUACCAAUAUCAUACGCAAAUUCUUCCUUGGGCAACUCUUUUGAGUCAGCAUUCUCAAAACUGCUGAUGAGCAAUAAAGACCUGUUGGUAAUAAUAAGACAAGAAUAGAAAUUGUAUCAAACUAUCUUACUAUAAAUCUAUUAUGUAGAUUGCUGCUACAUUGACUUCUAACUCACCUUUGAAUGAUUGAUGUUAAUCCUUUGUGCAUUAAGCAAGUAACUUUAGUGCUUAGAGAUGCAUACUUUUUGUGAGAGAUACUAGCACGAAAUUGACCUUUCCACUGACAUUCAUGAUGUAACUUGUCUUUCAAAGGUGAUGUGACAUGUAACAUGGGCCUAUUUUAACUAAAAUCAUUAAGUACACAUAAACCACAAUAUGAUCAAACUUGAAUGACUAUGAGCUUUGAGAUGCAAGUGACUCCUGUCAUACUUUGCAAGUCCAUGUUAUGUCAAAGGAAAAUUGAGAGUCUAUUUUGAAUAAUAAAAUUCAGAGUCUCUUUUGUACUGCAUUGUAUUUUGAAGCACACAUAAACCACAAUCUGAUCGAACUGAUUAAUAAAAUGAUCAGAUAUUUCAACACAUAUGAUGCCUACGUCAAGACAAACGAAAAUCGAGAGUCUCUUUUGUACUGCACCGUAUUUUGCAGCGUAUGGUAGGAAUUCUUUUUUUCUAGUGAGCCUCAUACCGGUAGUGACAGCCAGAGAAAGCUUACAACAACCAAAUAUAUAUAUUGAGAAUCCACCGUAAGCAUGGAUCUUGGAAAUAAACUAGCUUAUAUAUGGAAGGAAAAAAAAUUACGAUAAGAUUAAGCUGCGAUACAUAAUUUCAAAAAAGCACAUACCAAAUAGUUUCCAUCAAACUAGAGCACAUCAAUUUGCAUCACUUAAAGGAGGAAUUGUAAGUUUUACUAACACAAAAUGCAAUCACAUCAUACAAUACAGAAUAUUAAAUUCAGAAACACAUAAAGUAUAUCUCUUAACAAACAAGCUAGGUCACUAAUAAAGGAUGCAACCUUUCUAUUUUUGUCCCACAAAAUGAAUCCAAGUUAAAUAUGGUUGUCUGAAGCCUAAGAAGGACAAUAAUACCAAACAUACUAUCUUUGAGAUGGUAUUUUAUUUUCUUAUAAUUUGGUAAUUAAAGUCUUAUGUAGUAGAUACAUUAUAAUAUUGAACCCAACAUAAAAGACCAAUUCAUCAAAGGAAAUGUAAGAAUCGGAUAGCUUAAAUCAUCAACAUUGCCUUAUUUUGGUGAUAUCAAAUCAUGCUAGCUUAAAUUAAAGUUUUUCUGCAAAUUGUAUCUAGUUUCUACAGUCAUAUUGUUCAUAUUACAUAAAGCGGUAAAAUUAAUCAAACCUUCCUAAUUUCAGUUUUGCAGCAAGUCAAACCCAAAAAAUGAUAAGAAAGAAUAAUAUGGUAUGCAUUUAUUAUGCAAAACUGAUGAGAAGUCUAACUGAUAUUCGAAAACAUAUCAGUCGCAUCCUGCUGUUUCAACUGACACAUUGUAAGACUCCCACUUUUCUUAAAUAAUCUCUCAGUCAAUUUCUAACUGACAUCACAGCAAAUACACAUUGUUUAAUGCAAUAUCACUCUCAAAAUUCUCACUAGUUCUUUUCAAAACUAUCAAAGCCUUAAUAAACCAUUGAUACCAUUAAAAUAUCAAAAUGAACAUAACAACACAUGACUUUUAUUAUCAUUAUGUAAAAUUAGGGAUACCUAUGUUAUCAGCUUCCAUUUGGUUUAUCGUAAAAAAAACAAACUUCCAUUUGGUGUCUCUAUCAUCACUGAACAGUGUCACAAUUGUUUUAAUCAACUAAUGUUGAAAAGAAAAUACCUUUUGCCUCUUUGAGUCAGUGUUGUCAAAUAUCGGCCAUCUCGGAUAUCAGUGGGAGAUUUUCGGAAAACUGAUAUGAUUUUUUUUAAAAAAUAGCAGCGCCAUAUAUCAGCUGUUAUGUCAGAUUUUUGGCCUUCCGCAUUCAACAAUGUUGCUCUAAGUAACAAGUCGAUAGUAACCAAUUGAAAUGCUUAACAGGAAGCAUUUCUGUUACAAAAAAAAAAAAGAAAAAAGGAAGCAAUUGAUGUGCAUACAAUUUUACACAACUAAAAAUUGCAUUAGAAUUAGAAUAUGAAGAAUUAAAACAACAAAAAGUAUCAGCAUUGAAAAAGGUAAUUAAUUACUAAAGUAGCAAGAGAGAAGAACUUAGAUGGCAGAAUGGCACAUAAUAGAAGUAUGAAGAAUCACCAUGUAUUUCAAAAUCCAAUAUAGCAUGUAAUAAAAAAAAUAUUGUAAAUCAUCGAUUAAAAAUACUAAAGGACUACACCAACUACUCAUGCACCCGACACCAGAUUAAACAUAUAGCCAAAAUAAGACAAUAUAUUAGUGUUUGAUUUUUGCAAAAUAGCCAUUAAAGGGCAAAAUCUCAUAGUGGAAUAAACUUAUAGCCAAUGACCACAUAACAUAAAAGUUCACAUACAGAGGUCCAACAAGUACAACUUUACAAAGGAAAUUGAACUAAUUGAAUUAUUGGGAGAACAAGAAAAGCAACAAUAUAACCAUUGUCGUACUCAUGAUAAGCUAAAAAUUUGAUGAGAAAAAAUGAUUUACUUAUGCUAACCAAGAGUCCUUGAGAUAAGUUAAGAUUAGGGAAUAUAAUACGCCUGAAAUAAAUUUAUGUCCAUUCCUGAAUUGGAACCAAUGGAAACUUUAGCUCAAAUUGGUUUUUUCUUAAAGUAAACCUCUAACAAUCAAUUCACGUACAAGUUUCUCUGCUUUAUCAUUCUCAUCCUUUUCAAAUAGAGCGUGAAUAAUGGUUUGAUAAGUUACAACAUCAGGUAUGCAUCCAUUGUCUUCCAUUUUUGACAGCAAGGUCUCAGCUUCAUCAAGCAAGCCCUCUAAACAAAGACCAUUGAUCAUAAUAUUAUAUGUCCAGGUUGGUAAAUUGUAGCCUUUAAUCAAAAGAUCUUGAAAAAUCAGUUGCGCGUCCUUAAGUCUUCCUUGUUUGCAUAGUCCAUCAACAAGUGUAUUAUAUGUGUGCAUAUCUGGUUGAAUGCCUUGGUCUUUAAAAUUGUUGACCAAUGCAAUUGCCUUGUCAACAUGAUGGUUUUUACAUAAAGCAUGUAAUAAGGAAUUGUAAGUGAUUACAUUGGGAGGUUGGCCUCUAUCACGCAUCUGAUCAAGAAGCUUCCAAGCAUGAGAAAGUCUCCCAGAUUUGCAGAAUCCAUCAAUAAGAGUGUUGUAAGAUACUGUAUUGGGUUUGCAAUGCAUUUCUGUGAAGAGAUUCAAGGCUUCAUCAACCAUUUUAAUCUUACAUAAUCCAUUAAUAAGGAUAUUGUAGCUCUUACAUCAUCACAGCUAUCACAUUUUUAGCUUCUUUGAUCUUUCCGUCCUUACAAAGAGCAUCAACCAAUAUAUUAAAAGUAUAAACAUUUGGGUUGAUGUUUUUCAAUACCAUUUCAUGGAACAAACUAAACGCUUCUUUCAAUUGACCAACAAUGCAAAAUCAAUAGAUUAGAGAACUGAAAGUGACAACGGUGGGAGGAAUUCUCUUUACAAUCAUUUCUGAAUAUAAACCAUAGGCAUCAAUUACUAGUUUAUCUUUACACAAACCAUCAAUGACUGUACUAUACAUUACCACAUUGGUGUUGACCAAUUUCCCUUCAAUUUGUCUCAACACUUGUAAGGCGGCUCUUGUUUGUCCCAUUUUACACAAUCCAUUGAUCAAGAUACCAUAAGUAACAUGAUUCAAGUGAAAUCCAAGUGCAAGCACGUGGUCGUGAAAAAGAAGAGCUUCAUUGACCUUACCAUUAAGACACAAACCUUUGAUAAGAGUAGUCAAGGUAAUGGUAUUCGGUUCAUAACCCAUCUUAAAAUCUUGGCGAAUACAGAAAAGGCAAAAGUCAUUUGACCUAAGUGGCAGUAACAAUUAAUCAAGAUGCUUAAAGUAAAUAAAUCAGGCUUAACUCCCUUGGAUUCCAUCUGUGUGGAAAGGGAAAGAACAGUGGGGUAGUGGUUCUUAGUCUUAAUAAGGUAUGUUAAGAUCUUAUUGAAUUCAACAAUGGAUGGAGUAUGACGCAUUUGGAGCAUGCGAUUGAACGACAAAACAGCAUUAUCAACAACAAAACCAUUGGGAAUGGAUCUAAAGUGAGAACAAUUUUGGACGGUGAGGCGGAGGACGGCGUUGGAGAGCGGCGACGGUGGCACUUGUUGAUGGUGGUGACUUCGGUUGAGAUCUAACCAGAAAUUGGAACAACUAGCACUCGGACGACGAGUGUCUAGAGCUGGAAGCACAAUCUUAUUUAUCCUUUGUUUAAAGAUAUCUUUCCUCCCUGCAAAUAUAUAGUCAAAAGUUAUUAAUGAGAUGUAAUUAGGAUCAUUUUUCAAAGGUUUUUUCUAGAUUACCUUUGAAGAAUGGUGGGUAAUUUACCCACCAACCAAUGAAAAUGAGCAAUUUGUUGGUGGGGUCAAGAUAGUUUAUGGAUACCACUUAAAAAUGUGCUUAUGUAGCUAAUGUGUAUUGGUUGGGGUAAAUUACGCAUCAUUCUUCCAUGGGUAUCCUAAUUUUUACCUUUUUUAAAUGAUAAAUAUUUGGCUAAAGUGCACUUUUCCCCCUAUCUUUCAAAAACUUGCAAUUUUGAUCCAUAAAUACAAAAACUACAAUUUUAGCCCCCUAAAAUUUAACCCCUUCCCAACUUUGAUCCUUUUUAACCGGUCAAUACUUACGUGGCAUUCCACGUGUGUAAUUAAUGAAUUAAAAAAACAAAAAUUAUAUAAUCAUUUUUUAAAUUAAAUAAAUGAAAAAUAAAAAUAAAAAAUUAAUAAAAUCAGGAAAAAAAUGUAAUUAAUCUCCUUGUAUUUUAUUUUUUUUUUCCUUCCAAAAGCUGAGUGUAUCUGCCAUUUUUGCAUUGGUGGUGAAAUCUGCAUCUGUUGCUUUGAUGCUGAUGAAUAAUCAAGCUUCAAAUCAAUAAAACGAGAUUCAUCCAUGCCUUUAAAAUCACUCUCUCUUAGUGAAAACAGACGCCUGUUGUAGCUUCCAUCAAUUUCCAUAACACCACUCUUCCUACCAUUUUCAUAUUCAUAGAAGAAAUCACUUCUUCUUGGUUCAGCUUCACUAUAACCACUUCUCCUACCAAUAAGAAAUGAGACUCUGCCAAUACUUCCUACCUCAACAUAACAUGAAUUUCGAUUGGAAGUGAUCUCAUCAGAGCAAGAACAAGAAGAAAGCCUUUGUUCCCCACAAUCUGAACACACUAGCUUGACCAAACGUUCCUUUAAGAUUGUGACUGAUUAAUUACAUUUUUUUCCUACCCCUAAUCUUUUUUUUUUUUUAAUUUCUUCAUCUCCUUGUAUUUUUAAUUUUUUUUCCCGAUUUUUUUAUUUUUUAAAUUUAAUUUUUCAUUUAUUUAAUUUAAAAAAUGAUUAUAUGGUUUUUUUAUUUUUUUUUAAUUCAUUAAUUACAUACGUGGCAUACCACGUAGGCAUUGACCAAUCAAAAUUGACAAAAAGGAUCAUAGUUGCAAAGAGGCUAAAUCUUAAAGGAUCAAAAUUGUAGUUUUUGUACUUAGGGGGUCAAAAUUGCAAGUUUUUGAAAGUUAAGGGAGGAAAAGUGCACUUUAGCCUAAAUAUUUAUAGUGGCAGAUUGGAAGGAUUAGUAACUUCAAGGACGAAAAUUCAAAUGGCCUAUAUUUGCAGGGACGAAAGACCUAUUUAAGCCUUAUCUUUUUAAUUAUUUUUAUUUUUAUUUUGUAGUGAAAAAAAUUAAAUUUGCAGAGAUUAUGCAUGUCAAUUUGUUGAAAUAUUAGUAUGGAUACAUGUGUGAAGCAUGACUUAGAAUUUUGUCAUACUUAAAAUAGUAGUGAGAUAUAAUAUCAUUUUCAUUUGUUUGAUUUAUAUAUUUGUCAAUUGGAUGCAUCCACCCCAGUGUUAGCACCCCUUAAAAUCCAAAGAUGGUAUCAUAGCCUGUAGGGGUGUUCGCGGUCCGGUUUGGAUCGGUUUUGAGGUUAAAAAUCAACCGAUCCAAAAUAAAAAUCACGUGCGGUUUGGUUCGGUUUGGAUGAUUAUGUUAAAAAAAUCCGAACCGAUCCGAUCCAAAUAUAUGCGGUUUAAUUUGGAUCGGUUUUUGGAUAUCCAAAGUGUAACAUGUAAUUUUUUUUUUUUAAUAUUAAUAUUACUCAUACACAAUAAAAUAAGAGGUUUGAUACAAAAUAUGACACAAAUUUAUUAAAAAAGUUAACAUUACACAAUGAAAAUGAUUGAUUAUAUUUGAAAUAGAUGAAGUAGUAAUAAUAUAGAUUAAAUUAAUGCAAUAUAUAAGAUUAAAUACCAAUAAGCAAUAUAUUAGUGCAAUAUAUAAUACUAAUAAAAUAAUAAAUAAGUAUAAAAAUUUACUUUUGCGGUUCGGUUCGGUUUUGAAAACGCAAUCCGAUCCGAUCAUAGCGGUUUUUCCAAAACAACAUCCAAACACAUCCAAAAAUAUUCGAUUUUUUGCGGUUUUCAGUUUUUUUGGAUCGGUUUGCGGUUUUAUUUUGGAUCGGUUUGGAUUUGAACACCACUAAUAGCCUGAUUCAACUUUAUGGAGAAGCAGAAGUGGCUCUUGGUGGUAGAUCUCGGAUAUAGAGAGUCUCAUACUUGAAUAAAAGAUGUUAAUGUGUCAAACGUGAGUUGAAGUUUCAUAAUGGAUUUAAGAGUAAAUGUUGAUAAACAUAUAAGUAAUAUGAUCCAUAUACUUCAUGUCUUCUUAAGAUUUAUGGUGAAGAUGUGAUGUCAAACACACAUGUUUGGUUUCUCUUAAUAUAAUAUGAUGGUCAAACUCAAUGCAAGACCCCUCGAAAGUUAGAAUAUUAUGAUGAUAUAUUUUUUUAGUUUUUGUAUGUCAAUCAUUUAAUUUUUCUAUCUUAAAAUUUGGUUUUUGGAUGUCAUUCUAUUUCUUGUGAAUUUUUUCAUUCAACCUCUGCUAUUUGAAAUUCUUUCACUUUUGGUCUUUGGUGGCCAGUGAUAAUGAAAAAUUGGAUGUGUUAUGCUGAGUUAGGACAAAAUACAUGCUUGUUGAUGGUAGUGGUGACUUCGGUUGAGAUCUAACCUGAAAUUGGAACAACUAGCACUCGGACGACGGGUUUCUCAAGCUGGUUGACAUCUAGCCUGACAUAUAUAUCAUUUGAAUUUUCAUGAUUAGGACCAUUUUUCUUUUGAUUUAACUAUGCAAUUCGUCUCAAUGCAUUUUGAUUUUCGUUCUUAUAAAAAAAAAAUUUGAAAACAUCCUCUAAAAAAAAUUGUUUCAAAAACGUCCCUGAUCCCACUAUUCAGUUGAAGUGGCAUGGUUUUGGUCACAUGGCAGUUGCUGACUGUGCAACUUUUGUCACGUGGCGUUGACGUGGCAUGCCACAUAAUUCAAAAUUCUAAAAAUUUAUUUUUUAAAUUAAAAAAUCCGAAAAUAAAUAUAAAAAUCAUAAAAUAUUAAAAAUCAGAAAAAAAAAAACUGAAAAUUAAAUUUUUGAUUUUUAAUUAAAAAAAAAUAUUUUUUCAAAAUUCUGAAAAUUCAUUUUAUUAAAUUUAAAAAAUCUGAAAAUAAAUUUAAAAAAAUAAAAAAACUGAAAAUUAAAUUUUCGAAAAUUCAUUUUUUUUUAAUUCUGAAAAUUAAAUUAUAUUUUCAAAAGUUAUAAAUUUUGAGAUUAUAUAAUUUUUAAUUUUAUUUUUCAAAAAUUUAUUUCUAGAUUUUAAAAACACUAAUUUCCAAUUUUUUUCUUCAUAUUUCAAAAAAAAAAAAAUUGGAAUUUUUUUAAAACACAGUCAGAAACUGCCACGUGGCCAAAGCAUCCCAUGUCAGCAAAAAAGUGGGCCCAAGGACCUUUUUAAAACAAAAAAAAAUUUGCAGGGAUGUUUUUAAUUUUUUUUUUACAAGGUCAAAAAUCAAAACGCGUCUAAAUUACAGGGACGGAUUGUAUAUUUAAGCCUUCUUCAAAUGAUAAAUAUUUCUGUGGCAGAUUGGAAUGAUUAGUAACUUCAAGGACGAAAAUUCAAAUGACCUAUAUUUGCAGGGACCAAAGACCUAAUUAAGCCUUAUCUUUUUAAUUAUUUUUAUUUUUAUUUUUAUUUUGUAGUGAAAAAAUUAAAUUUGUAGAGAUUAUGCAUGUCAAUUUGUUCAAAUAUUAGUAUGGAUACCUGUGUGAAGCAUGACUUAUAGAAUUUUGUCAUACUUAAAAUAGUAGUGAUAUAUGAUAUCAUUUUCAUUUGUGUGAUUUAUAUAUUUGUCAAUUGGAUCCAUCCAUCCACCCACUGGAGAAGCAGAAGUGGUUCUUGGUGGUAGAUCUAGGAUGUAGAGGGUCUCAUACUUGAAUAAAAGAUGUUAAUGUGUCAAACGUGAGUUGAAGUUUCACAUUGGAAGUAAGAGUAAAUGUUGAUAAACAUAUAAGUAAUAUGAUCCAUAUACUUCAUGCGUUCUUAAGAUUUAUGGUGAAGAUGUGAUAUCAAACACACAUGUUUGGUUUCUCUUAAUCUUGUUUGGUUUCUCUUAAUAUAGUAUGAUGGUCAAACUCAAUGUAAGACCUUUUGAAAGUUAGAAUAUUAUGAUGAUAUAUUUUUUUAGUUUUUGGAUGUCAAUAAUUUAAUUUUUCUAUCUUAAAAUUUGUUUUUUGGAUGUCAUUCUAUUUCUUGUGAAUUUUUUCAUUCAACCUCUAUUAUUUCAAAUUCUUUCACUUUUGGUCUUUGGUGGCUAGCGAUAAUGAAAAAUUGGAUGUGUUAUGCUGAGUUAGGACAAAAUACAUGUUUAUUGAUCAUUUAGAAUUAUGUGACAUUUUUUCUUAAUCAGGUCUAAUUUUUUGGUGAAAUAGUCACCCAAAAAUCUUCAACUACAUCAACAAUUUGGACAAGGGUCGAACCCCUAACUGGAUAUAUGACCUAACCGUAGACUUUUUGAAUAUUCUCUUUAGACCUUUAUAUUAGAUAUGGUGUCUUUGCCAUUGAAAAUCAUCUUAUAUAUAUUGAGGAUUCCAUAAAUAUUAUUUUAUUCUUUUGUAAUUUGCAACAUAAGAUCAAUAUGUAGAGUAUAGACCAGUUGCAACUCCAAUAUUUCAUAAUAAAAUGUAGUAGAAAUGAGAUGGAGGACACAUAUGGCUUAUCCCGGUAGCAAACUGAGAAAAGGUAACUUCAUCUUAAUAGGUAUAUACUUGUUUCAUCACCUUAUAAUGAGGAUCUCCAAGUCUAUAUUAACACCGUGUAUGUAGCAUACCAGGUCAAGAGUUUUAGCUUUAAAUAACUUGAAAGGUGCAAAGUUAAUCUAAAGAUCAAGAGUCCACGCUCAAUAAAAUGAAAAUAUGUAUACAUAAAAUUACAUCAAAAGGUAAAUAAUGGCAUAUGUUUUGCCCUUGUCCAUAUGUUAUAUUUUCUAAAACCAAUUAGCAUUCAGUGAUUCACAAGCAAAACAACCUUUCUUUUAAGUAAGUACAGAAGAUGAGUAAUAAUAAUCAUGUCUCAAAUUGGUUCUCCCGCUGCAUAUGUAUAACAAUAAGAUGGCAGUUUUUCAUAGUUGUGACAUUCUUUGUCAUGGUUGCACCUGGGAGAUUAUGAUUGCUGAUUAUACAAAAGCAAAGUCCGGAUUAUGAAAUCGGAACUCGUCUGGAUUAUGAAAUCCGGACUGCAAAGGGACAUUGUUGGAAAUUUUACAGGGCACGCGAGAAGGCAUCAGGGUGGGAAAAUUCUAAUCUUUUCACAGCUCAAAAAUACAACAAUGAAGAUGGUACUUUUAUGGUUAUGGAGGCAAUAAAAUGUUCACUCAUAAAAGAAUCAACCUUGAGUCUCUAAAAGUUCAUUAGAGAUUUGUUAAUGCUGAAUAUCUACGAAAAAUGAAAUGCAUGCUAAUAGAGGCUGUUCCGAAUGCAGUUAUUGAUCACUUCAAAAGUGGAAAAGAAAAAGUCUAUUCCCAAAACCAAAUACACUACCUGAUUACAUACAUAUGCAUUCCAUACCAAAAAUGUUGCGGAAAAUUCAAGAGGCCGAUUCGACGAGAAAAUGCAACCAUUUCUUACUUGUGUCAAAUCAUAAUCAAACAAUCAUACUUGUAUCAGGAAACAUCAUAUCAUAUCUCGUUAUUUUGAAGUUUUAACCAGAUUACUUAGGAAAAUAUUAUGUACUUUGUGUUCAUUUUGAAAUCUGAAACAACUAACCAUAUCAUUUGUGUCUACUUGGGCAAUGCAGGAAAUGAAUCAGCCAAGGACCAUCUUUUAAGAAUUCAUCUAAACAGUUUGCAUUCAUCUAAACACUCUGCGGGAGGAGAAAUCUGAUAAAGAGAAUGCACAACACUUCACACCAUUAUUGCACCACCUCUUGAUUUGCAAGUGCAGCAACCAAUAUAUUCUAUAACUUCAGUGCUGACUAAUAUACUUUAGUAUUUAUAAGAUUAACAUAUAACUUCAAGCAAGAAAGAUGCACUCUAUAGUCCAAAGGAAAACAAGAAGAAUAAACCAGAUUUCAAGUGUUUCUGUGAUAAUGAUGUAUACUAUGAGAAUUCAUUUUGAGCCUAAUCUACUGCAACAGAUCCAUAACUCAAACACACAUGUGCAAUUGAAAAAGUGACGGUGAGUUAACAGCAAAAUAAGAUUCAUAGCUCAACCCUUCUACAACAUUUUUAUUAUAAAAAAAAUUAAGAUGCUCAGUUGUGAGCAAAGAAAUAUUUCAACUGAAAAGCACAGAAUGAAAUAUCAAUCAGGUAACAGAAUCAGUAAAACUUGUAGCAUUGGAUGAGAUAAUGUUUGAAAAUGAGUUUAAAAGUGGGAGGCAUCUCUCAUUCUAAAGUCAAUUUUGUAUCAAAUGCUAUCAUAUAAUGACCUACAAAUUCAAGUAUGAUGCAUACAAAAGCUACCAAGAAAACCUCUAUAUUUAUUUCGAUUAAAGUAUGAUGCUAUCAUAUGUAUAUUUAAGUUUUUGAAUGUUUAAAAAUAUUAUGUCAAUUUUGUCCAAAAAAAAAUGUAUCAUGUCAAAUGCGAAAAAAAUAUUUGUUGCUUGAUAUGACUUUUUUUAGGGGUGUUAACAUGAUCUUUAAUUAUUUAUUUUUUUGGUACAACCAUGAUCUUUAAUUUAAUUUAGCUAUUUGGAUCAAUUUGAGUCUUACUUCUAAAUUAACAGUAGAAUAACCCAUGCAUAUUCCACAGUUAAUGAAGGAAGUUUUACUUUUUAAUGCUAAUUACAUCGUCUAUACUACUUAAAAAAACGAAUUGUUGACUAAAUUUAUGAGAAUAAAUUAACACGAAUUAAAAGAGGAACUGGCGGUACUUUUCAAUUGUGUUUUCUAAGUAAGUGGUUCUCAAAUUAAAUUUUCGGCAUGUUUCUUUAGAGGAGCAUAGUUAUAUGUAGAUUGUCUUAAAAAAAGUAGAUUGAUCAUGUAAUUUUGAAAUUAAAUUUUGAAUGUAGUCUGAGUCGUAGGAAAAGGAAAGAAAGAAGAAAAAAAAGUAAACCACUAAACUAGUCAUUGUCAAGUCACUUUCAAAUUAGACUUUGACUCUAUUAAUAUUUUAAAAUAGUAUUGGUCUUUGUCAAUUGUUUCAAAAUAGUCUCUCUAUCAAACAUCAUGUGACAAAAGCAUAAAGUCAAGGGAGUUGCUGCAUUUUGGCUCCUUUAAAAUAAAAAAAAAGGACACAGACCUAAUUAAGAAAUGAUUGAAAAAGAGUGUGAUUAGUUUGAGAAUGGAUUACAAAGAUUUGGAUCAAUUUAUUGGCUUACUCGGAAAAAAAAUAAAAAAGGAGUAUACAUUUUUUUUUUUAGGGAAAAAAUGGAGUAUAAAUAAAUGGUGGGUAUAUGGUCUCAUAUUUUUGUCAAAAUUAUUGUAUUUCACUAUCAUUUGUUUUAAAACCAUGUUUGUAAUAUAACUCAUUGUAUUAUAUAUGGAGGAAGAAAAAAUAAAUCUUUCUUUUUUGUAAAAGGAUUGAUAAUUGCCGCACAAAACCUAAAAUGGUGCAAUCUUGUGAAAGAAGCAAUAAGAAGUCAACUAGGUGCAAGCAUAGGAAAUUUUAAGUUGAUUAAUACUCUAAUGCCAUGUAAAUUAAAAUUGAAACUAAACCCCCUUAAUCUUUAAUAAUUUUUACGUCAAAGGUGAUGAAAACCGAUCUAAAACUCCUUUUUCCAAUCGCAGUUGAAUCAAAAGUCAAAACCAAUAUAACUGCUACUUAAAAACAUUAUCUUAAAGACUAAACUAAAAAGAAUAUAUUUGGUUUUCAUUACAUGCCACUUUCUAUGAUUUAGAACACCUUUUCACUUCACAUAAUCUAAGCUUGCAUUGUUUUCCAUAGAUUUCUCUCACUAUUUUUAAUUUAAACCAAUUUAAUGUCUAAUUAUAUAACUUCUACAAUAAACAAACUGAUGCUUCAAAUUAAAUAUAUGUAAAUGUAUAUAAAAUUAAAAAGGACGGGAAAUUUCUAUUUGAUUCAAAACCAAAUAUUAAAUAGAUGUGUGCUUCUACAAUUAGUUACCUAGGAUACUUGAUCUUAUAAGAAACUAUUCAAUUAAAAAUAUAAUAAGAGUAUUUUUCUCUUAUUAUAAAGACACGGACACUUGAUCAAAUUAAACCAACACCUAUGGAUAAAGAUUCUUAGUUUCUCUUGUUCGACGCUUUAGGAUUUUUGAUGUUGAGAGUUUCGAGUUUUUGUAAGCUCCAUCCAAAUCUUACUCCAUCUUAUGACAAUUAGUUGAGAAGGAAAAAUAUCUAAUAGUUAUAGUAACAACCACAUGUUGCUUGGAAUAAAAAUGAAUAAAAAAAUAUUCAUUGUUUAUGCUUUUUUAAUAUGUUUCCUUCCACAUGUUUAGUGAACUCUUGAUCUCAUAACAAUGUUAAAUAAAAAUAAUAAUGAAAAAAUACUUUAAUUUCAAUAAAAAAAUACAACCACAAUUUCAUAUAUGAAGUGUCAUUUCAACAAAACUCUCCCUUUUUUCAAAACUCGUGUAUGUGAAAUGAAAGAAAAAAUAUCCAUUUGAGAAUACGAAAAAUUAUAGAUAGAAACACACACUCACGAAGCUUGAUGAGAAAAUCAAAACUAUCAACCCAAAAAGAAGAAAUGGAAGAAGAAUGAAAAGGAUAACAUAAGCAACAUAUAUAUGAGCUUAGAAAAAAAUGAGGAGUUUUAUGGUGAACGUGUGUGUAAGAUGAUUGAUUAAGAAUAUGAAUAAUUUUAAAAUGUAACCCCUCACUAUUAGUUACAUGUAUGAACAAAUAUUUGUAUGAGAGUGGAUUUUUGUUUUAUUUCAAUAUCAAAGUUAACAUCUAAUGACUGAUGUAAAAGCAUGACGCAUCGUGUGUUGGCAAACAAUCGUAAAUCUCCCUAGAGUAAUAGUGGCAUGCUUUUUCACUCUUCAUCUCUAUCCAACAAGAAGAGUUUGAGCGUCUUAAGUACUUUGCAAAAUAUGGUUGCUGAAACAGGAACUGUAAAUUUGUUUUUGAAGGAACUGAAACAAUGACUUGAGAACAUGGCUUUAUGGGCUAGAUGUUGGUGACUUAAUUAACGAUUGUAUAUAUAUAGAGAUCGGUUGUAGCGACCAACUUUAUAAAUUGUUGCUAAAAGUAUAUAUCAACAUCAAGCAUUACAAAAUACAUUAAAUUCAUAAUGCAUUUUUAAGUAAUGAUUUUUAAGAGAGGUGAAACUAUUCCUUCUUUUGUACGUGAAUAUUAAGUCAAAAAAACAUGACUAAAGAAAAUGAUAUUCUAUACUUCGGAAAGGAUGAGUGUGAUAAUACAUUCUAAUAGCAUGGCCACUAAUUCUAUAUAAAUAGGCACAAUCUAGUUAAGUGACCGUUAUUUUAAAAAAAGCAAUAUUAUUGCCACAUUCAAGAGGUAUACAGGAAAAACGGUUAAAAAAAUUUGGAAUUAAAACAUGGGUACAAGACCAAGUCAAACAUUAUAACUAAUAAUAUGAGAAUAAUUUUCUAUUAAAAUAAUUUUCUAUAUUUCUCUAUUAAAAUUAUGGGACACAAUAUUUAAAACUUUUGAAAUAUUAUCAAAAUUUACAACACUAUCAACCUUGGCUUGUACCCCAAACACUUUAAAAUUAUGUAGGACAUUCCAUGUAGCAACCUGGAUAUAAGUGAGCAAGUCAAAAGAGUUUAGAAACUAAUGUAAUGAUGAACAAUAUAAAACAUCAGUGAGAUUUUUCGUACCUGAGUAAAUUGUUAUAGCUACUGUUCUCUUGCCUUUAACUGGAAUAUGUUCACCAUUUUCAAUUCUGACCCAUUUCAUUUCGGUGUCCUCCAGUUUCUUGAACAAAGCUUUAUCGUAGGUCAUGUGAUUAGUGCAUCCACUAUCAAUUAGCCAAGAUUCACAUGAACUGCUGCCGGAAAAACAUGUUGCAACAAAGAAAUAGUGUUCCUCCUCUUGCUGGACAUUUUCCGCUUCAACUGCAACUUGUUGGAAUUUUGCUAUACAAAUCACAUCUUCAUGACCCAUUUCAUUGCACUUGCUGCACUUUGCAUCUGACCUUCAACUGCACUAUACAAAUUACUUGGGCUUUAACACCCGAUUGAUUUUUUUUUUAUUUCCCCAUAGAUAUGUAAGAUUUAAGCUUCCAAAAAAAUUUCUCUUUUGUUUUCUUGAAACAAAUAGAAAUCAACAUUGUUUAGAGAAAUUAACUUUGCAAGUCUCCUUCUCUUGGUGGAGUCAUGCAUUAAGAUGCAUAUAAGGUUAUACAUACAUUCAACACUACGGUGUACAAGGGAGUGGUUUCUGAUGUUAAUUUAGAGCUACAAUAUCAUUAUUAAUGGAUUGUGCAAGAAUAAAAUGGUGGAGGAAACCAUGAACCUCUUUAAAGAAAUUCAUUAUAAUGAAAGACCAGAGUGUUCAACCAAAUGUUCAAAUAUACACUACGAAUUGAUAGACUACGUAAAAUUGGAAGGCUUAUGCUUUCAACAAAAGGCUAUGAGCUAACACCAGCUUUGUUUUCAAAAUUGGAGGACAAUGGUUGCAUUCCCGAUGUGAUGUUUAUGAAACAAUUGAUGAUUAUCUCUUUUAAAAUGAUGAGAGAAAUGUUGUAGAGAUAUCUCUUUCAAAAUGAUCAUUAAAGGUCUACUAUAUCUUUAAAACUCAGUAAGAUGUUUCCCCAACUUAUAUUCACUUUUGGAUGCUGCAACCAUGACACUCAAUUUUACACCAGUGGAUAAUGAUGCAUCUGGCAUCGUUUAAGAUCAUAGAGAGGAAAAAAGUAACCUCUAAUGUUAAGUGAGUAGUAGACUUUCAAGAACCAUCUCCUUAAUAUAAUUGACGGAAGAUUGUAUCUCAGGCGACAAUCGUCUCGAUUGUUUUAAGCAUCUUAGGCUAAAAGGAACUAAACAUUAAAACUCCAAUGUUUUCCUGAAGCCCUGUCGCAACCACAAACAGCUACUACAUGAUGUUAUAGCUGCUGCUACAGAAAACCGCUCAUACUUUCAAUAGCAGCCACCUAUCUUUCCGUUCUACUAUGCUGCUAUAGAUGACAAGAAACAAGAUCAAAUAAGGUGACUGUGUUUACAUGGCUUAGCCGAGAUCCGAGUUAAGAUGGCAAAACACUGUAUGACCCAAUUAUGGUGAACCAUAAGGUAAUUUUAUAGCUCUGUUUACUAAGACAUGGAGCCAAAUUAUGUUGCCUUCUAGUGAAUUGGAAACAAGAUUGGAAAUUCAUCAAAGUGUAGCAAGGAACAUUAAGUACUCAAAUUAGUACUAUUUAUAGUCCAAUUCAAGAAGAAAAAAUAACCUAAAUCAAGAUCAGUUUGGCUAAACCGAACCAUUCAUAACUUGUUCCAAUCUAACCUGGUUUUAAGUUUCAAUGAACAUCGUCCUAUAUCUUCAAUUCGAACUGACCUAUCUUUGCAGAACUGAAUUGGUUCUUAACCUUUACGAACCAAAUUGUUUUUCUAAGCAAACAAAACAUUUUGUUUUUAUGAAAACCAAACUAUUGCUGUUUUCUUGAACUGAUUUUUGAACAUCGUUAAACACUAAAACAAGUUCGAACAGUUCAACAAUUUUUGAUUGGUUAAAAUCAAACAUGCCAUUGUCUCUUUGAAUAGAAACAACAAACAGAUUGUAAACAUAUCAUGGGAGAAAACAAAAGAAACAAUGUAAUUUUCGCUCUUCUUUCCCUUUUUUCCGAGACAGACAAGGAAAAACAAGAUACUUGAGAUAUAGUUUGGAAACCAUCAAUCAACAAGGUAAUGUUUUGCAGUGCCCCUCAUAAUUGAAUGAGUGUGUUUCUUCAAGUAAAGCCCCAACUUCAGCAGAUAAUGAUGGUUUUGGCUUUGUACGAAUCAUAUUGCCACUUUCAUUAUUCUCAACAACAUUAUCCUUAUCCUUUAAAUAAGUACUAAAUAUUCCAUAAUCCGAAAUGACAUGAUAUUUAUGCAAGAAACCGUUAUGCGUCUUCUUGAGAACCUGCUUUCUGUAGUAUAUUCUAGAAGAAUAUCCCUACGAUCAUCACCGUAAACAUUGUUUUCAAAAGUUAAGGACUCUCUAAAAUCUAAAAAUCAAAACUGAAUCACCCAAAUAACACAUAAAUGCGAAAGAAAACAUACUAUUCUUGGGAAACACACUCUUCAUCGAAUUCUUCACCGUCGGAUGAAGAGGAAGAUAUAUUUAUCAAGUCAACAUAAGAUAAUGAAGAAUCCGUGUUUGUCAAGUCAAACAAUCUGUUAAGACGACAACGAGAUAACAAUUUUUUCUUCCCGCAAUUUAAACUUUCCACACCUAUAUAGAAGAAAACAAUAUUAGGGAACGAUGACUAAGUAAUAUUAGCUAAAAUUGCAAUUUGUAGGGGGGGUGGAAUAAGCUCAAGAAACAAUUUACUACUUGGUAGCUAAGGAAGAUUCGAAAAUUGACAUUACGUAAACUGUCCAUUUUUUCCUCCUCCAUCAACAUAGAAUGAAAUUUACAUGCAGUUAAUAACUAAAAAUUGUCCCCACAUAAAUUUAUUUCCAUUAGUUGUCAGUGCCAAUAUGUGAUUAAAGGCAGUAGUUAUUAGAUAACGAAAAAGAACUAAAAUUAUAACAUAAAUAACCACCAUAUAUAUAUAUAUCAGUUGUAAAAGCAAAUGAUUGAGGAAAUGCCAUAAGCAUAAGUGAGAAAACCUAUCCCUAACAAGUCUUCCUUUCUCCAAAUAGAAUACGUUUUAUAAUUAAAAUUAAUUACUAUGAUUUUUAUGGGACUGUCAACCAUCAAAUUCAAUUGCCAAAUCAGAAAAAUUGAGUUAUAAAUUAGAUUCUUACCUUGAGUGGAUAUUCAACACCUCAAUAUUCUCUCCUUUCACGGCAUCCUUCAAUGAGAUUAGACUUGGAAUAUGUGGAAUUACUUUAAAAAAUCCUUUAAAAUACCUUGCAGAAUACCCAUGAAUUCGAAAACGCUUGACACCAUAUUUAUUAGGCUCAUAGUAAGUAAAACAAUCAUUUGAAUGAUAUAACAAUACGCCAGCACCCUCUUCAAAGUGUUUUACCGGAAAACACAAAACAUCACCCCACGAUAAAGGUUUGUACAAGUAUCAAUGUGGUAAACCUUAGUCCAUGAUUCUCCAAUGCCAUAUUCAUUCAUAACCCACAUUGUAACAUAUUCGAAGAAGUUUGAGUCAGAAAUGUAUAGAAAUCCCUUUAAUUCUCCCAUGCUAAUAUGUAUGAUACCAGACAAAUAGCCAUAUUUAUCAAUUUGGUCCUGGAGAUGACUGCCAAUCACAACUGGGGGAGAAGGAAAUGAAUGCAACUUCUCACUUUCAAAACAAAAACACAAUAUAGACAUUUCCCUUCCCUCAAAUGUGAACCAAUGAAGUGCACCAUUCACACAAGUGGGAUUCAUAAGACAUGAAAAUGAAAUUUGAGGAUCCACAUUGAUAUUUCUCCAUGUUGGUGUUCCGAGUGUGUGUAUCUCAACAAGGAACACAUGUUCAAAGUCCGAGGAAUUGACAUGUAUAACACUUCUCCUCCAAAUAUGUAUCACUUUAUAUUCAUUAGUUUUAGGAUAGAAACCAAAACCAGCUUCUUGUCCUAUUACAUGAACCCUGUCAUUCGGCAUACGAACUGUAGUAGUUUCAGGAAGUCUUAUGAAUUCCCCCAUGAAUGGGUUGCAGAUCACUAUAGGGUUUCCAGUAGUUGGUUCAGACAAACAUAGCAAGCCAUUACAUGAAUUCACAAUAUUAAACUUAUCACGAUCACUGUUGCCAGCAAUAUAAACGUGCUUGUAUUUAUUCUUUAUCUUGUCACUUUUCAUCCCAAGUGAUUUGACAUCACCGCGAAGAGGAAGUCUGAAUAUAGGCUCAAGAUUCACAUGAUUGUUGCUUCCAAUCUCAAACUUUUCUGGAUCGCACUCUAGAAGGUAGAGGGUUCUUGACACUCGUUUAUAGUAUCUUGUUCGAAUCAUGAGACUAAUUGGUGAUUGCUCAAAGUGUAAUUUAGCAAAAUGCGAUUCUGAAAUCAUUCUUUUCCAAAUUUUGCACACACAUUUACAAAUGAGAAGAGACUUGAUGGGAAGUUGAAGCAAAAUGUGGGCGGUGAGGUGGGAUGGAAGAAUAUCAAAAUAGUGGCGACAUUCAUCACUUUCUGCCUCCUCAACUCUCCAUUUUCUUUUAUUGCAUCUUUGGCUAGCCCUUACGGGGGUGAUUGAACCCUUUUUUCUUUUCAUGGCUAUACCAAAUUUAAAAAAGGAACAUAAACAAAAUAAGCAAAUCAAAACACACAAAGGGAUUCAUAUUUGAUAUAGUUACAUUCCAGACCAAAUGAGAAACUAAAAGGAAAACAUAUUCAAUUCAUAUUAAAGACUAAUUAGAAGCUAACCGUAAAAAAACAUGAGAAUUAUUGAGAAAUAAAAUCGGAAUAGUGAUAGGAGAAAAGAGGAAAGUACCUUUGGUUAGGUUGAAAUUGAAGAACUACAAAAGCAUGGCAGUGUGCGUUGGUAAAGAGAGACUCAUCAAAAUUUAAUUUAUUAAUUAAGGAAAAUUAAGUUGGGUUAUUAUCAUGUGAGAGAGAGAAAGAGAGACCGAGUAAAAUCAGUUGAGGAAAGAGGCUUAAGCUGCGGAAAAAUCUGUCUGGGUAGUAGUGAUACAUAAACCACCUUAGGUGGCAUAUACCACUUGUACACCCACACAUAUAAUUGUGACAUGACAUGUGUCCAUUUGGUCCCUACACACACAAGAAACUCAUCUUUUGUGUCUCUCAAACACUAUCACAUGGAAGUGGUACAAUGUGUGUAUAGAGAAAAGGGUGUUCAUGAAACAUUAUCCAAUCUGUUUAGGUGAGAGACCGAGUAAAAAACCUUGCACAUUUAUUUUGAUUUUUUUUUUUAAAUUAUUUUUAAAUCAUGCAUAGUUAUCUUAAGGUGAGGGCUCAAUUAAGUUCCUCACCGGCGGUGGACCACUAUAAUCAACAAUUGAGAAUCGUUAGAUUAAUCAAGCACACAUAUUUUAUUAUACACCUUAUGCACUAGAUUUUUUGUCUCUUGCCUACCUUGCAUCUUCUUCUAGCUAGCCUUCUCCCAUCCCAUUGGUAACUGGAUAUGCACAAGCCCAUAGCCCUUCUUCAUUGUAACGACAUCUUUCCACCUGACCAACAUUAGAUCUCACAUGAUUUUAUUCACGUUAUUCCAUUUCUACCAGUGCUGUGAAGAACAACCCAUCCAAUAUUUCAUAACUUUUUUAAGGAAAAAACUUUCAUAUAAUUAUCAGUAAGUCCAGUGUUGUGAUUCUUUCCAAACGUUAUAAUUAUGAGAUAGAGAACAUGUAUGAAAUUGUUGCUGAGAAGGAGUUUUUCAUUCCUUUAGGAUGAAAAGUUCAUUACUUUUUUAACUUAUCAAAUCAUUAAUGCAUUGAAUGAAAACAUGGAGGUGAUGAAUUAAUUUUGUAGAGAGGAGUGGUAACUUGCAACAGAUUGUAACUCAAAGCAUAAAUUCUUAUUAAAAAUAAGAGAAACCAGAUGUGUAGUUUGACAGACAGGGAAGAAAAACUGAAAGGGACACGAUCCUAUGUAAAAUCCAAAUAGUUCUCAAUUUUUAUUUUCAAAAAGUCUUAACCUUUAAUUAAAUCUAACGAUAUUUUGUUCAUGGUCCACCGGUGAGGGACUUAAUUGAUCCGUCACCCUAGAAUCCACCAACAAACAAUAUUCUUUUUUUAAAAUGAUAGAAUGUUUUUCUUAUUUGACAUAAAUAUCUUAAGAAAUAUUUUUCUGUCUUUUUUCGGUUUUUUUUUGAAAGAUUUUCGAUGUCUUUUAUAGGGAGAGAAAAUAAAUGUCGGAAUUUUAAGAUAAUUUCGUCACAAUUUUUUCUAUAGUCCUGUUCAAACAAUUUUUUAUUUUUAAAUGUGAUUUUUUUUUUGCGGUCAAGUAGCCUAGUGUUAGAGCUCACACAAUUAAAUUGCGGAGAAGUGGAGUAUUCGGGGUUCGAACCUUGCCCCUGCAUAUAAUAUGCAAUAUCCCUACAUGAUUUUUAUUACGACAAACAAACACAAAAUUUAUUUUCCAUUUGUUUUUCUUGAAUUUUCGUGGAUACAUCAUUUUUUGGUUAAAUCAACAGUAUGAUAAUUUGUUGGCCGUAUGUGAUCAAUUGCCGAUAAAAUUGUACUACAAUUAAUUGAAAAUGAACUACUCUAGCUGCAAUUCUUUGUCAAAUAUUUAUUUAUUAUUUUCUAGAAUCUUUUGAAGAAAGAUUGUAUUGUGAUGAACUUAGUAAAUGAAUAGUGGUUACAUCUUAAAAUGAUUUGAGGGUUAGAUAAGUUUAUCAGAAUGCUCUUUUAUAAAACUGCUUGUGCUUUGGAAAAGGGCAAACGAUAUUUUUGAAAUUGAAAACCUCAUGUGUUGUUUUAUUUUUAACUGAAACAUAUCUUGAAAUAGUUAUUGCUUCAACAAACAAGUUCUUUCUAGUAAUGUUUGAAAGAUUAACUGGUUAUUUUGUGGUUAUUUAAUGAAUAUUUGAACUACAGGAGGGUUUGACUGCCAAUGAAAUAUCCAAGAAUGACCCAGAUCAACAAUCUCAUGUUAUCUUAAACUGUGUGAAUAUUAUUUAUUGAAUGUUAGCUUUUCUAUUGGUGAAAUAGAUGACAGAUGCUCGUUUCAAAAUUUGCAAUGAGAAAAGUGGCAUCUGAGGUAUAAACUUCCACUUUGAUUGGUUUUAAAAUGAUUCCUUUUACUAUGUGCAUGGUCCAAUGCUCAUCUUUCUUUCCAAGUUUUUUGCAAAUAUUGCAAAUGUUAAUGUUCCAUUGUCAUGAAGUGAUUGAUAAAACAGUUCAAUUUCAAUCUCAUAGUCUUGGUGUCGCUAAGCCAGUGAAAUGAGAUACUGCAUUCUUUGUGAAUCAAUGCUUGUCUGAGUCCUUUCUGCCAGGGACUUGUUUUGUAGCCUAGAGGUACCAUUCUUCCCUUCCUUAGACUACAACUGUCAUGACAUUUUUCUCUCCCUCCCUUAGUUCAUUAAUUUUUACAUGCUGUUUUUCUUGAGUUUUCCUAUGCUUUAGUUUAAUAUAUUGCUAUAAUAUGUCUACUAGUUUUUUGCAGGAUUCAGAAAAAGAGGUACAAGUCUUCUAUUUGGUGAAAGUAUAUGUGAUUUUGGCAUGUCCUGUGUUGGGAAGAUAUAUCAAAAGAUGUUUCCCUAUUCCUACCAUCAAAGUUACUUGUGAGUAUUAUAUUUGAUCCACUCUGUCACAUGAGUAAUUAUUAAUGAGUUUAUUCUAUUUAUCAACUUGAGUCUAUUACAAGAAAAUAGCUUGCUUGACACCUCACAGUAGCAUAGAUCAUUGUAAGUUCUAAUUAUUUAGGGGACACAUGAUUUCGCUAAAGAACAAAUGACUAUUAGAAAGAAAGCAUUUUCAGUAAUGGUAGAAGUUUUUGAGAGGCAUGGCGCCACAACCUUGGAUACACCGGUCUUUGAAUUGAGAGAAGCUCUCAUAGGAAAAUAUGGAGAAAUCUCAAAGUUGGUUUAUGAUAUUGCUGAUAAGGUUUUAUCGGUUAUUCACUUCUUAACUACUUAAGUUGUUUUAAGAAUAUUUGGGAGAAAUAUUUUUUUACAGCAUUCAAAUAAAUGAAAUUUUUUAACAUUUUUUCUCUAUAAGUGAAACAAGUUGUUCAUGAAUCUAGAUUUCUGCUUUUUAAGCCAGACCGCCAUUAAGGAUUUGUUUGCACCAAAUCCAUAGAUAAAGUUAAAUUUCACCUCAUGCUAACUGGUAAUCAACUUGUUUAACAGGGUGGGGAGCUCUGUUCUUGGAGGUCUGACUUGAUAGUUCCAUUUUCUAGAUUUGCAGAUAUGGAUGGUAGAACUCUUGUUCCACUUAUAAUGAUCUAUGCUGGUUACCAUGAACUUAUAAGCCACUAGUGAGUAGAUUCAUAUUAUUUUUUACCAUGAGUCUAGUGAGUAUAUGAAGUAGUUCUAACUUUGUAUAUGUUGCUGAUUUUUAUAGGUUGAGGACUCACUGUGUUGUAGAACCAUUUGUGAUUGCAACAAAUAGGCAACUUAGCACCAUGCAUCCAAUCUACAAGUUACUGCAUCCACAUCUCAGAUAUACCUUGCAGAUAAACGCACUUGGACGCGAGAUUCUUAUUAGUUCAUAUGGAGUCAUUGAAAGCACAUUCUUUACUAAAAAGUAUUCAAUGGAAUUAAGUUCUGUGGCUUAUGAUAAGCUUUGGCAAUUUGAUUUGCAGGGACUACCAAAUGAUCUUCUCCAUAGGUAAAGUCUAUACAUAUCAUAUAUACUAGGAAAAAAUUAAACUUGUCACAAAUUAUAGACGGAUUUAACAUUUUCCUCCCUAAAUUUCUGUCGCUAUAUCAAAUUUUCUGAUGCAAAUUGUUAUUCUUUUAGAGGAAUGGCUGUGGAAGAUCCUAGUGCACAACAUGGACUAAAGCUAGCAAUUGAAGUAUAUCUUCCCAACAUAUUGUUAGUUUAGCUUGUUAAGUUCAUGUACAUUUAUACUUUUUUGCUUUCUUUUUAAUGAGCCGGGCCCAUCUGUCUUUCUUCUGACUGUAUUAUUUACUUUCGGUGCUUUUAACUACAGUGUGUCUAUAUUAGGAAUUGGCUUCAAUUUGUGUAUAGUGAUCUUAAUAUUAAUAAGAAUUUGAGAUUGAAUCAAUUGUUUUUGUUUUACUUAUUGAUCUACCCAGUCUUCACUAUUCAGUAACAUUUAUGCAACAUAAUUUUUCAGCAAUUCCAAUUAAAACUGUUAGCUACAGAUUGGCUACCAAUUAGCUUCAAAUUAGUAACAUUUAUGUAACAGAACUUCUGCAAUUGCAACCCAAACUGUUAGCUAUAGAUUGACUACAAAUUUGCUACUAAUUAGCUACUAAAUGAGUAACAAUUUUUAAGUGUUGCAAGUUUUACUCUCAAAUGUUACUGAAAUCAUUUAGUAACACGGGUUUUACCUAAUAUUUGUCAAAUGUUACAAGAUCUAAAUAGUAACGGUUGUUUUUGAUUUAGUUACAAUUUUGAAGUGUUACUAAAUCUUAUAUAUGUAGUAGUGUGUGAAUCUGACAACCAAUGACAUCUUAAUGCGCCUGUAUUGGAAACUCAGAAAUCAUUUUGGAAGUCUGUAAUCAACUUUUCAACACGUUGCUAUAUUUGAAGUUAUGAGCAUAACUUGCAUAUCAUCCUUUUAUUUACUUUGUUUUGCAUAAUAACAGAAAUUGUGUUAUUCUCAAUGUAUUAGUGGAUUUAAAAAAACAAAGUAUAUAUGUCACCAUAAUUCAAUCCACUAAAAUUAAACAUGCAAAACUCUUAUGCAUAUCAUGGGGUUCUUGUGUGUUUCAGUGUUGACUGCAAAUUUUGUUACAUGCAUGAACAAAUAUUCGUGAUGGUUUAGGUGGUGUUGGUGGAGGAUGGUUUCAGGAUCGUGUUUCGUGGAAGCUGGGCAAUGGUGUCGAUACCUUCUUUUGGCAUUAAUGGAAAUAGUGGUUGGGCCUAACACAACCCCACAAAAUCGGCUUGUGAGGUGAGAAUUGCUCCCACUUAUAAACAGAUUAUCAGGCCAUCACAUAUCCGAUGUGGGACUCCUAAUAGGCAUGAUACAUGGUUAGGUGGUAUGUUUCUAUUUGUGCGCUUUAGGUGUUUAUUUGAGCUAGCUGGUGAUAAGUAUUGUACUAUGUCACUGAUGUCAGCUCUCGAGUGGGAGGUCGGGGGCGCGGUGUGGAGAUGGAGGAGAUGGUUGUGGGCUUGGGAAGAGGAUAUGUUAGGGGAGUGUGUCACUUUACUUCGCAGUGUUUCUUUGCAGUUUAAUGUUACAGAUUCAUGGUGAUGGCAUCUGGAUCCCAUUGGAGGCUACUUACUCAGCAAAGCUUAUCAGCUUUUAACCUCAUAGGAUACUACUCAGGCCGAUAUAGCAGACGAUUUAAUCUAACAUAAAUAAGUUCCCCUUAAAGUUUCAAUUUUUGCUAGGAGCCUUUUGCGGGUUUGGUUUCCUACAAGAUCAAACCUGUUAAAUGGCGGUAUUAUUACAGUUGUUGAUGCGACUUGUUUGGCAGGUUGUGGUCACUUGGAGACAUCUCAACAUCUAUUCUUAUCGAGCACCUUUUAACUUGGGAUUAAGGGAACGGCAAAUACACAUGGCACUAUCAAAAUUAAAUCAACUUCAAAUGAGUAAUAGCACUCAGUAAUCAUACUUAUGUCAAUUAUAAACCAAAAGAAUCAAUACUCACUUCAUGAACUUUUUUCUUACAACGUCAAUGUUAGGAGGUCCCCCCGACAAUGAAUCCAUAUAAUAUAUCAUCUCAACUCUGGGAUUGAUGACAAGCAACACCCAAUGAUUUAGCCUGCAUCCAUCAUAAUUUACAUAUAUAAGCAUACAUUAAUUAAAAAACCACAUUUUCAAAUUUAGUCAUCUUGAAUAAUGUUUUGUAAAGAAAACUCACCCUAAAUUGACCGGUGCAAAAAUCAGCUUAUUCUUAAACUUGUGUGUCAAUAGGAUGUCUGCUAUUUGUUGCCCUUGUUUAUCCUCUUGAGAUAUAUGUGGGGAUAAAAAUGAGAACUUAUUUUCCAACCCACGAGGCUUGAUCAAAUUUUCGUACAAGAACCUUGAAACAGAAAAAAAAACAUAAAACAGAAACAUAAAAAACCAAACAACACACUCCCAAAAAUAGGAAUAACAGAACAGCAGAGUUUGUGACAGAAAACCAAUAUAAUAAAUCCCUGAAACAGUCCUAAAUAACAACUAUUUAACAGAGGUACCUGGCAUAUACAACUACAACAGUGGCACUUAACCAAUUAUGUUGCACAAGCUCUUCUAUAUUCUCUAUUUCUACUUCGUCUGUAUAGGCUUUGCCAUAUAUAACAUUGUCCAUGUAAAUUGGGACUGAUUGUCCUUUGAUCAUUAUUGCCUUCACAUAAGUAUCAAGGAAUGGUACCAAAGCAGGUUUCACAGUUUUCAUCUUUUUGUUUGGUGAAGCAACUGAUUCAGCACUACGUUGGGGUCUCUUGCAAAUUUUUUUAGUUUUAGCUGGAAUCUAAUUAGUUACAAUACUUUAGGUUAGUGACCAAAUAUAGAACAACUAUAUAUCACUUAUCAAUCACAAAUGUUAAUAAUAGGUAAUUAAUUUACCUUUUGAUGUUCAUCGACCAAUUUAACAAGAUUCAAUUGCCAUGCCACAAAUGUCCCUAUUGCUUCACCAACGGUCAAGACAUCGCCUUCUUCAACAAGUAUAGGCAACAAAGCUUUCCUCUCAACAGAAACAUCAAUCCUAACCUUGACAUAUCCGGGUGGUAAUUUCUUGUUGUGUAAAACAUCACUACCCGUGUUAUAUAAUUUUCCAUGAGCAACCAAACAUCGGCAUGGGGAUGAUAAGUAAAUUUCAAUAGACGAAAUACCCUAAACCAAUAGCGAAUGAACAUAUACGUUAUUAGGAUUAUGAAGCAAAAUAAAUAAAUUUAAAUUUAACAUUUUAUAAAGAAAACAUUUACCUUCGGAAUGGCGUCAAGUGCAAGAGGGCUGCAAGAAUCUUUGGCACUAGUUUCUAUCCUUUCAACCAAAUCUUGUGGUUGUGGCGUCUCUCCUCCAUCUUUCAGUUUUUGUCUCUCCCCAACAUCUCUUUUUUGUUGUGUUUCUUCAGCUUCUUUUUCAUGUUGACUCUCUCCAACAUGUUUUAGUUGUUGCCUCUGAUCUCUCUCUCUUUCUACAUCUUUCUCAAUAUUUCCAUUCUCUCUAGUAUCUCCAUCAUGUGUCUGCCUCUCUAACACCAAUCUCUCUAGUAACUCCAUUCUCUUACUCAUUUUGCCAAACAUUGCAUUCACUUCAUCGACGGGGAUAAAUUGUCGUGGAAAAAUGUCUUUGGGACAUACCCCAAAACCAUAACCCCUAACACGGCCAGAGUAUUUUGGAAGAUGCUCUAAGGCCAAUUGAAGAACAUCAUUACGACCAAAGUCUUUUCCUCUCUCAUCUUCUGGUAAAGAUUGUGUUAACUCUUUCUGUGACAUUGACAAGCAAAAAUAAUUUUGCAUAAAUAUUUCCUCUCUUAUGUUUCUGAACUUUCAUCACAAUUAACAAAAUAUUUUGAUAUGAAUGCAAUAAAAAAGAAGCUAUAUUUGACUUACACAUUUAUCCGCAACGUUCUGAACUUCCUCCUUAUCAAUCACUCCAUCCUUACCAACAUGGGCAGCAAUCCACACAGAUGCACGUGGUAUCAUUUCCUUUCCAGCAACAUAGAGAAGUCGGUAUAUAGACAAAAUAUAAUAGUCAGAAUUGGAUCCCUACAACUUUACAUAUACUUACCAUAUUAUCUUCGAGACGACCUAAUCCCAUCCGUGAUUUUCUAUAUGGAUGUCUAGGAGUUAAAGCUCUUUCUCGAUUUUCUUUACUUUUUUUCUGCAUGAAUUACAAUUUUAUUAGGUUGAUAAAAAAAUAUGAUGAUAAAAAAGAAUAGAGAAAAUAAAUGUCAUGAAUUUAAACACUAAGCUACAAUGACAUUACAUGAAAUUCAGGAGUGAGAGGUUGAUCUACAAAGGCAUCCCAAUGCUCCUGUUCUAUGUGGGGAUACACAUUAUUCGGAGGUUUUACAAUGUCUUCGGGAUUUUUAUUUUUCACAUAGACUGCUGUCAAUGUGGUUUUGUGUGCUCUGAACAACUUUCCAGCUUCCAUUUUUACACGAUCAUCAUGCUCAUUGUCAAAUAUGAAAACUUUCUGCAAGAUGACAGAGAUCAUUAAUUAACAAAUAUAAAUCGAUAAACAUAGUUAAAUGUUUUCAACUAGCUUGAGUUUGUGUUUUACCCGAAUUUCAUCCAAAACUUUUUGUUUGUAAGGUAUCAUUUCAGGAGCUCUCCAAUUCGCCAUACUAAUUGGAACCAUGCAAGACGUAGAUUUCUUUCUUCUUUCCCAAAAUCUUGGUAAUCAUGAUCAAUUUUUUCCCAUUGAGGAGAAUCUGCAGGAUGUCGAAGCAUUCCAUCUGCAACCCUUCCAUAUUCAUGCCAUGUCAAGUGCUUUGCAUCUUCUGCAUUAAGAUACAUGCGCCUAAAUCUUGGUACUAUUGGAAAGUACCAUAGCACUUUGGCUGGGGCUGUUUCUUUCUUAUUAUAUCGUGAUGCACCGCAUUUAGCACACUUAUCUAAUGAUGCAUACUCAUUUCGAAAUAAAAUGCAAUCUUUAGGACAAGCAUGUAUCUUCUCAUAACUCAUGCCAAUAGAACGUAACAUCUGUUUAGCCUCAUAGGUUCGACUAGGGAGCACGUUAUUCUCAGACAACAUAUCUUUUAACAUAGUUAGCAAGUCUGUAAAGCUCUUAUCAGACCAUCCAUUGCGUGCUUUUAAGUUAUACAAUUUUAAGACCGUAGACAAUCUUGUGAAUUUAGCACAUCCAUCAUACAAUGGUAUCUUUGAAUCACUUUCUAGCCUCUCAAACAUUUCGGGACAAUCACGAAGAUCUUCUUUUAUUUCAUUCAUAAACUCUUCGACUCGAUCAAACUCAUAAUCAUUUGACGUAUCUCUCACAUUACUCCUCAAACUAGCAGACUCAGUUUCUUCUUCCCCGUGCAUUGUCCAACAUGUAUAGCUUUCAUCUUCCAUUACAUAUUAAGUGAUCUUGCAAAUGCUCCGCAUUAACUGUUCUGUAACAACAUUCUAAGCAUGGGCAUAUGAUGUUACUGUUGUCGUUUGCAUGAGCAACAACAAACUCUUUCACUCCUUCUAUGUACUCCUUUGACGCUCGAUUCGCAGACACCCAUUUCCGAUCCAUAGUUCCUAGAUCUUGAUAGUUAGCUGUCGGGAAUAGUUAGUUUGAGUUUAUUGGUAACAAAUAUUACUAGUUAAAAUUUGGUUCUAACAACCGAGUUAUGAAUCGUAUGCUUAAGGAUUCACUGCCCAACAACUAAGGACUCCAACAGAUAACUACUCCAAAUUGUUUUUUUUAAACAGGAACUACUCCAAAUUGUUAAAUUAGAGAACUACCAAUAAUCCCAUAAACUUUGGGUCGACCCAUAGUUUAUUCUUAGUUUGUACCAACAUUUAAAUAGUUGCUUUUAAUCAUCAAGAAUUCCUACCACUAUUAUCCACCUCAUCAUAUUAAUUUUCAUUAUCUUUUGCAAUAACUAACUUUUGACCAUGACUUUAAGUACAGAAAAAGAAGUCAAUACCUUGAUCCGUAUGUUUGAUUCUUCUCACACCAGUAGCAGUUGGCACCACGCUGAUCAUAUAAGUGAAAAAAAGUUAGUCCUAUCAUUAACUAGUAACGACUUUGAAACUACUCUAAAAUCCAGUCAUAACAACGCUAUCUAUCUAUGCAUACAAUCCUUAUUGUUUAACCUUAAAACACUCUAAAAUCCAGUCAUAACAAAUUUGAAACUAGGACUUUUUUCCAAGUCCAAGUUUGGUAAAUUGAAAACACACUCCAAUUAUAAAUCAUCAAACUAAUUAGUAUAGUAUAAUAAUGCACAUUAACUUGGUAUAGUAUAAUAAUGAUGACAGAAAACCAACUUUAGACAAAAUAAAAGUACACUAGCUUACUGUAAAAAAUCAUCUAAUUAGUUGACACCUUAAACAUAAUUCACCAAUAGGAAAAUUCAAACAUAUACUAAUAUAAAUGUUCAAAUGUCAUAUUUUACUCAGCAUCACAUUAUAAUCAUCUUACCUUUUCAAAAAUCAUUUGCUCUGGUUUUUAACUAGAGUUAAAAAAAAAAAAAAAAUCCUGAGAAUUGCAAACAUAUUUUGUCCGCUAAGAACAUGCACUAAUGUAAUGUUACCAUUUCUAUGUAAAACAUUUUUAAUAUAAAAGAUGUCAGUAACAUAAUGCGCAAGGUAUGGUCACGAUCAACAACAAACAACUCAAUUGUUUCCAAGCAAUCACUCUCACAAAUAAUAUAGCUAUAGCCUUUGGUGCAACAAGAUUCAAAAACUCAUGAAACAUACAUAAUGCGCAAGGUAUGGUCACGAUCAACAACAAACAACUCAAUUGCUUCAAAGCAAUCGCUCUUACAAUUAAUGUAGCUAUAGCCUUUGGUGCAACAAGAAUAAAAAAUAAGUAUUCCUUAUUUAGUGAUCAUGCCCAACAAGAAUAAAAAAGAAGAAUAAAAAAGAAUGGCAAUAAGUAGUACCUGAUUCAAGAAUAAAGAAGAAGAAUAAAUUGAAAUAUUUGUUUAAGAGCUAAUUCCUGAUUCAGUGAUCAUGCCCAACAAGUAUUCCUGAUAUAUAAGCAUACAGCUAAAUGGUUGGUUAAGGAUGGCAAUAGGUAGUGUCGGUCCUCGUACAUGCUAACCGCACGACAACAAAGAAAUUCCAUAAGUAAUUAAAUAUAAACAUCGAGUCUAUAAAUUAAAUUUGUUCUUGUGUUCAAAUCUUUAAAUCGAAUCCAUAACACGGUAAUUCCCUAUGGACUUACAAAGUUCCCACUACAUUUUAAAUUCAAAAAACCACACAGAAAAAGCUUCAAUAACUUCAAAUCUCGUUCUGCACAGACCGGAGUAGCGCCACCGGAGAUGGACGACGAAACAAUCUCCCGCAUUAUAACAGAAAUCUCCGACCUACGCGAAACCCACCACACUGAAAAUCCACAACCACUCUCCGAAAAAUCCCUCUCUUCUCUCCAAACCCUCCUAAACCAUUCCCAACCUUUAGACCCACUCUACGACGCCGUUUCACCUUCCCACCUAAUUCCCCCAAUCGACACCGCAAUGGAUUCAUCUCCACCACCUCACUCUCUCCUUGCUUCUCACGUCUUCCUCUCCUUCCUCCCCAAACGACCCCGUUUUCACUCUCUUCACUACUCUCUCCUUUCUCUCAUUCCUUCGCUCCCUCCGUCGUGAUUUCAAAAACACGGAGCUAAAUCAUGUGGUUUAGAAUUCAAUUUCUAGGUUAUCUAAUUCAACCAUAAUAAAGAGAGAGAAUGGAAAUGUAAAAGAAGGGAAUGAAGAUCUAACCAGAGAAGAAUGAGAGAAACGAUUUCACCACCACGAUUCAGACUUCGAUUCCAACUUCUUCCUUUGAUUUCGAUUAUGACUUUGAUUUUGAUUUCAGUUUUGGACUUCAGUUUUUGAGUUGAAGGACGGUGAAGCUCUUUCGAGAAUGAAGGAAGGACGGUGGUUGGAGUGGAGAGAGAGUGGGGUUUAGUUUUGGACGGUGCAGCUCUUUCUUUUUGGAGAGAGUGUUUUUUUUUAAGGAAGAUAGUGGGUUAUGUGUUAGUGUUAGUGCGCGAAAAUGAAAAAAUCCAUCCGCCCUUUUUUAAUUUUCAUAUAACCCAAACAUAGCGUUUGUGAAAAACGCUAUCUAUACCCCCUUCAACAAUAGUGUUUUCUUAAAAGCGCUAUUAGUACGAACAAGAAUAAUAUCACUUAUAGAAAAGCGCUAUGUAACCCAGUUUUUCACAAGCUUUUUUUAGCGCUUUCUGAAGAGUGCUAUAACAGGUCUAUAAUUUGCAUUUUUAAUAGCUUUUAUCCAAAAACGCUAUUAAAAUUGUGCUAUUAAAAGCCAAAAUUGUGGUAGUGAAACUAGUCCAGUUUUUAUUAAAAUAAAAAAAAAGAUAUAGGUGGAGUUGUUUUUAUUUUUAUUUUCUUGGUUUGCCAAAUUCAAAAGUAAAAGGAGUUUUAUUUUCAGAUUCUGCCAUUGAUACAAAAGUAUAAAGUUGUCCAUUUGAAUCGAUCUGGUGCUCGGCUGGCCAAGAAUGGGCAAUCUUUAGAGAUUCAGAAGUUACGUUGCCGAGUCAAUUUUAGUGCUCUUAGAUUUACAUCUUAGAUUGAGGAGUUGGGCAGAAAGAUUAUCAAUCAUCUGAGGCUUUAGUAAUAAUACAAUAGUCUAGUAAAUUUAGUAUGUAUGAAGCUUUAGUGAUCCUAUGAACCAAGCUUUAGCAUGUAUGGAUCUAUAGGUAUUUUUGUAUGAAGCUUUUGCUAUAAACAUGACCUCUUUUAUUAUGAUUUUGUGUUUGUUGAUAAUAUUUUUAUUGACUAAUCUAACUAUUUAAAUAUGCACAUAUUUUUAUUAUAAAUGAAUGUAUGAAACAUAUUUGGUACUGCAAUAAGCAUGCGUAGCAUUUCAAUACUUAAUUAUCACUUAUCAAAUCAGUGCUUUUCUGCCCGAUGUGAAAUGUUACAGACAUACAACCUCACCUUUAGUUACAUCGGCUGGGACCCAAUGUGAAAAGUCGAUUUCCACUGAUGUUAAAUGUCAUUUCUGUAGUAGUUUUUAGUCUUUUUAAUUAAGUUUUAGUCUAUUAUUACUAUUAUUAUUAUUUUAGUAUUUAAUUUAGAGUCAUUUUCUUAUUUAUUGAGUCAAGUAGUGCAUUAUUAGCUACUAUUACUAUGGAUCAAUGAUUACAUGAGAUAACAAAGGUGUGGCAUGCUUUGAAGUGCUGAAUAGUGAAGUCAAAAUGAAAAAAUCAUGGUUUAGUUAUUAUAGUAGGCCACAUGUGCAGCAUGUGCUUGGUGAAUUAGGAAAAGAAAAACAAAUGGGCCUUUAACCCAUGCUAGCAUCAGGGACCUGUGAGAAAAGAAAGGGAAUGAAGGCAUCAUGCGAUUAUUAUAAAAGGAGUCGCACAGUAACAAAGGAGGCAUUCACGGUUUUGGAAAACAAAGAGGCUGAAUCACGAUUUGGAGGAUUGAAGGAACGGACAGAAAAAGGGCGAUUAGCAACAGGGCAUAGAGAGAGAGAAUUGAGGAACAACAUGUUUUCAUGGUUAAUUUUAGUUUUCAUGCUAUUUAUUUGUAUCUCUAUGUCUAGCUAAUUUCCUUUGAUUAAGCCAAGGUGAAUCUAUUGUAUCUGUGAAUCUAUGUAGUUUUUGACUUUGUUGCUAUCAAUAUAAUUUAGUCUUUAUUCAUAACUAUUCUUGCUUGAUGCUUUUCUUAAUAUCGUGUGUAUGACUAUUAACACUAGCUUCUAUCAAUUGCUUGAAUUGAAUUUAGGUUUCAAUUGACUACUAACCCUAGCUAUUGAAUCGGACAUAGUAAUUAUGAUUAACUCAACAUAUGAAACUAGAGAUAGGAAGUUGAGAGUUAAGACUUAGGAUUAACGAGCUAGAACAUCGCUUCCAAAGUUAUUCAAUCGGCUUAAGAGAUUAAAAGGUUAUAACCUAGGAAAGGACUUUGAGUCAAGAGAUUGAUCAAAGCUAAUAAGUUGAGAACCUAGAGAAUCUAGCUACCACAGUGACCAAUAGAGGAUUCAAAAGCUUAAUCAUCUGUUUUUCAUAUAAUCUCCAACAAUUUUUUAUUUACUUGCAAUUUAUUAUUUUUCGCAUUUAAUACAACAGCCUAGGGCAACCAUAACUUUAAUGUCUUUGCUGAGUAGAAAUUGAAACAGUCCCUGUGGAUACGAACUUAUAAAUUUUAUUACUUCGAUAUAUUUUUAGUACACUUGCUAAAAGUCUAUCAUUAUCUGAAUUACAAGAAGAACUUAAUGGAAUUACAAACUUUAUUGAAUGAAAAACUAGAAACUAAAUGUGAAGCAAAAGCAGGAGGAGAGUAAUGAUAUAAGCCAUUCACUUGUUUUGCCAAACCAAUCAUCUUCAUAGACAAGUUGUCCUGUAUGAGACACUGAUUCAGUGAAAAAUGGAAUUUACAAGACAAUGAAUCACAAAGUUUAGCAAUAGAAAUAAGAUUCAAAUGAAAAUGAGGUGAAUACAAAACAUGAUGAAGGUGAAAUUCUGAAGUGAAUGAAACAGUACCAGCAAAAGAAACAAUGAGUGAAGUACCAUUGGGUAAAGAAAAUUUGACAGGUUUAAUUCUAUAAAAGGCACUAAAAUAUGACAUGGUACAACUAAUAUGCUAAUUGGCUCCUCAAUCAAUAAUCCAAGUAUUAGGAGGAGAAACAUAAGGUAUACCUGAAGAGGAAGCUUCAUAAGCAGAAAUGCUGGAUGCCACAAGAGGAGAGACAAUGAUGUUGUUGGAGGAAGGAUCAGUUGAAGGAGAUGCAGGGGCAACCAAGCUUGCCUGUUGUAACAAAGAUACAAGUUGAGCAUAUUGUUCCUGAGAAAUACCAGUAGUGGAACUUGUGGAUGCAUUCAGACUUGCACUAGGUAAUGUCAUCAGUUUUGGCCUGCACCGUAUUAUUUGAACGAGUCUGUGGCUUGUUACCAUUAGGAUAUCCAUGCUUUUCAUAGCAGAAAUCAACAAUGUGAUUGUUACGAUGACAUAAUGUGCAAUAUCUAGCAGGUUUGUUGGAAGUGUUUGGUGCACCAGUUUUACCACAAGAUGAAAAUCUUCUUUGCAUCAGAAUCAUUCAAUUGCACAGAAGCAUCUUCACCAACACUAACAGGGAGAAGAGAAGCUGAGUUACUCUCUUCUUGAAUCACAAGUGAGUAAACUUUAUUCAGAGUAGGAAGAGGAUCAAGUAGUAGGAUAUGAGUUUUUACUACUGAAAUUUUUUUAUUCAAGCCUGUGAGAAAUUGUAUAAUUUGAUCCUCAUUUCUAUGAUUCUUAGCAACUUUGGUAGCCUCACAACGACAGGGAUAAAGACACACACAAUUAGGUAUAGGACGAUGUGAAGAAAAUUCCUCCCAAAGAGCUUUCAAUUCAGUGAAGUAAUCAAUAACAGAUUUGUUACCUUGUUUCAAUGAAUUGAUAGAUGAACAUAAAUUUGCAAUGCGUAUACGAUCAACUUUACUGAAACGCUCAUGAAGAUCUUGCCAAAUUUCCAGAGCAGAAUCAUAGAAAACAACUGUUUAAGCAAUUGACUCAGAGAGAGAAUUGAUGAGCCAAGAUUGCACCAAAUGAUUACACCGUUCCCAUGCAGAACGAAGUAGAUCAUCACUAUUAGGAACUGGAAUAGUACCAUUGAUGAAUCCAAGCUUAUUCUUCGUUCCUAAUGCACGUUGCAUUGAACGUUUCCAAGCCAAAUAAUUCGAUCCAUUGAGUUUUGGAGAAACGGUUAAAGAGUUCGGUCCUUCACUCGACAAGCAUGCAGCAACAGCAACAGCGCGUGAGUUCAGCCACAGAUGGAAGAAACCAAUGGAAGGAUGGAUCAAGUGCAAUAUUGAUGCUUGUUUCUUCGAAUCAGAAGCAUAACAACUGCUGCAACUUGUUUCCAUAAUUAACAGGGACAGUUUAUUUUAGAAGGAAUGUCGUGGAAAUGGGCGAAACUCUCUACCAUUGAAGGUGAAGCAGUGGCAUUAUUAGAGGCGGUGAAGAUUGCAUCCAAUAGAGGUUUUGAUCGAGUUGUGUUUGAGAGUGACUCUCAAAUUCUAGUGAACGCUAUUUACUUGAAUUUCCAAGGCUCGUCUGAAUUCAGUGCUAUUGUUUCUUGUAUGUCGUCCCAGUAAAAUUGAGGUAAACCUUGUUAGGAGACAAGCAAAUAUGACUGCUCAUACCUUGCAAAGGGCAGCCAUUUAUUGGGCUAGUCACCGUUGUUUUGAGAUAAUUCCUCCUCCAUGUACUGAGAACAUUUUGUUUAAUGAAAUGAAUUAACCUUGUUUUGGUAGAAAAAAAAAAAAAAAAACCUUCACCUCUGUCAAAAUAAGACUAUCUAAACACACAAUUCAAUAAAAGUCACAUGCUAGAAAUUGAUAACUCUAUUUUAAAAAAAAAAAAAAUUAUUCUAAGAAAAUUCUUCUCCUAAUGAAAUGUGGCGGAAUUUCACAUCUCUAUUUUCACACGUCUGUGUAAUCUUAAUCAGUUGUAAGAAGUUCACAUGAACAAUCCACUAGGCUUUGAGACAAAACAGAAUAUUAAACUUUAAAAAUCCCUAGGACUUGGUUUGAUGGAUUCACUAAGGCUAGUAAAUAUCAUGGUAUUGACAAGACAAGCUGAUCCUCAACAUGUAUCUCUUUGUAGUAAAUUGGAUCAAUCAUUUAUAGCUACCUCGUUAUCCUUAUUAGGUUAUUACUCACAUUUCCCUAUUCUUUAGUUAAGACACCAGAACAGAAUCACUCUGUGAUUCUACACCUCUGAGUAUUUCCACAAACAUGUCGGAAUCAAUUGUUGUAUUGUCGCGGACAGAAACCAACCACUGAAGUAUUCUUGUAAUAGAAUGACAAUCCGAUGAUACUAGAUACACACAAAAAGGUUGUUUGAUUCACAUAUGUUUCUUUCUUAAAUGUAACAUCCAACAUCCUAGUAAUACAGCAAUUCAAACAUCCUAGCGAUCCAUAUAACGUACUCUCUAAAAAUGUGUUUUUAUAACGAAUCAUUGACAACAAACCUGCUUGCUAAAUUGAUAAAUUGAUUAAUAACAACAAUUUUAUUGAUGAAACUCAAAAAAAAGUUGUAUCAAACAGAAAAUUGAAUACAAACAUUUACACUGCUGUAGAAUUAAAAUAUUUCAUAGAAAACAGACACAGUUUCACUAAGUUUCGAAAGCUUGGUUCUCUCCCAUUCAAAUAACCACUCAUAUUUUAUAUUUUCUAAGAUCCCAUUUAUAAGACACCUCUUAUGAAAUAGUAUUUUAUUCUUAUGAAAUUAAACUUCAAUUUAUAAAUGUAUCAUAUCAUAUAAUAUCAGAUGUAUGUAUAGGACACGCUCUCACACUACUACAAUAAUGGCAAUUAGUAACACUUGAAAAUUGUAACUAAAUCAAGAAAAAUGUUACUAAUUAAAUUUAGCAACAUUUGAACAAUUGUUAGGUAAAGCCCGUGUUACUAAAGUGUUUUAGUUACAUUUUAUAGUACUAUCUGUAACAAUCAAAAAGUAUCGCAAAUGGUACCUUAUUGUAACACUUUCUGUAUCACUUGUAACAAUAAAAAAGUGUUACAUUUAUAAUUUUUGAGGAGUUGUAAAAAGUGUCGCAAAAUUGUCUAAACUAAUUUUUUUUAAUUUACCAAAUUUGUCUUUGCUUAGACUUCAUUCAUAUUUGAAUUAACCAAUAUUAGAUACAAGUUUUAAUAACUAGUUUCAAUUACAUACUCUAUAAAAGUUCCCCUCUUCUCUGUUCUUAUUCUUGCAUGAGGAAAAUAAACUAUGCAGCACAAUUUGAACUAUACAACACAAUUUGAAUUACAUACAAAAAUGAUUACAAUUAAGUUUUCAUCCAACACAAUUUCCCCAUUCUCUUUAAGGUCAUCAAGCUGCACAUGAGAAAUGCAAGCCUUCUCUUUAAUCUCCUUUGUCUUGUGCCGUUGCUUAUCCGCAAUCAUCUUCAUAAUGUUCUGCCAGCAAGAUUGCAGACAUCCCUUCCUUAUCUCAUCACCAGUAUUGUGCAACAAUUUUAAUGCAAAGGACGAUUCUGUCAUGAAAAUCAUUAUCAAUUGAAACUUACCAAGCUGCAACUUUAAUACCAUGCUCAACAAGGAUACUAAGAAAAACAAGUGUAAUAGCUAAUAGAGAUAAUCUUAGAAUUCACAAUUCAAUUAGAAUAAACAACAGCAGGGAAAUUUGCAUUCAACAAAGACUUCAUAGAUAGUGGAGACAAAACUCAAUGGACCCCCAGUCCAUUUUUGACUCGGUCAACGCUGACGUGGCACCCUAAGUGAGGUGUCACGUGUCAAUUUUUUUUUUUUUUUGCCUUGGGGGUCCAAAACUGCCAAAGAAUCAAAGCAUAGUGAGUUGUUUUGUAUUUAAAUUAGUUAAGGGUCCAUAACCGCAACUUUUGGAAAAAUAGGGGUCCAAAAGUGCAAUUAAGCCUAAAAAAUAAUCAACAAAUCUUAUGAAUGCAGAAGUAUAUUGCAAUAGAUGGUUGAAGCAAAAGACGGUUAAAGUUUUUUCCUGUCCUAUGUAUCAAUAUGAAAAGGCAUUAUUCCAGCAUAGAAGAAUAUAACAAUUCAGAUUGAAGUAAAUUGAUGGAAAAUAUAUAACAUGCAUAAAGUAGAAGUAAGAAAUUGCAACAUGUAUAACCAUAAGUGUGGUACCUUAAUAGACCAAUCAAUAAAGAGAGAUCAUUUUUAUAUAUUAUAUAUACUCCAAUAAUUAUUAUAAACAAAAAUAUAUAUUUUAUACUUGUAAUAAUUACCGGAAAGUAUUUAAUAUAUGAAAAGAUGGGUCAGAGUAUUCACGAAUGUCUCUCAACCGCUUGAUCAAUCCAUUUGAGAGAAAACAUGGGUCAGAGUAAAAGUGAGUGGGGCCUGUUGCAGUAACAAUUGUGAUGUCGUGAUUGUCGCGAUAAUGUUUUCGCUACAACUAGUAUUUCUGAUAUAAAGUUGAAAUGUGAUUUUACUUUUUCUCAGUCACUUCUCAUUCCUAUUAACCCGAACUAUUUUUUUAAGUGUCCAUUUUUAGUAAUUUUUUUUACUAGUUUACUCAAUAACUAAUAAAAGAUUUAGGCGAAUAAUUAUAGGGUUAAAUAUGUUUUUGAAUCCUAUAAAAUAGGGACCUUUUAUGUUUAAUCCUUACUUAAUUUUAAUAGGUUUUUUAGUCCCUACAAAAAAGAAUUACUUCUAAUUUUAGGCCCUGUUAAAACAAAAUUUGUUUAAUUAUCCUUAAACUCUUAAAUUUUUGAACAUUUUUUUAAGAUAAGUUUAGAACAAUUUUUUUGAACGGUGUUUUGUCACUUCUUUUUAUUUUUUGACAGAAUUUUUUGAAAUUUUAAUGAGAGGUGAAACAAACGCUAUUCAUUAUCACCUUCAGCAGUAAGUUUGACUGCACUAUCUUGAUUCCCCAAUAAACUUUCACCAUGAUUCUAGUAGAAAUUUCAUGGUCUCGUCUUUAAUCCCCUUAAGGUCAACAAGAUUUAACUUUAUAUCAAUCAAAAAUCGUUCCAAAACAACCUAAGUCCUUUGCUCAAGCCCUAACCCGUGUAUGUGCUAUUGUAUCACCGUAGUUCGCAAAAGCUAUUAUUAACGAGGAUCAAUUGUCAAUAACUUUCCAAGAGUAUGAGUAUCUAGGUGGUUUUCAUGCAUGCAAACACAAUCUUCAUGCAAGGAUCAUUUGGUCAAAGGAUGCAAUCCACAUUAGAAGAAUUUGUUAAAGUGGCACUACUACAAAAUACCCCUUUUAAUAGCGUUCAUAUUAGCGUUUAAUAGCGUUUGUGAAGCGCUAAGAAAAGGAUUCUAUGAACUAUCAUUUUCAAACUUGGAGGUUGUUAGGAGAGUUCAUUUCAUUGGUUCGUGGAAUCUAAACCGUGGAUUUAUGAAUAUCUUUGUGUGGAUUAGAGAUUUUAAUUAAUUAUUGCAACAAAGAACCUAGGCACAUGUUUUAUGGCCUUUCACAAGAGUAUUAACGUCCAAAGAUAUUGUUUGCAAUAGCCAGUAGUGUAAGGACUCCAUUAGCCUUUGAUGCUGCUUCCACAAAGCCACAAUGAAUAUAAGUUUUGUUCAAUAGAGUGUUGCUUGAUAUGGAUGUAACUCACUUUGAGAUACAAGAUCUUCGUGGAGAGAAAAGGAUUUGCAUAUUUUGUUGAACUUGAUUACAAAAACUUACUAAAUUUUUGCACUUACUGCAAAAAUAUUGGUCACAUUUGUCGAUUUGUAAAAAUAUGACCAAUGAGGAUGUUCAAGAUGAAAUCAAUGGAAAUAAAAAGAGCAAUAUACGAGGGAAAAUAUGACAAGAAAAGAAACAGAUGCUCGCAAAGAUAUGGUUGGUACAUCUAAUGGUAUACAAGCUAAAAUGCAAAAUUUAGAGUGCAAUGAAGACAUAAACAUGAACCUUCAUCAUUAAAAAUCUCAUGAAGAUAAAGAUAACGCCGAUUUGGAAGAGGAGGACAAUGGAAAUUUUGGAAAUUAAGUGUGCGUGAUUAUAUUCCACAUCAGUUAGAAAUGGAGGAAAUUUGGAUAUAUAAGAUAAGGGAGCCAUAUAACUAAUUCCUUUGGGUGUGUUUGGAUGGAGGGUUUAAGAGAGGAAGAGAGGGGAAGAUUUACUUUUCGUUUUUAAAUUAUGGAAACUAUGAAAUGUUUUUUGAUAAAUUAAAAUAAUAACAUGAUAUACGAUCAUAUAAUACUUAAAUAACACUUACUUUAUUUUAGAAAAACAUUUUAUAUAAUCUGUAAUUUAAAAAAGAAAAGUAAACUCUCCCCUCCUUCCCAUCCUAAACCCUCAAUCCAAACAAACCCUUAAGAUUUUGGGUGGGAAUGUGGUUUCUAAGUCUCUUGGUGGUCUUGGACGUUUAGUUCAUUGCCGCUCCCGGCGCUCUCCGGACUCCUGAUGAGUCAUUUAUUGACUAUUUUAAUAUGCUUUUUAGUUUAGUUUUAUUUAGAUUUAUAUGAUUUUAUAUUAGUAUUAUUUCCUUUUUAGGAUAGUUUACUUUAAAUUGCAUUUUAUUAUAUUUCAGGAAAGAAUAUUGGAUGGAUUGAGUCUUGGAGCAAAAGAAAGGGACUUGGAGCCGAUUGGACGCAAAAAUAUGAAGAUUGAGAGACAAAAAUAUGUCUCCCACAAGUCAGAAGCUUGGCACGGCCUGUGCUAGCCUUGGCACGGCCGUGCCACCCUCCAGAGUGUCUUUUGCUGCUUUUGCUUAGAUUUUAAGCUACUCUAUUUUUAGCCCAAAUGUAAUAGCUUAGAUUUUAAGUCGAUCGAAUGCUAUAAAUAGAGUAGCUAUCCAUCACAAAUAUUCAUCUUUACUUGGAAUACAAUAAGUGACAAUUGCUUUUCUAAUUAAAGUUCUUUUCUUUUCCUUUACUUUCUUGUCGUUUACUUUUAUGCUUUCUCUCUUCUCCCCAUGUCUACGAUGAACAUGAGUGAGUAGACUUCUCCUUGUCUUGGGAUUGUUGGAUAAGUCUAAAUGACAAAAUCCUAAUCAAACCAAGCUCUAAGCCUUAAUCUUAUGUAACCCUAAUUUCUUAUCUGAAUUCACCGUCUUAACAUGGAUCAACCAUUAUCAAACUGUGAAAACGAAAGUGGAGGGUUUGAUAAUUGUUUAUCCAUUAUUCCAAAUAUCAAUUCAUAAAACGAAAGUGGAGCUUUGAUAUUCGAACAAGUGAAUUCAGACAAGGAUUGCAAAGUCAGCGAAAUAGGCUUUGCAAUCUUUGAGACAUAUAGUUUCGAUCUUCAAGGGAACUAAUAACAAUCAAGUCAGCGAAAUAGGCUUGGUUGUUAGAGGAACCAAAAUCUAAUAGUAAUCAAGUCAGCGAAAUAGGCUUGGUUGCUAGAGGAACAUAAGAGAAACUGUCUUGAGAAAUUAGGUCUAACAUAACAUUAUAAGCUUAUAGUUUUGGUUUGAGAAGGACUUGUCAUUUAGAGGAAACCAACGAUCCCAAGGCUCUUUUUAUUAUUAUCUUUCAAACGCUUGAAAACCCCCAACUUACAAUUCUUUUCUCUUCUAAUCAUCUCUAAAGGUUAAUUAAAUUGAACUACUCCCUGUCGGAACGAUACUCUUUUAUACUACUUCGGUAAGACCGUGCACUUGCGGUUUUAUCUCAUCAACUCCCCAAAAAGUGGUGUUAGAGUCGGGGUUAGGCUCGGUGGGGGAGUGGAAGCGGGAUCUUAGUGUGGAUAUAUGAGAGAGGGGACAUAAUCACUCACACUUGAUUUUUAACAAUCUUCCUCUUAAGUGUGAGCCAAGGCUUGAAUUGUGUUAACUUUUUCUUCAAAUUAACUAAGUUCAAAGUUCAGCUUUUGAUACAGUUCAGAACUUGAAUCUUUGUUCAGAGUUAUGUGCAGUGGAUAUAAAAGAGAUCAAGAGAGAGAAGAGAAAAACACAAGCAAUUUAUCCUAGUUUCUUCCACAAUCCGGAAGUAGUCCAGUCCCCUUUUCACUUACAAGAGAUUUUUCACUAUAAUAAAUCAGAUAACAAAUGCCUAAGCACACAAGCAAUAUACUUCUAACAAACAAAGAUUACAAAGAAUAUUCACUACUAGAAAAAGCAAAAGAGGUUGAAAAGAGACGUUGAAGAGUGUGAGCGCAUCAAAGAGUCAUUUGAGAAGCUUGGUCAUUCAACAUUGAUUUGUUGCUUGAUUUGGUUAUUGUCCUAUGAAGUAAUGAUUUUGAAUCCAUUCCAUGAUAAGGAAUUAUCCGUUCUUUUCCAAAGGAGACACAACUGUAGUUUCAUACAAUGCAUAUGAGAAUGUUAGAGAUAGUGGAGGUAGUGGUCGUACACUUUGUCCUUAAUUGUACUUCAAUGUAAGUGACAUUCAUUGACCUUCUGACAUCUUCAGAACCAUUGUGCUUGAUCUUCAGGAAAAAUCAGACUUGACAUCCAAUGCUUUUGCUCCGUUGACCUUUAGCUUGUCCAGAUUUUGACUUUCAGAGUUUGAGAGAUCUUCAAAGUCUGACUGCUUCUAGAGUCUGGGUGAUCACCAGAAUCUGACUCCUUCUGCAACACCCCGUUUUCCCAAUAUGAAAAUUUCUAAACAUUUAUCAGAGUAAACAGCAUAAACGGGAUAUCACAUUCAACAUAAUCCAAAAUCAGUUAAAUAACAAUUUAACUUUCAACAAAUUACUUAAACAAUGCAGCGGAAAUUAUUUCAUAAUCCAUAAAUUGUUUUGGCACGUAGGCCCCAUCAAAAUAUUUCAACAGUUAAUCGACAUUAUAAAAAUAACAUAAAUGUUCACGUAAGAGAAUGAAGCAUGUAUAACUAACACCCCAUCCCGUUACGUAUCAGAGCGACCUAGACGACUCAGUGAGGCAAGGCCACUCACGACGGCAAACUGCACACUUAAGCACGAUCACCUGCAAGUUACUCAUACGAAGAGCAACAUUUUCAAGCAGAAUGAGUGAUAUUUCAUAACACAAUAAUAUUAAUCAAUAUAAUUCGAAAUCAUAAAUUAACAUCAUAAACAUUCUUAAUUAUCAUUGCAUCUUUGAUAAACAAUUAUCAAGUAAUCACAGCUUCAAAUCAUCAUCAAUAACAUAAACAUCUUUAAACUCGACAAGUGCGACAAUGCAACUUAGACACUUAUAUGCAUGUGGUACCAAUCGUCAUCAUAGUAUUAAUAUACUUUAAUCGUGUGGAGGACAAAGCUCCUAUCGUGUGGAGGACAAAGCUCCGAUCGUGGUGAGGACAAAGCUCAAUGUAUGCUAAUGCAUGGACUCUAUCAACAAAACAUCUUAAUCAACUUAUCACUUAUACAUCCAAUAAUUUGGAGUUCAUCAUCAACUUAAUUCAGACACAUGCAACUUAGUUUAAUAACAAUUGUAGCAUAAUCAAAUCACAUCAAGCUUAAUAACAAUUCACUGUCAACAAUUUCUUGAUCAUUCAAUAAUAAUUCAAGUAAAUGCAAUCAAUCCAUAAUUCACUUUAUAAUCACUUAACAUUUCAUAAAAGCUUCACAAUUCUCAGUCAAUAUCUUUAAUAGGUCUCACUAGUACCUAAAGUUCAUUUCCUAACCAAUCCAAACGACUCAGGUCUCACAAUCCUCAAAAGCACUCAGUUCUGGAAGUGCUCGCGAGGCGAGAGCAUCUGCUCGCCAUGGCGAGUACAAGCCAGAUUUCCAACCUAAGGUUGUUCCAGGUUCAAUCUCGUUCUAAAUCAUUCUCUAAUCAAUAGUAGAUACCUAAAGGUACUCAAAGGCAUCUAAGGUUCAACUCAAAAGUCAAAAACUCAGAAAACGACAUGCUCUCUGGUCAAGCUCGCUAUGGCGAGUAGGGUUGCUCGCCGUGGCGAGAUACGACAUGUAACUCGCGAGGCGAAGGGUUAAGGCUCACGUGGCGAGUGAUGAACAUUCAUCCCUCGCGAGGCGAGGAUCAUUGCUCGCUAUGGCGAGCGAUGAACUUUGCUCGGGUAGAAUGCAGUUUUUACAAAAAUUUCAUCAACUAACAUGGUUCUAAGCCUAAUUUCAAUUCCAGAAUUCAUCCUAAACAUAUUCUAAGGUUAUAGGACGGUUUCUACAUCAAUCUAAUCAAGUUUUACCGUUUGAUCAUCAAUUUUAGGGAUUUGACCUAAUUUCAAAACUUUUUCUAAAUCCAUCCGAACUUUGCUAAUUAAUCAUCAGAAUUAUAACAAUCAAUAUUACUGAAUUAUUAGUCUCACCCUUACCUUGUAUGAAGAAAUCGCAGCCCUCCUAGGUGAUUUUCUCUUCUCUGGCUUUUUCUCCCUUUUCUCCAAAAACAGUCGUACGUACUAAUUUUCUACAACCUAGGUCUUUCUUUUUUAUACCUCUUCCUAAAAUCUUAUCUUAUCUCACUUUCUCCCCCAAAACUCUCUAAAAUCUCAAAACAGCCCUCAACUAAAUAUUUUUAUUUUCUUAUCAAAUCUUAUUUUAUUUAACAAUAAAAUAAGCAGCCUCAUAAUCUUAUCAAAUCAGAAAAACACAUCAAAUCAUCCAAAUCAACUUAAAUUAACAAAACUCACACAUAUAUUAUAUAAAUAUAAUAUAAUUGCUUAAAGUCGAUUAAAUAAAUAAUUAAACGAAAAUAGGCGUUACACCUUCAGUUCUGACUUGCAACAUAGUUUUUUUUUUUUUUGGAAAAUCAUUGCUCUUCAAUUUGUUCUUCAGAACCAAUACUUUGAUUAAGACAUAAUAAAUUUUAGUUUAUGGUUCUGCACAUUUGAACAAAUAUUAGCAUAUAAAAUUGAACUUCUAAUAUCUUGUUAUCAUCAAAACUUAAGAGACAUUGUUUAAAACUCAUUUUCCUCCAAUAGUCUCCCCCUUUUUGAUGAUGACAAACAUAAGUGUUAAUAGUCAAUUGUUGUUAAUCUAAUUAACAAGUUGACUUUACAGUCUGAAGUUUGUAAGCUCCCCCUAAGUCUAAUAGCUCAGAUGGUGAGUUUUGUAAGCUCCCCCUAGGUUCUAUCAAGGUUAAUUAAAUUUAUUAAAUCUAAUAAAAUGUAAUAACGUAUCACUCAGAAUCAAUUCACAUUAAAUCCAGAGGCUAAGAGAGAUUAGAACGAACAAGGUUCAUAAGCUAAUUUUUUUAAUUAACCUAGUGGACUCAGAGCCUAAACACUAUUAUAUCUUACUCUCCCUUUUAUCAUCAACAAAAAUAAUUUGAAAAGAGUAAGAAAAGAUUGGAUAAAACAUGAUAACAAUAAUAUCAAAAGUAAUAAAAUAUAUCCGAAAUAAACUAUAUAUAUGAGCAAGUAUAUUAACAAAGAGCAAUGAUAUUUUAACAACAAUUUGCUAACAACUUCAAUGACAACCUCAUUUUUCUCUCUUCUCAUUGGUCAAAAACAAUUGAGAGAGAAAAAGGAAGAGAGAGAGUAAGAAUAUAAUGUGAGUAUGAGAGAGAAAGUUGUCUAAAAAUUAUUAAAAAAUGGUUGUACAAAUAUCAUUUCUCAUUAUGCCGUUGUUGCAUAAAUGCUAGCAAAGCUUGAAUGCAGUUCAUAUCAUAACACCCUUGUUAUACCCUGUUUUUGGACCUAAAAAUACUGGGCCCAAUUUCAUUUCAAACUUUGGCAAUUAUCAAAUUUCAACUGCACAGUUCAAAUUGUCUCUGCCUCGCAGUAUUUUCAAUCACAAUUUUACCUAUGUUUUUCUUGCAUAAAACCUUUCGAAAUGUCUUUACUUGUCUUAUAAGUCAUUCAAAAGUGUCUCUGAAUCAUUACAUUGCUUUUUCUACAGUUUAUUUCAAAGUUUGUAAAAAGUCGUACAGAAGGGUAUUUUGGUCAUUUCCUGCAGUGGGACCCAUUUUCAUCCUUGUGACUGUCUCUGAGUCUUUUCAGAUUGAUUUUUAACAUUUCAUCAGUAAACCUUGUUAAAUUCAUUUCAAACUUGCAUCUGAGUCAGUGUCAAGUCAAUGUGAAUCUGUUUAGGUCAUUUUUAGCCCUAGGGGCAUUUUGGUCUUUUCCUAUCAAAAUUUCGGCAGAGAGGUAUUUUAAAAUACCUCAUUUUCGUAGCUGGUUCAUUUUAGUCCUUUUGUUGAUUUUAUUUUUGGUUUCACUUUACGUUUUUUUCAAAUUACCAAUUUUAGUCCAAUUUUAUUUUAAUUGCAUUUUAGUCCAAAACAUUUAAAAAUUCCAUUUCAGUUUUUUUAUUAUUGCUGUCCAGUCCUUUUUUAUUAUUUUUUUUGCAGAAAAGGUCCCAGGGGCAUUUUUGUCCAGAAUUUUCGCACACUUCAGUCCCAGUCCAGAUGGCAUUUUUUCAUUGGCACACAAAUACACAUGGCAGGCUAUAAAUAGAUGUGUCAGAUCCAAAUAAAAAAAAAAUCAGAAUCAGUCACAUCACAAAAACAGAAAUUUCUUUCUCUCUCCAAAAUCAAUUAGAUCAAAAACAGAAAAUCACCAAAAAAAUUCUCCAAGAACACCAAGAACAAAUCUUCACAAAAUCAACAAAUCCGAACCGGAUUCACUCAAAACCAACUCAAAUCAUCACAAAAUCAACAAAUCCGAAACGGAAUCAUUCAAAACCGCCGGAACCACCACCACCUCAUGCUCGCCGGCGAGCUUGUUUUAGAGAGAAGGGAUAGCUUCUCUCUCUAAGUUUAACUUAGAGAGAGAAGAGAGAAGAGGAAAAGGUUUUGUGAAUUUUUUGUGUGAAAAAUCCUUUUUAUACUCCCUCCGUUCCCACGCGCGCGCGUGCGUGCUCUUGUUGUGUUCCCUCGCUCUGUGAACCAUCAGAUAUGGAUUGUUCCAAGAUCUGAUGGCUGCUGUGUGUUUGAUUUUGAAUCCUGUGUGUAACUUUUUGUGUGGAAUUUGGUAUAUCUUCUGUUUGAACCGUUAGAUCUUUGAUCUAAUGGUCACUGUGCUUCCUGCAUUUUUACACUAUCUUUUGUGCUUUUUUUGGACCCUUGGAUCUUUGAUCCAGUGGCUGUGAUGUGAUCUUGGGAGCUAGAUCUGGACCUCUGGAUUCAUCCAACGGUCCAGAUUAAAUCCUGCUGAGCCUCUUUUUAAUUGCUUUUUAAUUGCGUUUUAAAUACCUUUUUUACACUUUCUUGGUGUUUUAUGCUUCUAAAAAUUUUUCUAAAAAUAUUUCCCUAUCAUUUUGAUUUUUCCUCUAAGUUUUAGAAUUUAUUUGCUUAUUUUUGCAUUUAUUUUCUUUACUUUGUUCUUUUAAUUCUUGCUCAUUAAAUUUUAUUGCAUAUUCAUUUGGUGCAUUUUUCAUCAUUCCCAUUAUAUUUUUCCUUGUUUCACUAACAUUUUGUUCCUUAUGUGACUUCACUCAUAGCAUUUCACUAUCUCCUCCACUUUCUUUAGCUUAGCAUUUAUUUUUGCAAAUUUUAAUUCAUUCGGUGAUGUAAUUUGUUAUCAUUGGUUUGUAGCUUGGCAAAGAGGCCAUAGAAUGUAUUUAGGCAAUUUUUGUAAUAUGGACUAUGGACACUAUGGCGCACCGGCACGCACACACUCACCCUGGAUGUAUGCCUAGGAUUGCAUGUGUAGAUGUAUGGCUAGGAUUGCAUGGUUAGAUGAAUGCUUAGGUUUAAACACUUAGAGAAAAUCCAAUUUUUUCCAAAAAUAUGCAAACAAAUUCGCUUCAAAUAUUUUUCAUAAAAAUGGAGUCAAAACUCCAACAAUUUUUCACCUUUUAUUUUCUUAAUAAAAUUCUCAAAUAAAUCUAAUCAUUUAGACUUUUUUGCAAAAUCACUAAACAAACCCCCACUUUUUCAUACUCUAAUGCUCAUGAAGCCUCUCAAUCCCUUUCUUCAAAAUCAUUUUCAAAAUUUAAAAUCAAACAAUUAAAACAAAAAAAAACAACAACAAGUCUUUUUAGCAAGAACUACGCCGGUUUUGAUCCCGUAAAACGGUACGUAGGCAAGGGACUUUAACCCCUCCAAGCCGAAAUAAAAUCAAAUUCUACAUAUUCUCUCCCCCAUUCUUCACUCAAAUAAAACUUCUUUUCUUUCAAUAAGUAGACAAUAAAAAUAAAGCGUAGAAAUAAGCUUAGGAGAACGGUUCUUAUGGAAUACCAUAAUCGCUCCGGGUGCCUAACACCUUCCCGUAGCGAAAACGACCCCCGAACUUAGAAUCUAAGGGUUUUUUCUCAAUUUUGCCCUUCCCAAGAAAAAAUAGAGAAUAUCAAAGAUUGAAAGGUUCAAGCCAAAUUAAUGACUUGACACCCGAAAAUCGCGAUAACAGAAAUGGCGACUUCACUGGGGACAUUUUUAGCGGGUCACGCCUAGUUUUCCUUAGUUUGUAUUUACGCUUUGUUUUAUUGCUUACAUAUGUGAAUACUUGUUUACUUUCAUUUGACGUGUGGGGUGAGAAUAUCAAAAGUCCUAUACCCGGGCUGAGUGAACUUAUGUAUAGGUAGAGAUAUAAUCGACAAUUCGAUCCGGGGGUUGCCUCGUGUAUUGGAUUAUGCGAUCAAUCUCACAUAGCUGAGGCAUUUUGAAGGUGAUAUUGUCGGCGUGUGUUGUCAUGCUUAGGCACUUCACUUUCAAUUGUUCGACGAAGCUAUGAACCGUAGUUACCAAACCCAUCCUAGCCAUUUUAGGACGUAGUGCGGUGGCUAAAUUGAGUGUUGUCUCAAACUUUAGUCGUCACGCGAUACUACACUCAAACUAGACCUUCUCGCAAAUAAUCAUGGAACGGGUGUCGUCCUGUACUACCAUGAUAUAUGUGAGAGAGGUUGCAGUUUGGGAACUGUGUUAGAACCUUGGUUACUACUACCCAAAGCCUUAGUUCACCGGACGCCGUGUCCAUCCGUGGCCCUGUUACUUUGAAUCUCAACCCACCUUGUUCUUUGUAACUAAACAACACAAUCAUGCAUACAUGCAUUCAUGCAUAAACAUUUUUCAUGCAUUCAUCGAAGGGCUUAAACAAAUGGAAAUUUUUGUAAAUAAUCACAGGUAUGAAGAAGACUAAGUGCUACAAGUUCAAGGAAGUGGAUUUGGUCAGUUUAAGAGAGUUGGCACUCAAGGUCAAGAGUCAAACAAGGUUCCGACUCCGGUAUGGGGGAUUGCUUACUUUGCUCCGAACCGAUGUGGAAGAGAAGCUAGUGCACACUCUAGUGCAGUUUUAUGAUCCGAGCUUCCGUUGCUUCACUUUCCCGGACUUCCAGUUGGUUCCUACUCUCGAGGCUUACUCCAAUCUAAUGGGUUUACCUAUAGCCGAGAAGACGCCUUUCACCGGUCCCGGGACUUCUCUUACUCCUCUGGUUAUUGCUAAGGAUCUCUACCUCAAGACUUCCGACGUCUCCAACCAUCUUAUUACCAAGUCUCACAUCCGGGGGUUCACUUCAAAGUAUCUUCUUGAGCAGGCUAAUCUCAGUACUACUUGUCAGGAUACACUCGAGGCUAUUCUUGCUUUGCUUAUCUACGGGCUCAUUCUCUUUCCGAACCUCGACAACUUCGUGGACAUGAAUGCUAUCGAGGUCUUCCAUUCCAAGAACCCGGUUCCUACUUUGCUAGCGGAUACCUACCACGCCAUUCAUGACAGGACUCUCAAGGGCCGUGGGUAUAUUCUUUGCUGCAUAUCUCUUUUGUAUAGGUGGUUUAUUUCGCACCUUCCGAGUUCCUUCCAUGACAACUCGGAGAACUGGUCCUACUCGCAGCGGAUUAUGGCCCUCACUCCUAAUGAGGUCGUCUGGCUCACUCCUACCGCUCAGGUGAAGGAAAUCAUUAUGGGUUGUGGAGACUUUCUCAAUGUACCUCUUCUUGGUACCCGUGGAGGAAUCAAUUACAACCCCGAGCUUGCUAUGAGACAGUUUGGUUUCCCUAUGAAGUCGAAGCCCAUCAAUCUUGCUACAUCUCCAGAGUUCUUCUUCUACACGAAUGCUCCUACCGGACAAAGGAAAGCUUUCAUGGAUGCUUGGUCCAAGGUUCGAAGGAAGAGUGUGAAGCAUCUAGGUGUGAGAUCCGGUGUUGCUCAUGAGGCCUAUACUCAGUGGGUGAUAGAUCGAGCUGAGGAGAUUGGUAUGCCUUAUCCAGCUAUGAGAUACGUGUCUUCAUCUGCCCCAUCUAUGCCUCUACCUCUACUCCCCACGACUCAGGAUAUGUAUCAGGAGCAUCUAGCUAUGGAGAGUCGUGAGAAGCAAGUGUGGAAAGCUCGGUACAAUCAAGCUGAGAAUCUAAUCAUGACUUUGGAUGGUAGAGAUGAGCAGAAGACUCAUGAGAACCUGAUGUUGAAGAAGGAACUAGCUAAGGUCCGGAGAGAAUUGGAAGAGAAAGACGAGCUGCUUAUGAGGGAUUCCAAGAGAGCCAGAGGACGACGAGACUUCUUUGCCAGAUACUGUGAUUCAGAUUCCGAGUCCGAUGAUUCUCCGACUACUUCCUACGCUUGAGGGCUUCAUUUGUUUAUCUUGCUGAAAUUUCAAAGUCUUCCUUUUGAAAAUACUAUGUAGUUUUGAUUAUUUGCAAAAUUUCUAAUCUGUUUAAAAAUCCUUCGAUGAAAAAAGAAGUCUUUUACAUUUGCAUUUGCAUAUCAUGCAUCAUAUGCAUCAUGCAUUGGUCACAAAGGCUUCCAAAUGCUCACUACCUCCUGGUUCCUCUGCCACAGUUUGAAAAGUGGCUCGUGCUCAGAAGGUCUACGAACCUGACAGAAUCGAUCGAACCAGAGAAUACAGAAGAAGGAAAAAGGCUAUGGAAGAAGAGAACGCUCAGCUCCGUAAGAGUUAGCCACUCUAAGGGAGGAAUUGGCUAAAGCUAAUGAUGUCAUGACUGCUCUGCUAGCCGCUCAAGAACAAUCAGCUACGGCUAUCCCUAUAGCCACAGCUGCACCGGUGACUACAAGCGUGCUCCCAACCACAUCUGCAGACGCUCGCUUUGCUAUGCCAGCUGGGUUUCCGUAUGGGCUUCCACCGUUCUUCACUCCCAAUACUGCAGCGGGCACUUCGGGCACUGCUAACAAUGUUCUGAUCCCUGCAACAAAUGCUGCCUCCAUCAAUGCUACUUUGCCACAAACAACGGCAGCUGUCACCGAGCCUCUUGUGCACACCCUGCCUCAAGGUGUUAACAUCAACACACAGCACGGAAGCAUCCCCGUAACCAAAACCAUGGAAGAGAUGAUGGAGGAACUUGCUAAAGAACUCCGUCAUGAGAUCAAAGCCAAUCGAGGAAAUGCGGACUCUUUCAAAACUCAAGAUCUCUGCUUGGUGUCAAAGGUGGAUGUCCCUAAGAAAUUCAAAAUCCCAGAUUUCGACCGGUACAACGGGCUAACUUGUCCCCAAAACCACAUCAUCAAAUACGUCCGAAAGAUGGGCAAUUACAAAGACAAUGAUUCCCUUAUGAUCCACUGCUUCCAGGAUAGUUUGAUGGAAGAUGCUGCAGAGUGGUAUACUAGUUUGAGCAAAAAUGAUAUCCAUACCUUCGAUGAAUUAGCCGCUGCUUUCAAGAGCCACUAUGGGUUUAACACCCGAUUGAAGCCGAACAGGGAAUUCCUCAGAUCUCUCUCUCAGAAGAAGGAGGAAAGCUUCCGUGAAUACGCACAGAGAUGGAGGGGGGCAGCUGCCCGCAUUACUCCCGCUCUUGAUGAAGAAGAAAUGACCCAGACAUUCUUAAAGACCUUGAAGAAGGAUUAUGUUGAGAGAAUGAUCAUAGCUGCCCCGAAUAACUUUUCGGAGAUGGUCACCAUGGGAACCCGUCUGGAGGAAGCCGUCAGGGAUGGGAUCAUUGUGUUCGAGAAAGCUGAAUCCUCUGUGAGUGCAUCGAAGAGGUAUGGUAAUGGACACCACAAGAAGAAAGAAACGGAAGUAGGGAUGGUGUCAGCUGGAGCCGGUCAAUCCAUGGCUACUGUUGCUCCUAUCAACGCAGCUCAAAUGUCUCCGUCAUACCCAUAUGUGCCGUAUUCUCAGCAUCCUUUCUUUCCGCCAUUUUAUCAUCAGUACCCUCUGCCACCGGGUCAACCUCAAGUACCCGUUAAUGCAAUCGCUCAACAGAUGAAACAACAGUUGCCGGUUCAACAACAACAACAAAAUCAGCAAGCUAGACCUACUUUCCCUCCGAUACCGAUGUUAUAUGCUGAGUUGCUUCCAACUUUACUCCAUAGAGGGCAUUGUACAACUAGACAGGGCAAGCCCCCACCUGAUCCGUUGCCUCCAAGGUUCAGGUCUGAUCUCAAAUGUGAUUUUCAUCAAGGCGCCCUGGGUCAUGAUGUCGAGGGGUGCUAUGCUUUGAAGUAUAUCGUGAAGAAGCUCAUUGAUCAAGGAAAGCUGACUUUUGAGAAUAAUGUCCCACAUGUCCUCGACAAUCCUCUUCCAAAUCAUGCCGCUGUGAAUAUGAUCGAAGUAUGUGAGGAAGCUCCUAGACUUGAUGCCCGCAACGUCGCAACUCCUCUGGUGCCUCUACACAUCAAGCGGUGCAAAGCUUCUCUGUUCAGCCAUGAUCAUGCCAAGUGUCUAGGAUGCCUUCGUAAUCCUUUGGGUUGCUACACUGUUCAAGACGACAUCCAAAGCUUGAUGAAUGAUAAUUUUUUGACUGUUAGUGAUGUUUGCGUGAUUGUGCCAGUUUUUCACGAUCCGCCUGUCAAGAGUAUACCUUUGAAGAAGAAUGCUGAGCCUUUGGUGAUAAGGUUGCCCGGACCGGUACCGUAUACUUCAGAUAGGGCUAUCCCGUACAAAUACAAUGCUACCAUAAUCGAAAACGGAGUAGAAGUGCCUCUGGUGUCCUUGGCUGUGGUGAACAAUACUGCCGAAGGAACUUCAGCAGCCCUUAGAAGCGGAAGAGUCCGUCCACCGUUGUUUCAAAUGAAGGCAGCUACGCCUACCGUGCCACCCAUUGACAAGCCAACCCCGACUGAUGUUUCUCCCGUUAACAGAGACGCGAGCCAACCAGGCCGGUCUAUAGAGGAUUCUAAUCUGGACGAGAUUUUGAGGUUGAUCAAAAGAAGUGAUUACAAGAUUGUGGAUCAGCUGUUGCAAACUCCGUCAAAGAUAUCCAUUUUGUCUCUACUCCUGAGUUCCGCUGCCCACAGAGAUACCCUUUUGAAAGUAUUGGAGCAGGCUUAUGUGGAUCAUGAAGUAACUGUGGAUCACUUUGGUAGCAUAGUGGGAAACAUUACCGCCUGCAGCAAUCUGUGGUUCAGUGAAGAUGAAUUGCCCGAAGCAGGAAAGCAUCAUAAUCUGGCCUUGCAUAUCUCCAUAAAUUGCAAGUCUGACAUGAUCUCAAAUGUGUUAGUAGACACUGGCUCAUCUUUGAACGUGAUGCCCAAGUCAACGCUGGAUCAGCUGAGUUACCGGGGAACUCCUUUGAGGAGAAGCACUUUUUUGGUCAAAGCCUUUGAUGGAACCCGCAAGAGCGUUCUCGGGGAGAUAGACUUGCCAAUAACUAUCGGCCCCGAAACCUUUCUAAUCACCUUUCAAGUCAUGGAUAUUAAUGCCUCUUACAGCUGUCUCUUGGGGAGACCGUGGAUACACGACGCGGGAGCAGUGACCUCUACUUUGCACCAAAAGUUGAAAUUUGCAAAAAGUGGAAAGCUUGUUACCAUUCAUGGAGAGGAAGCAUACCUGGUUAGCCAGCUAUCAUCUUUCUCUUGCAUAGAGGCAGGGUCUGCAGAGGGGACCGCUUUUCAAGGAUUAACUGUCGAAGGUAUGGAACCUAAGAGGGAUGGAACUGCCAUGGCUUCUUUGAAGGAUGCACAGAGAGCUGUCCAAGAGGGUCAAGCUGCCGGCUGGGGCAGGUUAAUACAGCUUCGUGAGAACAAGCAUAAGGAAGGUCUUGGCUUCUCCCCAACUUCAGGAGUUUCCACCGGGGCAUUCUGUAGUGCUGGGUUUGUCAACGCAAUCACAGAGGAAGCAACUGGAUUUGGCCCGAGGCCUGUAUUUGUUAUACCAGGAGGCUUUGCGAGAGAUUGGGAUGCCAUUGACAUUCCCUCAAUCAUGCAUGUUUCUGAGUAAUAUACCUUGUUGCUUAAGUAUCUUGUUUUUUCAAAAUAACAAUCAUCUCGCUCUGCCCAAAGCGAGAGUGAUAUUUUCUGUAAGGGCAUGUUUGUUUCGGCAUUGCCGUUGAUUAAUAAAAAAUUGUCGUUUCUUUCACGACUACUUUUUUUAGUGCUUUUUCCAGAACAUCUGUAUUUUUUCUUAUUAAUUUCAAAAAUCUGCAUAAAAACCCUCUUUCUAAAAUCAUCCAACCAUUUUACGCAGAUUGAACUAUAAUGAACCCGUUGGGCACAGUAAUCUUGCAUUCCCUCCGAAUUUUGAGUUCCCAGUGUAUGAGGCCGACGAUGAGGAAGGUGAUGACAUACCAUAUGAGAUCACUCGGUUACUUGAGCAAGAAAAGAAAGCCAUUCAGCCUCACCAGGAAGAGAUUGAGCUUAUCAACAUAGGUACCGAGGAGAACAAGCGAGAAAUCAAGAUCGGUGCUGCUCUAGAGGAAGGGGUUAAAAAGAAGAUCAUCCAACUCCUCCGGGAAUAUCCGGAUAUUUUUGCAUGGUCGUAUGAAGAUAUGCCAGGUCUAGAUCCUAUGAUUGUGGAGCAUCGGAUCCCCACCAAGCCUGAAUGGCCUCCCGUCAGGCAGAAAUUGAGAAUGAAUCAUCCAGAUAUGGCUCUCAAGAUUAAGAGCGAGGUUCAAAAGCAGAUUGAUGCGGGUUUCCUCAUGACAGUUGAGUACCCUGAAUGGGUUGCCAAUAUUGUACCUGUGCCAAAGAAGGACGGUAAAGUCCGGAUGUGUGUUGACUUCAGAGACCUAAACAAAGCCAGUCCAAAAGACAACUUUCCAUUACCUCAUAUUGAUGUGCUUGUUGAUAAUACUGCUCAGUCUAAGGUGUUUUCCUUCAUGGACGGUUUCUCCGGUUACAAUCAGAUCAAAAUGUCUCCUGAAGAUAGAGAAAAGACGUCUUUUAUCACUCCGUGGGGUACUUUCUGCUACAAAGUGAUGCUGUUCGGCCUAAUUAAUGCUGGUGCUACCUACCAAAGAGGAAUGACUACUCUGUUUCAUGACAUGAUUCACAAAGAAGUCGAAGUAUAUGUGGAUGAUAUGAUUGUGAAGUCAACAGAUGAGGAGCAACAUGUUGAGUAUUUGACAAAGAUGUUUGAAAGGUUAAGAAAAUACAAGCUUCGAUUGAAUCCCAACAAAUGUACAUUCGGCGUCAGAUCCGGGAAAUUAUUAGGCUUCAUUGUCAGCCAAAAGGGCAUUGAAGUCGAUCCUGAUAAAGUCCGGGCCAUCCGAGAAAUGCCAGCUCCACAGACCGAGAAACAAGUCAGAGGUUUCCUCGGACGCUUGAAUUACAUCUCCCGAUUCAUAUCUCACAUGACCGCAACCUGCGGGCCGAUCUUCAAGCUACUCAGAAAGAAUCAGCCUAUUGUAUGGAAUGAUGAAUGUCAAGAAGCUUUUGAUAGCAUCAAGAAUUACCUGCUGAAACCACCUAUCCUUGUCCCACCCGUGGAAGGAAGGCCUCUGAUUAUGUAUUUGGCAGUAUUUGAUGAAUCCAUGGGAUGCGUACUUGGUCAACAAGAUGAGACUGGAAAGAAAGAACAUGUUAUCUACUAUCUAAGCAAGAAGUUCACCGAUUGCGAAACUCGGUAUACAAUGCUUGAGAAGACUUGUUGUGCUCUGGCCUGGGCCGCUAAACGCCUGCGUCAUUAUUUGGUGAAUCAUACAACUUGGUUGAUAUCCAGAAUGGAUCCGAUAAAGUAUAUCUUUGAGAAAGCGGCUGUUACUGGGAAGAUUGCACGCUGGCAGAUGCUUUUGUCUGAAUAUGAUAUUGUGUUCAAAACUCAAAAGGCAAUCAAAGGUAGCAUUCUUGCCGAUCACCUUGCUUACCAACCUCUUGAUGAUUACCAACCAAUUGAGUUCGAUUUCCCCGAUGAAGAGAUCAUGUAUUUAAAAUCAAAAGACUGCGAAGAACCGUUGAUUGAGGAAGGUCCAGAUCCCAAUAGCAAGUGGAGUUUAAUCUUUGAUGGUGCUGUCAAUGCUUAUGGUAAAGGAAUUGGGGCAGUCAUUGUAUCCCCGCAGGGGCAUCACAUUCCUUUUACCGCCCGAAUUUUGUUCGAAUGUACCAACAAUAUGGCUGAGUAUGAAGCAUGUAUCUUUGGGAUCGAGGAAGCAAUUGACAUGAGAAUCAAACACCUCUACAUCUAUGGAGAUUCCGCGCUCGUCAUCAAUCAGAUAAAGGGUGAAUGGGAGACCCACCAUGCUAAGUUGAUUCCUUAUCGUGAUUAUGCGAGACGUUUGCUGACAUAUUUUACAAAGGUUGAGCUGCACCAUAUUCCUCGUGAUGAGAACCAAAUGGCUGAUGCUCUUGCUACUCUAUCCUCCAUGUUUCGAGUAAACCAUUGGAAUGAUGUGCCAAUAAUCAAAGUGCAACGCCUUAAAAGACCUUCGCAUGUGUUUGCUAUUGGGGAUGUGAUCGAUCAGGCUGGCAAAAAUGUGGUUGACUAUAAACCCUGGUACUACGACAUCAAACAGUUCUUGCUGAGCCGUGAGUAUCCGCCGGGUGCUUCCAAACAAGAUAAGAAGACCCUGAGAAGAUUGGCCAGUAGAUUCCUGUUAGAUGGAGAUAUUCUGUACAAGAGAAACUAUGACAUGGUAUUGUUAAGAUGUGUUGAUGAACAUGAAGCAGAGCAGUUAAUGCAUGAUGUACAUGACGGUACCUUCGGGACCCAUGCUACAGGACAUACUAUGUCAAGGAAGUUGUUACGAGCAGGUUACUACUGGAUGGCCAUGGAGCAUGAUUGCUACCAGCACGCCAGAAAGUGCCACAAAUGUCAAAUCUAUGCUGAUAAGAUUCAUGUGCCUCCGCACGCUCUCAAUGUUAUUUCAUCCCCAUGGCCGUUCUCAAUGUGGGGCGUCGACAUGAUUGGAAGAAUUGAACCGAAGGCUUCAAAUGGUCAUCAUUUCAUCUUAGUGGCAAUUGACUACUUCACCAAGUGGGUUGAAGCAGCAUCUUAUACCAAUGUGACCAAGCAAGUGGUAGCUAAGUUCAUUAAGGACAACAUCAUAUGUCGAUAUGGUGUUCCCAGCAAAAUCAUUACCGACAAUGGUACAAACCUGAACAACAAUGUGGUGCAAGCUCUUUGUGAAGAAUUCAAAAUUGAGCAUCAUAACUCUUCUCCCUAUAGACCUCAGAUGAAUGGUGCAGUUGAGGCCGCCAACAAGAAUAUCAAGAGAAUUGUCCAGAAGAUGGUAACUACUUACAAGGACUGGCAUGAGAUGUUACCCUAUGCUCUGCAUGGCUACCGUACUACAGUGCGCAGUUCAACCGGGGCAACCCCUUUCUCUCUUGUGUAUGGUAUGGAAGCAGUUCUUCCUUUGGAAGUGGAGAUCCCAUCUCUCCGUGUGAUCAUGGAAGCAAAGUUAUCCGAGGCUGAAUGGUGCCAAAGCCGGUAUGAUCAGUUGAAUUUGAUUGAUGAAAAACGUAUGGAUGCCAUGGCUCGUGGACAGUCAUAUCAAGCAAGAAUGAAGACUGCUUUUGACAAGAAAGUCCAUCCUCGAGAAUUCAAGGUAGGGGAACUUGUAUUGAAAAGGAGGGUAAGCCAGCAACCCGACCCAAGGGGCAAGUGGACGCCUAACUAUGAAGGUCCUUAUGUUGUCAAGAAGGCCUUCUCCGGUGGUGCUUUAAUCCUUACACACAUGGAUGGUGUAGAACUUCCAAAUCCAGUGAACGCCGAUAUAGUCAAGAAAUACUUUGCCUAGAAACAUGAAAAGAACAGCGUGGUAGGUCGAAAACCCGAAAGGGCGGCCUAGGCAAAAAUGCGCCUCCCGGUGGAUCGAAAACCCGAAAGGGCGGUCCAGGCAAAAAUAAGGGACAAAAAAAUAUAUAUGAAAAGCUCGCUGAGAUUGUACGCAACUCAGGCAAGAAUGAGCGUCUCGAUGAGCCGAAAACCCGGAAGGGCGGUUCAUGCAAAAAUGAGAUUGAAACAAAAGGCAAGUAACUAUAUCUGGCCAACCACCGUCCCCCUUGGGGCAUCUGCAGCUGUUAAUGACCAUCUUCAUCAAAAGCUCUUAUGCUUGCGAAUUCAAAGUUUCUAGGAAAUGUCAUGAUUACUGUGUUCAAUGUACCACCAACCAAUAAAAUUACCAUUUUCCAAGCUUUGUGAAUCCGUGGAGUCACGCCUUCGGCUGACCACCGCUCUUAUACAUCAAUUUGAGCUUGUGCUUUUGUUUGAAACUCUAUUUUUCUUCUACUUUCAAAGCUAUAUACAAAACAUUUUCUUUCUAUUUUGAUAAUGACAAUGCUUGAAACAAACAUAUUUUGACAAUUGAAAACUUUUUGUCUAUUUUGAAAAGCAAACCUGAGCAACAGGGUACAUUCAAAUGAAACAUGCAUGAGCGAGAGUAUGUUGAUGUCUAUUUCAAUAUAUGUUACAAGCAGGUUCUCCUCCAGGAUAGUCUGUGGUCAAUGGCAAGAAUGAAAAAACAGAAUGAAAAUGCAUGAAAAUGAAUAGGCUCGCUAAGUUGAAAACCCGGAAGGGCGGCUUAGGCAAAAAUGAGCACCCCGCUGGAUUGACAACCCGAAAGGGCAGUUCAGGCAAAAAUGGGGCAUUGAAAAGAAUUUAUUUCCCCGGUGGGUCGAAAACCCGAAAGGGCGAUCCAGGCAAAAAUGGGAUGCAAAAAAAAUGAUGAAUGAAAAUUGAAAAAAUAACAAGCAAAAAGCAUUGACCACAGAUGCGACGUCCACGAUACAUCCGGCAUUAUUCCCAGUAGAGUCUUCCGAGAUUCUAUCCCCAGCAAGUUGCAUAGCUACCUGCCCUCAGCCAUGGUUCCGACACGUCUCCCAACGACGUCAUCUCCAAAGAGGAUUUCCAGGAAUGUGUAAUAUAGCACGAGCCACUACGUGCCCAAUACUCCAAUGUCUUGUCUGUCUCUGCGAAACUGUGUCUACAAACUGCCAACAGUCAUGCAUUACAAGCAUUCAUACAUGCAUAAUCAUGCAUAUUACGUGCCCAUGCAUUUAAUGAAACUGUUAUAUCAUCCAUGCAUAUUGCAUUUCCAAUGUCGACAUCAGUCUCAAUUCAAUACUCAUGUCAGGUUCUCCUGUCAAACCUUGUGAGCCAAUAAUAUCGGUCAAUUUCUACGUUUCAAAUCAAAUCGACGUCAAGUCAAUCUCAAUCUAUAUUUUGUCAAAAAAACUAAUCCCCAGUGAAUCUGUUUCUGCUUGGUCAAGUGGCUAGCUCAAUCCAAGAGCAGCUUGAACCUACCUAUUUGCUUAUGUUAUCGGUCGAGUGCCCAGCUCAAUCCAAGAGCAGCUUGUACCUGUCAAUAUGUUUCUGUUUGGUCAAGUUACCAGUUCACAUCCAAGAACGACUUGUACCCGUUUACUUUUCAAAUGUUAUCGGUCGAGUUACCAGUUCGAAUCCAAGAACAGCUCGUACCUGUCUAUGUGUCUAUGAUUUUGGUCAAGUGGCUAGUUCAAGUCCAAGAACAACUUGUACCCGUCUAUCUGUUUCUGUUCGCUCAAGUGACUAGCUCGAUCCAAGAGCAGCUUGCGCCUGUCUAUUUUGUCUUUGUCUCCGGUGGAGUAACCAGUUCGCAUCCAAGAACAAGCUCGCACCUGUCUAUUUGCCUUUGCUUUCAGUCGAGUGACCAGUUCGAAUCAAGAACAACUCGUACCUGUCUACCUUUUCUAUGUCUCCGGUGGAGUAACCAGUUCGCAUCCAAGAACAAGCUCGCACCUGUCUAUUUGCCUUUGCUUUCAGUCGAGUGACCAGUUCGAAUCAAGAGCAACUCGCACCUGUCUACCUUUUCUAUGUCCCCAGUCGAGUGACCAGUUCGAAUCCAUAAGAACAACUCGCAGUUGUCUGUUUGUUUCAUUCCCGGUCAAGUGGCUAGUUUGAAUCCAAGAACAGCUUGUACCUGUCCAACUUGUUUCUAGUUUCCCGUUACUCUGCUAUUCACUAUCUUUGUCAAUGUCUACCAAUCCCGCAAUGGAUACGACAUAUUUUGUUAAUUCCAAUCCCCAUGAGGUUUUGCAUUCAUAAUCCAAAUGAUGCAUGGCAUGCAUAUUAUUUGAAAAUGGGUAGGCGUAUUUUUACGUCCAAACACAGUGCAAAUGCUAAUAUUUAAGUAUCUUCGUCCUGUCAAGCCAAAGACUCCGUCUCUUGACUCUCCAGACAAAGAAACUUAAAUAGGGGCAGCUGUUAUACCCUGUUUUUGGACCUAAAAAUACUGGGCCCAAUUUCAUUUCAAACUUUGUCAAUUAUCAAAUUUCAACUGUGUAACACCUCGUUUUCCCAACAUAAAAAUUUCAUUUAAUAAUCAAAGUUAUUCACGUAAACGGAAUGCUACACUUCUUUUCAUAAAAUCAUAAACUGAAUAAAUAACUAUUUAUCCUUUAAAAUUCAAUAACAAAAUCUUUAAUACUUCGCAGCGGAAUUUAUUCAAUAACUAAAACCAGUCUUUGGCACUAAGGCCUCUUUACAAUUAUGUCAUAAAAAUUCAUUCUAAAAACAUAGUCAUAAUUCUUCGAAAACAAUAAGUAAGGAAUAGAAAGCAAUAACAAAGUUCCCAUCCCGUUACGUAUCAGAGCACCUAGAGACACUUGAGCCACCACUCCUACUAAUUAUUAAUACCUGCAAGUUACUCAUACGAAGAGCAACAUUUUCAAGCAGAAGGGGUGAGAUUUCACAAAACAAUAAUAUCAAGCAUAUAAUUCAAUAAUUAUAUUUAACAACAUAAAUAACUUCAUCUAUUAGUAAUAAUAAUUCUUCAUGUAAUAAUUCUUAAUAACUCAACCAACUUCUAAUUAUCAUUUAACACAUAUUAACCAAAUCGUAACAAACAUAGAUCAUCACAUCAUAGUCAUAGUUCAUAUAUAGCAUAACAACAUCUUAAUCCUAAUUCAUAUACAACAUAACAACAUCAUUAAUUCAUAAUAAUAAUUAUUCAUCAAACAUCUCACUAUCAAUUCAUUAAUAAAAGACAACUUAUCAAUUUAACAUAAACAUCAUCAAGUACACUUAAUAACUCAUAGAUAUCAUCAUCACUAAUAAAUUUAAAACAACACAAUAUAAUCAUCUCUUAUUAAUAGUAAUAAUUAUCUACAUCAUAACAUAAACAUCUUCUUAUAAUAAUAUAACCACAACGUAACAUGAUAUUCACUUAAUAAUAAUAAUAAUAAUUAUAUAUACAUCAUCUCGUCAUAAUAUAAUAAUAUAACAACAACAUAGCAUGAUAUUCAUUUAAUAAUAAUAAUAAUUAUAUAUACAUCAUCUCGUCAUAAUAUAAUAAUAUAACAACAACAUAGCAUGAUAUUCACUUAAUAAUAAUAAUAAUUAUAUAUACAUCAUCUCUUCAUAAUAUAAUAAUAUAACAACAACAUAUUCAUCUUCUUAUAAUAACAACAUAUUCAUCAUCUUAUAAAAAUAUAAUCAACACAUACUAACACCAAAAUCAACAUCAUAAAUCUUCAACAUAAACAUCUUAAACAUAAUCAUCUUAAACAUCAUAGCAUCUUUGAUAAACAAUUACCAAGUAAUCACAACAUUCGAUCAUCAUCAAUAACAUAACAUAAUAUUUACUUAAUAAUAUUAAUCAUAUAUAGAACAACAUAUUCAUCACUUAAUAGUAACAAUUAUACACAACAUCAUAACAACUUAACAAUAUCAUAAUCAUUAUCUUAAACAACAUAGCAACGUAACAAUAUCAUAAUCAAUGUCUUAAACAACGUAGCAACAUAACAGUAUCAUAAUCAACAUGUUAAACAACAUAGCAACAUAACAAUAUCAUAAUCAAUAUCUUAAACAACGUAGCAACAUAAGAAUAUGAUAAUCAACAUGUUAAACAACAUAGCAAUAUUUUAGUCAACAUCAUAUAAUUCACAUCGUAUAAUCUUCGUAGGUACUUCUUUAACAACACAUGGGUAGAACACAACUCGACAAACUCAUGGAUGAUAAUUCAUCGACAACUUAACAACUAAUGGAUGAUAAUUCAUCGACAACUUAACAGCUAAUGGAUGAUAAUUCAUCAACAACGACUUGACACGACAUAUGCGACAAUGCAACUUAGACACUUAUAUGCAUGUGGUACCAAUCGUCAUCAUAAGUAUUAAUAUACUUUAAUCGUGCGGAGGACAAAGCUCCUAAUCGUGCGGAGGACAAAGCUCCUAAUCGUGGUGAGGACAAAGCUCAAUGAAAUGCUAUGCAUGGACUCUUAACAACAAAACACCGUAAUCAACUUAUCACUUAUACAUCCAAUAAUUUGGAGUUCAUCAUCAACUUAUUCAUACUAAUAAUCGUGCGGAGGACAAAGCUCCUAAUAUAAUUCAAUAAUAUUUCGAGUAAUGCAUUUAAUCAUUAAAUCACAUUAUAAACAACUUAGCAGUUCAUAACAGCAACAGAAACAGCACAAGCAAUUCACAACAUAACAAUAUUAAUAUAAAGUAUCAACAACUUAAACAUCAUAUAUCUUCCACAUAAGUCAUAUAAAUAUUUCACAUAACCAACAACAGCAACAUAGGCGACACGUAAACAUCUCAAGAUAUAACAAUAUCAAAUGAUAAUCAACAACAACUCGUGCAACUUAGUUUAACAACAAUUGCAGCAUAAUCAAUUCAUAUCAAGCUUAAUAACAAUUCAUUUCAACAUCUUGAUCAUUCAAUAAUAUUUCAAGUAAUGCAUUUAAUCAUUAAUUCACAGUAUAUAAUAUUCUCUCAUUAAUCAUAUCAUCAAAGUAAAUCAUAUUCAUCACAACAAUAAAAUAGCAUCAAUCAAUAAUGAUAAUCAUCAUAUAUAACAAUUACAAAUGCACGUCAUCAACAUCUCAAUCAUUAAACAUAAUUCAUGCAAUAUAUAUCUAAUUAUAUAACAUUAUAAAUAUCAUCAAAUCAUCUUAAUCAUUAUCUAAGGUCUAAGGACAGUUUCUACAUCUUUUUAACAAGUUUCCACCGUUUAUUCAUUAAUUCUACAAUUUUAACCUACUUUUCAAUUCCUCAAAAACUCAUCCUACAUCAUGUUAAACCUAACCAUUGAUUCACAUACUUAAUAGAAUUGCAAAGUUAGUCUCACCCUUACCUUUGGAUUGAUCGACGAAGGACUCUACCGCUUUCUCUUAUCUAAAAGGAUAUUAAACCGAAGAGGGAUUAUAGUCUUAAGAACACUUUUAAUUCCGAAGGGACAGAAAGGAGUAGAAAAAGAAGAAAGACUCGUCAACACAAGUCAAAAGAGGGAGAAGAGAAGAAAAGCACAGGAAGUAUCAACUGUGAAUUUCGGUGUGUAGAAUGCACUGUGUGAGUUCUCUAUUUAUAGGAGAUAAUUUACAACUAAUAAGUGAGAAACUUUGGAAACAAGUAAUGCACCUAUUAGAUCUAGUAAUUAAAUAUAUCAAUUGAGUACCAAAAUAUAUUAUAUUAAGUACAAAAAUAUAUUAUUCAGUACAAAAAUAUAUUAGAUUGCCUACCAAAAUCUCAAUAUUCUAUUCUAAUAUAUAUAUAUAUAUAUAUAUAUAUAUAUAUAUAUAUAUAUAUAUAUAUAAUAUUUAUACAACAAAUAACAAUUAUAUCUUUAUAACAAAUAUAUUUCUAUAACAUAUAUAUAUUUCUACACCAAAUAAGAAAUAUAUUUCUACACCAGAUAACAUAUAUUUCUACACAAAAUAACAUAUAUCUCGACUCAAAUUAACAUAUAUUUCUACAACAAAUCAUGUGUAUUUCUACACCAAAUAACAUUUAUUUCUAUAACAAAUCGUGUGUAUCUCUACAACAAAUAACAUAUAUAUCUAUAACAAAUCACAUUUAUUUCUGCAACAAAUCAUAUGUAUCUCUAUAACAAAUAACAUUUAUAUUUUUAAACCAAAUAACAUAUAUAUAUUUCUAAAUCAAAUAACAUAUAUAUUUCUAAAUCAAAUAACAUGUAUAUAUUUCUAAAUCAAAUAACAUAUAUAUAUAUAUAUAUAUAUAUAUAUAUAUAUAUAUAUAUAUAUUUCUAAAUCAAAUAACAUAUAUAUCAUACUAAUAAAUACUAACAUAUAUCAUAACAAAAUAUCACUCAUCAAAAUAAAUCAUAUAAAUCAUACAAAUCAUAUAAGUGUAUUCUAAACUCAUUAAAAAUAAUCAAAUAAUUAGAGAGGGCGUUACAAACUGCACAGUUCAAAUUGUCUCUGCCUCGCAGUAUUUUCAAUCACAAUUUUACCUAUGUUUUUCUUGCAUAAAACCUUUCGAAAUGUCUUUACUUGUCUUAUAAGUCAUUCAAAAGUGUCUCUGAAUCAUUACAUUGCUUUUUCUACAGUUUAUUUCAAAGUUUGCAAAAAGUCGUACAGAAGGGUAUUUUGGUCAUUUCCUGCAGUGGGACCCAUUUUAAUCCUUGUGACUGUCUCUGAGUCUUUUCAGAUUGAUUUUUAACAUUUCAUCAGUAAACCUUGUUAAGUUCAUUUCAAACUUGCAUCUGAGUCAGUGUCAAGUCAAUGUGAAUCUGUUUAGGUCAUUUUUAGCCCUAGGGGCAUUUUGGUCUUUUCCUGUCAAAAUUUCGGCAGAGAGGUAUUUUAAAAUACCUCAUUUUUGUAGCUGGUUCAUUUUAGUCCUUCUGUUGAUUUUAUUUUUGGUUUCACUUUACGUUUUUUUCAAAUUACCAAUUUUAGUCCAAUUUUAUUUUAAUUGCAUUUUAGUCCAAAACAUUUAAAAAUUCCAUUUCAGUUUUUUUAUUAUUGCUGUCCAGUCCUUUUUUAUUAUUUUUUUUGCAGAAAAGGUCCCAGGGGCAUUUUUGUCCAGAAUUUUCGCACACUUCAGUCCCAGUCCAGAUGGCAUUUUUUCAUUGGCACACAAAUACACAUGGCAGGCUAUAAAUAGAUGUGUCAGAUCCAAAUAAAAAAAAAAAUCAGAAUCAGUCACAUCACAAAAACAGAAAAUUCUUUCUCUCUCCAAAAUUAGUUAGAUCAAAAACAGAAAAUCACCAAAAAAAUUCUCCAAGAACACCAAGAACAAAUCUUCACAAAAUCAACAAAUCCGAACCGGAUUCACUCAAAACCAACUCAAAUCAUCACAAAAUCAACAAAUCCGAAACGGAAUCAUUCAAAACCGCCGGAACCACCACCACCUCAUGCUCGCCGGCGAGCUUGUUUUAGAGAGAAGGGAGAGCUUCUCUCUCUAAGUUUAACUUAGAGAGAGAAGAGGAAAAGGUUUUGUGAAUUUUUUGCGUGAAAAAUCCUUUUUAUACUCCCUCCGUUCCCACGCGCGCGCGUGCGUGCUCUUGUUGUGUUCCCUCGCUCUGUGAACCAUCAGAUCUGGAUUGUUCCAAGAUCUGAUGGCUGCUGUGUGUUUGAUUUUGAAUCCUGUGUGUAACUUUUUGUGUGGAAUUUGGUAUAUCUUCUGUUUGAACCGUUAGAUCUUUGAUCUAACGGUCACUGUGCUUCCUGCAUUUUUACACUAUCUUUUGUGCUUUUUUUGGACCCUUGGAUCUUUGAUCCAGUGGCUGUGAUGUGAUCUUGGGAGCUAGAUCUGGACCUCUGGAUUCAUCCAACGGUCCAGAUUAAAUCCUGCUGAGCCUCUUUUUAAUUGCUUUUUAAUUGCGUUUUAAAUACCUUUUUUACACUUUCUUGGUGUUUUAUGCUUCUAAAAAAUUUUCUAAAAAUAUUUCCCUAUCAUUUUGAUUUUUCCUCUAAGUUUUAGAAUUUAUUUGCUUAUUUUUGCAUUUAUUUUCUUUACUUUGUUCUUUUAAUUCUUGCUCAUUAAAUUUUAUUGCAUAUUCAUUUGGUGCAUUUUUCAUCAUUCCCAUUAUAUUUUUCCUUGUUUCACUAACAUUUUGUUCCUUAUGUGACUUCACUCAUAGCAUUUCACUAUCUCCUCCACUUUCUUUAGCUUAGCAUUUAUUUUUGCAAAUUUUAAUUCAUUCGGUGAUGUAAUUUGUUAUCAUUGGUUUGUAGCUUGGCAAAGAGGCCAUAGAAUGUAUUUAGGCAAUUUUUGUAAUAUGGACUAUGGACACUAUGGCGCACCGGCACGCACACACUCACCCUGGAUGUAUGCCUAGGAUUGCAUGUGUAGAUGUAUGGCUAGGAUUGCAUGGUUAGAUGAAUGCUUAGGUUUAAACACUUAGAGAAAAUCCAAUUUUUUCCAAAAAUAUGCAAACAAAUUCGCUUCAAAUAUUUUUCAUAAAAAUGGAGUCAAAACUCCAACAAUUUUUCACCUUUUAUUUUCUUAAUAAAAUUCUCAAAUAAAUCUAAUCAUUUAGACUUUUUUGCAAAAUCACUAAACAAACCCCCACUUUUUCAUACUCUAAUGCUCAUGAAGCCUCUCAAUCCCUUUCUUCAAAAUCAUUUUCAAAAUUUAAAAUCAAACAAUUAAAACAAAAAAAAACAACAACAAGUCUUUUUAGCAAGAACUACGCCGGUUUUGAUCCCGUAAAACGGUACGUAGGCAAGGGACUUUAACCCCUCCAAGCCGAAAUAAAAUCAAAUUCUACAUCUUCUCUCCCCCAUUCUUCACUCAAAUAAAACUUCUUUUCUUUCAAUAAGUAGGCAAUAAAAAUAAAGCGUAGAAAUAAGCUUAGGAGAACGGUUCUUAUGGAAUACCAUAAUCGCUCCGGGUGCCUAACACCUUCCCGUAGCGAAAACGACCCCCGAACUUAGAAUCUAAGGGUUUUUUCUCAAUUUUGCCCUUCCCAAGAAAAAAUAGAGAAUAUCAAAGAUUGAAAGGUUCAAGCCAAAUUAAUGACUUGACACCCGAAAAUCGCGAUAACAACCCUUGAAUCCCAUCAAUAUUAUUUAAAUAAAAAUACAAUAAUUAACUCAUAUUAUGCUUAAAGUGUCAUGUUUUUAAACUCCAAAACAUGCAUAUAAUAUUUUUCAUCAAAGUUACACAACGAAAUAAAUACCAUCUCCAAACUCGUAUCAAUAUCUCAACAUCAUAAUUCAAAUCUCUGAUACACAAAAAUAAAAUAACAAAGUCUCCAUAAAUUUGAACAUGAUAUAUAAACAUAAUAAAUUUCAAGCAUCUUAGACCUGCACGUGUACACCAUUUUACAAUGGCAAGGUGGUUAACCAAAGAACCAUUGGAGGAUAAAUUUACAUUCAACAUUAAGAAAAACAAAAAUUAGAGAGGGAAAACAUGAAAUCCCUUUCUAAUUCUAUCCCUGAAUUUUGUGACAAAAAAAUUUGUGAGAAUUUUACUUUUUACAUCAAUACUUUUCCUCGGUGGAGUUUAGCAUGGGAAAGGAAAGUUGUUUCCCACCAUGGGGAAGUUUUUUUGAACAAUUAGAUUAAAGAGGAACACUUAUUUAAUCAUAGACCACACAUACCAUAUGUUUUUGGCUUAAUUGUACUUUUGGACCCCUAUCUUUCCAAAAGUUGCGGUUAUGCACCCCUAACUAAUUUAAAUACAAAACAACCCCCCAUGUUUUGAUUCUUUGGCAGUUUUGGACCCCCAGUCCAUUGUUGACUCGGUCAACGCUGACGUGGCACCCUAAGUGAGGUGCCACGUGUCAUUUUUUUUUUUUUUUGCCUUGGGGGUCCAAAACUGCCAAAGUAUCAAAACAUAGAGGGCUGUUUUGUAUUUAAAUUAAUUAGGGGUCCAUAACCUCAACUUUGUAAAGAUAGGGGUCCAAAAGUGCAAUUAAGCCUAUCUUUUUUACACUUUCUUCAACCUCAUGAGAUUGAAUUUCACCCACAUCCACUAUCAUGAAAGGAUGAAUCCCAUUUUCUUCACUACUCACAAUCAUAGAAACAACACAAAUUGACACCAAGUAUUUUUCCUCUCCCAAUUGUUCCUAAAAUAAGACUUAUUCAAACUAAUUACUUACUGAUUUACUAACAUCCAGUUAAAAAAAAAGAUCUGCAGUUUUUUCUUCAAAUAAAUAAGUAGAUCAAGGGACCACCAUCCUUACCCUUUGCUCUCUCUCCCCCCUUUCCAUCUCUAUCUCUUUGUAAAAAAAAAACUCAGAUUGGAAAAGGUUUCCUUAAACAACCUUCACUGGAGAGCCAUGGCAGACAACCGUGGGAGAGAUUCAUCUAUAUUAUUGGUACAAAUAUCUAUAUGUUUGCUGGUAAUUUUGGUGGUGAUGGUUUCUAAAGCACAACUCAGUUUUUCCAACUCAGUGAUGAAUUUGUGUUCUUUUGUGUGUUGAAAACUAAGAUUGAGAGGAAAGAUGAAUAGUGUGGUGGUGGUGGUGGUUGAGUGCAUGAGUGGGGGGAAUGGAAGAGAGAUAAUGUUGAUGGAUGAUGUAUAUAGUAUGGACAUACUAUCAUAAAAUUUGUGUUCUUCUUUAAUCUAACCGUCCAAAAAAAACUUUUCCAUGGUGGAAAACAACUUUUCUUUCCCAUGCUAAACCCCACCCUUUCCCUCCUUAAUUUUAUUUUUCCAAGUAGUGAUUGGUUCUAACCUGUGUAAUCUUUCAACAAACACAUCACAAAGUAUAUAGAGAAUAGUAGUGACAAAUUGCCAAUACUUCUAAUUCAUUGUGAUAUUGAAUAUCACCAAUCGUGAGCCAUAAAUGGUGAGCACUGAGACAUUUCUUUCUCCUUUCUUCAUAAAAAAUUGAAAUUGUCAUUAAAAUAACUAGGCUUAAAUAUUGCACUCGUCCCUGCAAAUAUGACCCAUUUAAGUUUUGGUCUUUGUAAAAUAAAAAUUCAGAAAUCAGUCCCCGCAAAAAAAUCUGUCUUUUAAAAAUACCCUUGGGCCCAUUUAAGUCAUGGCAAGUCACCAAAAUGCCUACGUGGCGCACGCUGAUUGAACCUAUUUUGCAGUUUUUGGUCCCAGCAAAAUAUUUUCUUUUUUAAAAUGGUCCCUGCAAAUUUUUUUGUUUUUGAUAAUAGUCUUUGUGGUCUUACUGAUUUCUGAAUUUUUAUUUUACAAGGACCAAAACAUAAACGGGCCAUAUUUGCAGGGACGAUUGCAAUAUUUAAGCCAAAUAAUAUGAAGCAUGGAUACGGACACGGACACCGGACACGACAUGGACACUGACACGCCGACACAGCUAAUAAUUUGAAAAAAUCACAUAAUUCAGUGUAAUUACAAGUGUCGGUGUCGUGUCGGUGUCGGACACAACACGUGUCCGACACCGGGACACGCCUAAUCCGAAGAAUGUCCGUGCUUCAUAGCAAAUAAUUAACAGGCUUUGUGGUCUGCAGGUUGCAUUGAAGAUCACAUUUGGUAUGCAAAAUUCUCAUUUCUUACUCAAGGACAAUUAGAGGUUAGUUUUACCAUCAAUAGGUGUUCUUACUGUCAAUGAUCUUUAAAUAUUAUUGUUAUCAUGAUUUUCGGAUGUCAAGUCAUUAAUUAGGCUUGAACCUUUCAAUCUUUGAUAAUCUCUAUUUUUUCUUGGGAAGGGAAAAAUUGAGAAAACCCUUAGAGUUUCUAAGUUCGGGGGUCGUUUUCGCUACGGGAAGGUGUUAGGCACCCGGAACGAUUAUGGUAUUCCAUAAGAACCGUUCUCCUAAGUCUAUUUCUACGCUUUACUUUUAUUGCCUACUUAUUGAAAAAGAAGUUUUAUUUGAGUGAAGAAUGGGGGAGAGAAGAUGAUUGAGAUUUUAUUUUUAUUUGGCUUGGAGGAGUUUUGACUCGUUGCCUACGUACCCUUUUAAGGGAUCAAAACCAAACGUAGUUCAUUCUCAAAAAAUGUUUUUUUGUUUUUAUUGGUUGAUUUUAAGUUUGAAAAGAAAAAAAGAGGGAUUUUGAAGAAUGGAGAUGAGAGGCCUCAAGGGCAUGAGAUUUGGAAAAUGUGAGGCGGAAUUAGUUAUUUUGCAAAAUAAAGUCUAGUAUGAUUAAAAUUCAUUAAGAUUUUUUACUUAAGAAAAUAAAAGGAAAAUGAGGAGUUUUGACUCCUAUUUUGUAAAAAAGGUUUUCAUGUGAGGUUAUUCACAUCUUUUGGGAAAAUGAUUUUUGUCUAAGCAUUAUAAAACCUAAGCAUACAUCUAAACAUACAUUCCCUAAUCAUGCAUCUAGAAUAUCCACGUGGGGUGUGUGCAUGUAUCGGUGCUUGUGUCGGUGUACAUCACUUAUAGUGUCCAUAGUCCUUUACAUUGGCCCUAGUUUACAUUCUAUGGUCUUGCAAGAAAUUAAAAAAAGGAAAUUUAAACUACCUAAAAUUGCAUAUCAAUCACUCAUAUCAUGCACCAAGACCAUGAACACUAUGUGAUGAAAAAUCCACAAGAAAUUCCAAUAAAAAGUGAAAAAAAAACAUCAAGAAUUAUCACAUACAUUUUUAUUAGUUUUUCAAUGUGUAAAAGCAUCACAAGAAGUACCAAAAAUGAAUUAAAAACAGUAGGAAUUUUUCUAGAAUCUUUGAGAAAAAAAAAUUGAGCAAGUAGGGGUUCAAUCAGCAAGAAAACAGGGUGCGAAUAGCAUAAAAAAGCAAAAAAACGCAGAAAACCACAAACAGAAACCCAAGCCCAAAACCCAUGGAUCUGGAUGCACAGGGACCGUUGGAUUGAUCCAAGAAUCCAAGACCUAGAUCUAAAGGUUGAGAAUGAAAGGAGAGAACCAGAAAUAAACCGAACCGGUUCAGUGGUUUAUAUAAAGGCUUUAGGACCGGUUUUUUCCAUUUCUUCCUUUCCUUUCUCUCUCUUCUCUCAUUCUAGUGAGAGAAGCUCUCACUUCUCUCCUCCCUCUCUCUCGCCGGAAACUGCAUAUGGAGGAUGAUCUUCAUCUUCUCCGGUGAGGUUUGUCCCUCCGGCGUGGUGGCCGGUCGCCCAAGGGUGGCGCCGCCGCCGCCGGAGUUAAACAAACUUCUCCGUUUUCGAAAAUUUUUACAUUUUUGGAUAUCCUUUUUCGUUCUAAACACGAAUAUGGCACUGGAUUUUGCGUGCAAAGUUCGAAUCAACGUAGAUCUGAGUUUUCUUUUCGCGGUUUUGAAAGAAACUUUUUCACGUUUUUUUUGCUUUUUUUCGGUUGGAAACUUUUAAAACUCCAUAGAUCUACACUUGAUUCGUCUUUGUUAAUGUUCUGAGAAGGGAAAGAUGAAGUUUGAGUUUUACCUGUGAUUUUUAGUUGGAGAUUUCGAACAAUCUUCGGAAAACUUCGAUCUGAUUCCGUUUUGUUGAUUUCGUUCUUGAAUCCGAAAAUAAAUCGGUUCUUCUUCUUCUUCACCGGUACCGAUUCAAUUCUUCUUCAUCUUUUCUCUCUUCUCAGAUCCUUCGUGAUCGUGCUUGAGUUCGUCACUAAUGGUGAUGAAUUCGCACUGGAAUUGCGAAGGAAAUGGUUCGAUGAUGAAGAUUCAGUGUUGAAUCUCUGAGAAUUGUGACGAAUUUGCUUGAAUUCUGUGUUGAUUUUUGGUUCUGGAAAUCUAGGGUUUUUGUGAAUGUUCUUGAUGAUUUUUCUGUUUCGAUCUAACUGAAAAGAGAGAGAAAAUCUGAAUCUGUUUGUGAUGUGGCAAUGAUUCUGUGGAUCUCUUUGACUUGUACAGUGAAUGCGCCUUUUAUAGGCUGCCAUGUGUGAUUGAAACCCAAUGAAAAGGUGACACCUGGAUUUGUAUGAAAAUGGCUCGGCCUUGGACAAUUUGUGAUUUAAGGACCUUUCUGCAAAAAAGUGAAAUAGAGGACUAAACUGCAAUAAAAAAAAAAGACUAAAAAGUAAAUUUAAGAAGUUUCGGAUUAAAAUGCAAUCCUGGAAACUAUUUGAGGGACCAGAAUGCAAUAAAGGGAAAAUUGGAUUAAAAUUGGUAAUUUGAAAAAAACGUAAAGUGAAACAAAAAAUAAAAUCAACAAAAGGACUAAAAUGAACCAGUUACAAAAAUGAGGUAUUUUAAAAUACAUCUCUGCCGAAAUUUUGACAGGAAAAGACCAAAAUGCCCCUAGGGACUAAACUGACUUAGAUGCAAUUUUGAAAUGACUUUUUAACAAAGACUCAACAAUGAUUUGUAAAGCAAGUUGAAAAGACUCAGAGACAAUCACAAGGACUAAAAUGGGUCCCACUGCAGGAAAUGACCAAAAUACCCCUUUUGUAUGAUUUUUGAAAUAACAUGCAAGAAAAGCAAUGCAAUGAUUCAGAGAGUUUUUUCAAAUGACUUGUAAUGCAAGAAAGACAUUUUGGAUAGUUUUAUGCAAGAAAAUCAAAGACAAAAUCAUGAUUGAAAAUAGUCCGAGACGGAGACAGUAAAAUAUGCAGAUGAAACAAAGUAAAAACUUAGAGUAAAACAACAGUAAAUUGACAAAUAUCAGUGGUGGAAAAGCAAUUUGAAUGAGUAUUUUUAGGUCCAAAAUCAGGGUAUAACAAUUAUCUAUCAUUGUUAGAGUAUAAAAUGGUAAAUUAGGAAACUAAUGUUUUGCUAACUCAUUCUUUACAUAUGAUACUGCAUCUCAACUCAAGCUUCAUCAUACGGAUGCUGAUACUCAAAGGAGGGAAGGGGAAAGAACCAAGCUCUAGAAACUUUGUGAAACUGUGUCUGUUUUCUAUGAAAUAUUUUAAUUCUGCAGCAGUGUAAAUGUUUGAUACAACUUUCGUUUGAGUUUCAUCAAUAAAAUCGUUGUUAUUCGGUGAAUUUAUCAAUUUCUACUAGCAAAGAUAUUUUUCUCUACGCGUACGCAAGCAGGUUUGUUGUGCAUGAUUCUGCACUAAGCAUCUCAACUUAUAUACAUAUAAAAACACAUUUUUAGACAGUACAUUAGAUGAACAAUAUUUGUAUAAUUUAAAUAUAAACUUUAUAGCUAUCUCCCUUCAAACUUUGAAUAUAUGAGAACAAAAUAUAGGGUAAAUAUUAUAUUCUUUCUAUGGCUGAUAAAGUGUAAGGUAGAAUACCUUAUAAAAUCUCUAUUCAAAAUUGCAUUUCUGAUUUUUCCCUAUAGUUACAAUCAAUUCAAACUAUAGUUAAUCAAUAGUACACAAAACACAUUCAGAUAUACUGACUGAUAUAGAAGCAAAUUACCUGAAAAAAAUCAUUUUUUGGACCAAUAACAUGUAGUAAUCAAUUACCAUACGCGGAAAGAUGUUCAUAAGUAAAAUUUCCUCUGCAGAUUUCAGUAAAAACCUACAAAAGUUUUUACAUUGUCAUAAAAAAUUUAAUUUUUUUUAAAAGAGAAAAUUAGAUAAUUUAUAUAGUUCAGAACUCACAGGCACAAGUCAUGCCAAACCAUCUAACCUCACAAAUGAAAACCAAGAAAUAUUCAUCAAUUACUGCAAUAUAAACCAAGCACUAGCACUGCAAUAAACUAAGUAGUUCAUAUUACUUAGAAUAAUAGGUUUGUUGGUUUUAAAAUUGUGAUGCCUUGAAUGUAUAAAUAAGUUAUGUGAUGUAUCGUGGCAUGUAAACUUCUUGUUGAUCUUUCGAUUUUGACUCUUUUUUUAUUCAUGUAGUGGAAACAUGCCGAUUGACAUUCCUACACUGAAAAUCAUGUCCUGGAAUUAAAUUAUCCGUUCAAAGUACACAAUCAAAUCUAUUAACAUUCACCUCUGUCUAACCUUUGAUACUGCAGCAGAUCGCGUUAUUGGGUUAUGUUUCUGUGCCGAGAAGACGACAAAAGUGUAGCAGGCCAUGUUUCUGUGCCGAGAGUAUUUGGAAGAAUCUAAAGAUGUGGUAUGGAUUAAUGGUAACAAAACACCUUUACGGAUCAGACAAGGAGCUUUCAACUUGUGGCAGUAGUGGUUCGAGCUGCAUCAGCACCAUGAUCGUCGGCAAGAACGUGGUAACAGCAGCAGUGUCAGUUCAGUCACAGAUGGAAGAAGCCAAUGGAAGGAUGGAUCAAGUCCAAUGUUGAUGCAGGUUGUUUCCGGAAUUAUCCGGGACAGUUUAUUUUGGCACGAACGUAGUACAGUUGAAGGUGUUUAUUUUCAAAAAAAAGGAAAAAAAACUUUACCUCUAUCCUAAUAAAACUAUCGAAAAACACACAUCAAUAAGCAGAAUUUCACACCUCUAUUUUCACAAUUAUUUUCACAUGUCUCUGUAAUCUUAAUCAAGGUCUUUACCAAUUAUAAGAAGUUUACAUGAAGAAUCCACUAAGCUUUGAGACAAAAUGGAAUAUUAAACUUUAAAAAUCCCUAGAACUUGGUUUGAUGGAUUCACUAAGGCUAGUAAAUAUCUCUUGUAAAAUUUGUAUGUCUUGGUAGUAAAUUGGAUCUUCACCUCUUUCUUUUUUGAAUGAUAUUCAUUUAUGGCAAAAUGUUCAAUCAUUUAUAGCUACCUCGUUAUCCUUAUAACUCACAUUUCCCUAUUCUUUAGACACCAGAACAGGUUCACUCUGGGAUUCUACACCUCUGAGUAUUUCCAAAAAAACAUGUCUAAAUCUAUUGUUGUAUAGGUCGCGAACAGAAACCAACCACUGAAGGAUUCUUCUGGGGUCAUUAUCACAGUAGAAGAGAAUGAAAAUCUUUGAUUCACAUAUGUUUCUUUCUCAAAUGUAACAUCCAACAUCCUAGUAAUACAGCAAUUCAAACAUCCUAGCGAUCCAUAUAACGUACUCUCUAAAAAUGUGUUUUUAUAAGUAUAUAAGUGGAGAUGCUGAGUGCAGAAUCAUGUACAACAAACCUGCUUGCGUAUGCGUGGGGAAAAUAUCUUCUCUAGUAGAAAAUGAUAAAUUCACGCAACGAUUUUAUGGAUGAAACUCUAAAGAAAGUUGUAUCAAACAUUUACACUGCUGCAGAAUUAAAAUAUUUCAUAGAAAACAGACACAUUUUGCAAAGUUUCGAGAGCUUGGUUCUCUCCCAUUCAAAUAACGACUCAUAUUUUAUAUAUUUUAACAUGCAGUGUUUGAUUUGUAAAAGUUUAAUGAUGUAUUUUGUUGUUCUGGAUAAAGCAAAAACGCAUUGUGGCUCAGAAACCAAUAGAGAAUCCACUCUCUAACUCUCAAAUGAGAAACUCAAGUUUUAUAUAUUUCAAAUUGUGGUAAUACAUGAAGGAAGUGGCCUUAUUUAUAGCUAUCCUAGAGGCCAUAUGGUAGCUGAAAUAGUGCUGAUAAUUAAUACAUCAAUGGAAACACAAUCUAGUAAAUGUCAAACAUGGUGGCUUGUUGGCCUUAUUGUCAAUAGUAGGGUGGUGGAAUUGGAAAGCUAGCAUAUAGGGUGGUGGCUGCAAAGUCUAUGCCAUAUUAAAGUCUUACUCUGUAUCAUCCUCCCCAGGUUGAACAGAACUCGCCCUCGAGUUCAUAUCUGGUUCAUCAUCCAGAUAUGGUGAAAGAUCGGCAACAUUGAAGGUUGCUGAGACACCAUAGGUUCCUGGCAAUUCUACCUUGUAAGCAUUGUCGUUGAUUUUUUGAACUAUUUUGAAGGGACCAUCAGCUCUUGGUGACAACUUGGCAUUUGGUUGUUUGGGAAAUCGUUCUUUGCGCAAAUGUAUCCAUACCAAAUCUCCAACUUUAAAGAUUUGUUGCUUUCUGUGCUUGUCACGAUUAGUUUUGUAUCUUGAAUUUUGCUUGAUUAUCCGUUGUCGAACCUGUUCAUGCAGUUUCUUGAUCUCUUUUGCUCUACUUUCUGCAUCUGCACUAAACUGAUGUUUAUCUGAUGAUGGAGUCAAGUCUAACGGACUAUGUGGUCAAGUUCCGUAUGCUACUUCAAAAGGACAUUUUCCGGUUGCUUGAUUAGUUGAAUUAUUGUAUGCAAAUUCAACUUGUGCCAAUAUGAGAUCCCACUGUUUAAAAUUUUUACCGACAAAGCUCCGAAGUAGGUUUCCCAAAAUCCUGUUAACAGCUUCAGUUUGUCCAUCUGUUUGGGGGUGACUAGCACUACUAAACUGAAGUUUAGUACCCAUCUUCUUCCAUAAGGUUCUCCAAAAAUGACUUAAGAAUUUAACAUCCCUAUCAUAAGUGAUGGUUUUUGGAAUUCCAUGAAGACGAACAAUUUCCUUGAAGUAUAAGUCAGCAACUUGAACGGCAUCAUUAGUCUUCUGGUAUGGGAUGAAAUGAGCCAUCUUUGAAAAUCUGUCCACAACUACCAUCACAGAAUCUUUCUGGCGUUGUGUCCGAGGCAAUCCAAGGACAAAGUCCAUGCUAACAUCUUCCCAAGGUGCUUCUGGAACAGGGAGUGGCAUGUAAAAACCAGUGUUUUGGCUUUUGGCCUUGGCCAAAUGGCAGACUCGACAUCUUUGAAUAUGUUUGUAGACAUCUCUUUCAAGUCUUGGCCAAUAGAAAUUUUCUUUCACUAAAGCAACAGUUUUAUCUCGUCCAAAAUGACCUGAUAAUCCUCCAUCAUGGGCUUCCCAAAUAAUGGCUUCACGUAGAGAGCACUGAGGAAUACAUAAGGUCUCAAAACUUUGAACAAAAAUCCCUCAUGUCUGUAGUAGUCCUGAGAGGAUUGUGAAUCAAUGGCAUUCCAAAACUUUUGAAAAUCUGGAUCAUCUUUGUAUAACUCUUUGACUGUCUCAAAUCCAAUGACUUUCAUUUGCAUAGUGGCAAGUAGGGAAUGACAUCUGCAACAACAUUUUGAACUCCUGCCUUAUGUUUUAGUAAGAACGGAUAAGCUUGUAAAAACUCACUCCAAGCGGCAUGCCUGCGAUUGAUCUUUUGUUGAGAAUUCAAAUGCUUGAGGGCCUCAUGAUCAGAAUAAAGAAUAAAUUCUUUAUUCAACAAGUAAUGACUCCAAUGUUGCAAGGCUCGGACAAUGGCAUAAAAUUCUUUAUCAUAUGUUGAGUAUCUAAGUUUACCAUUGUUGAGCUUUUCACUAAAGAAGGCUAUAGGAUGACCUUCUUGACAUAGAACCGCACCAAUUCCUGAAUUGGAAGCGUCACAACUUACUUCGAACACCUGGUCAAAGUUGGGAAGGGUUAGCACUGGUGUUUCAGUCAAAAGUUGUUUUAGGUGGUCAAAACUCUUUUGUGCUUGCUCGGUCCAUUGGAACUUAUCUCCCUUUAUGCAAUUUGUAAGUGGGGCAGCAACAGAGCUAAAGUUCUUGAUGAACCUUCUAUAAAAUGAAUCUAAUCUAUGGAAACUUCUCACAUCAUGAAUUGACUUUGGAAUAGGCCAACUAUUGAUGGCCACAACCUUGCUGGGGUCAACUCGAAUACCUUCAGCAGUGAUUAUGUAACCCAGAAAAGUAACCUCAUUGGUUAGGAAAGAACAUUUCUUCAAAUUUGCAUAGAGUUUUUGUUCGCGAAGAGUUUGUAGCACUUGUCGAAGCUGCUUUAAGUGUUCUUCUUUGUGUUUGCUGUAGAUCAAGAUAUCGUCAAUGUAUACAACUACAAAUUUGCCAAUGAAUGGUCGAAGUACUUGAUUAAUUAGACGCAUGAAGGUACUUGGAGCAUUAGAUAACCCAAAGGGCAUCACUGUCCAUUCAUAUAAGCCAUCUCUUGUUUUGAAUGCAGUCUUCCAUUCAUCUCCUGGCCUAAGCCUGAUUUGAUGGUAUCCGCUUCGAAGAUCAAUCUUUGAAAAGAUGGUGGCACCAUGCAACUGAUCCAAUAAAUCAUCAAGUCUAGGUAUCGGGAAUCGAUACUUGAUGGUAAUCUUGUUGACAGCUUUACUAUCAACACACAUUCUCCAGCUUCCAUUCUUCUUGGGUACUAAAAUUGUAGGAACAGCACAAGGGCUAACACUUUCCUGUAUUAGUCCUUUUUUCAGCAAUUCUUCAACUUGACGUGUGAUUUCAGCAUGCUCUUGUGGACUCAUUCUAUAAGCUGGUCUAUUAGGAAUGACAGCUCCAGGAAUAAAGUCAAUAGCAUGUUGAAUGUCUCGCAUCGGCGGCAAUCCUUGUGGAACGUCUUCUGGUACUACAUCUGGGAAUUCACUGAGCAUUUGUUAAAUUUCUACUAGAAGGACAGUUUCUGCAUUUUCUUCGAACAUUAGAAUAAAGCUCAUGGUUUGGACUUCGUCCACAACUUCUUUGAACUGAGUCUUAGUGAUUAAAGACACUAAUGGCUUGGACUCAUUUUUGUUUUUAUCAAGUCCACUCGGUGGUAAUGGAGUUAACUUGAUUUUUACUCCAUCUUUGACAAAGGAGUAGGUGUUGGCAUAAUCAUGAUGGGCACGACGAUCGUAUUUCCAGGGUCUUCCAAGGAGAAGAUGACAUGCAUCCAUUGGGACGAUAUCACACCAAACUUGAUCUUGAUACUUCUGACCAAUGGAAAAACUCAUAAGGCAACGCUUCGUAACCUUCACUUCACUACCUUUGUUGAGCCAUUGUAGUUUGUAAGGAUGAGGAUGACUUUCUGUUGGCAUCUGUAACUUCUCUACCAUGUAGUUCGACACCACAUUUUCAAAACUACCACUAUCUAUUAUAACAUCACAAACUUUUCCAGCAGUGGUGCAACGAGUAUGGAAAAUGUUUUUCCUCAACCAAUGCUCUUCUUGAGCUGACAUCGUGUGUAGGCUUCGUCUUAUCACUAGAGAUUCGCCAUGAUCAGCAACAAUGAGCUCUUCAUCAUAAAUUGGCUCUAACACUUCUUCUUUUUCUGGUUCAUCUCGGUUUGUUUCCUCAUCAACAUCUUCAUAAGCUUCUCCUUUGAUGAUGGUGAUCGUUCUUCGUGUUGGACAAUUUGAAGCUAUAUGUCCAAAACCUUGACAUUUUAAACACUUGGUAGCUUUGGGUUUAUAAUCUGUAGUGGGUUUAGGAGAAGGUUUUGUAGAAGUACGUACUAGGCUGAUCGUUUUCUGUUUUGUAGGGAUAAGAAGAAUUCUCAGUGGAGGUAAAAUUCCUAUAAGAAUGCUUCUUGGGUAAAUGUUUCUCCACUCACAUGGCCAAACGAACAACAUCGUCUAAUGACCAGUAUUGUUGGAGCUGAAUUGGAUGAGCAACGUCAGUGUUUAAUCCACCAAGGUAACGAGCUAUUGUCUGCUCCUCCCUUUCAUGAAUGUCGCACUUCAUCAUUAACUUCUCAAAUUCUCUAGUGUAUUCUUCUACAGACAAGUUUUUCUGACGAAGGUUCUGUAGUUGAAUAAAACUAUCUUGAUAAUAGUGAGAAGGCAAGAACUUUUUGCUUAGUUCUCGACGCAUUUUCUCCCAAGUCUUGAUCUUGCUUUUUCCUUCACGGGCUCGCUUCGUUUUUAGAUUUUCCCACCAAAUGGAAGCAUGCUUCUUUAAUUUGAUAGCAAUGAUCUUGACUUUCUUUUCUUCAAGUAUCUCUUUAUACUCGAAGACUCGUUCAACAGUUUGGAGCCAAUCAACGAACUCAUCUGGAUGUAGCUUUCCUUCAAAAUCACGAAUAUCUACCUUGAUGUCGUUGUCUCUGAAUGAUUGUCUUUGUGGACGACGACUUCUUAAUGAUGAUGAUUCGCUACUUGAUUCAUCAACGUCUGAUUGCAUGUGUUGGGCUUCCAAUUAUGCUUGUUGUGCAUUUAUAGUUUCAUCUAACUGUUGGAUUUGUCUUCUCAUUUCUUCCAUUUGAAUAUCCCUAAGUGUUUGGUCGUUUUUUCUUGGAGGCAUAUUUUUUAUUUUUUUUUAAAAGGGUGAAAUGAGUAUAAGUACUAUAAAAUAGAAUAAUUCUUUUCUGAUGUGGAAGAUCAGAUUAAACUGCAACCACAGAGCAUAAUAGGAAUUGUCUAUUAUAAUAGCACUAAAAAGGAAGGAUUUCCUGAAAAUUCACAAUUUUCGAACAAGGGAAAAAUUGUAAAUCCAGAAAGAAUAGGGGAAAAUUUGCAAUUUCAAAAAGUAUAGGGUAAUUCCGCAAUUUUUGAAAGUUGAGGGGCAAUUUUCUAAUUUCAUAAUGUUUUGGGGCAAAUCUGAAAUUUCGAAAAAGUUAUGGGGCAGAUUUGUUAUUUCUGAAAAUUUUAGGUGACUGGGUGAUGAUGUGGCACUGAGUGACACGUGGCAGGGAUGUGGAGGCUGACUUGUCGAUGACUGGACAGGUCAGUGGUGAUGUGGCAGGUUGACACGUGGCGAUAAGUUAUUGGUUGGAAGUGACACGUGGCAGCUGAUGUGGCUGUUGACUGGUUGUCUUCAUCCUCUAGACUUCCGGUGGUGGUUAGUGGUGGCGGGUGGUGGUCCGGCGAGUCGUUUGGCGGCUCGUGGAGGCUCCGUUGGUGACAAAAACCUCCAGUCCAAGGUUUUUCGGCCUUCCGAACGCAAUGGCGGCUUUAGUUUUGCAAAAAAAUGGCCGCAAAGUAUAGUUUCGAAGGUGGCAGCUCUUUUUCUUCAAGAACACCCUUAGAAAACUCAAACUUUCCGUUGAUUCUUUCACUCAAACUCAACUCCGGAUUUGGAACCUUGCUAUGAUGCCAAUAUGGCUCAGAAACCAAGAGAGAAUCCACUCUCUAACUCUCAAAUGAGAAACUCAAGUUUUAUAUAUUUCAAAUUGUGGUAAUACAUGAAGGAAGUGGCCUUAUUUAUAGCAAUCCUAGAGGCCAUAUGGUAGCUGAAAUAGUGCUGAUAAUUAAUACAUCAAUGGAAACACAAUCUAGUAAAUGUCAAAUAUGGUGGCUUGUUGGCCUUAUUGUCAAUAGUAGGGUGGUGGAAUUGGAAAGCUAGCAUAUAGGGUGGUGGCUGCAAAGUCUAUGCCAUAUUAAAGUUUUACUCUGUAUCACAUUGGUUGAUAACUAUUGUUGUAGCAACGAUAGUUAGCUACCGCCAUAAAGAGUGAACAGCAGUUUCCCAUUGUUGAGGGUAAAAAAUAUAUUUUUAGGUUAGGGAGAUCAAUUUUUUAAGUGAGAAUCGGAACUUUCGAAUAUAUAUUUCCAGCAAAUUAAAACAACUUUUAAUGAAUGUUUUUAAGAUUACUUAAUAAUAAAGUUAACAAAAUUUAACGAUCUCAUGGGUAAUUGAGAGUGUAAUAUUUGAAUUAAAUUCAUCUUUAUUUUCUCUCUCAAUUUUAUAAGAAUAUACUAGUAGUUUUCAGGUAGAAUGAAACCAAGUAGAAAAUAUUAAUGUGCUUAUAUAAAUCAUAUAAUAUCACAUGUAUGUAGGACACACUCAAUUGAUAGUUGAAGUUUCAAAUUCUUAAGAAAAUAACUGAACCAUACACCAAUUUGGCCAAACUUUUUCCACUAAAAAGAGAAAAAAGAAUGGAUACAUGAUUAUUAAAAAUAGAUAAAUAAAUACAGCAAAUCUUUCUAUCAGAGCGUUACACGUCUAUAUCUUCAAUCAUGCUGUCAAAAUCUCUCUGGACAUUGUAUUUUAUAAGAACUUCCAUAAAUUGCCCACAUGCUGGCAGUUUAUCUUCUGCACACAUUGUUCAAUAUAAGUCUAAAAUCACACCAUAUUUUAUAUAGUAAGAUAAAAGCAAAAGGAAUAAAAUUAAGAGAUUCAUUCAAAUCAAUUACCACUAAUUGUUGGUUUUGUUGGUUCUGCAUCAGAUUGCAAUUUGAAAUUCAAUUCAACUUGAGGAAUGUGAGCUAUCUUAUGCCAAUCUUCACCUUUUCCUCUCUUGCAUCUCUUCUCCAACUUAGGACAACGACCAAUACUUAAAUAUUGCAAGUUUUGGAGUUGCUGAAAGUUGUCUGGCAGUGAUUUUAAAUUUGGAAACUCAUAGAUGUCUAAUACUUGAAGAGAAGUCAUGGCACCCAAACAGUCUGGCAAUGAUGUUAGUGAAGGAAAAUGAUACAGAGACAAUUUUUGCAGUGAGGGGAUGCCUUCUAUGCCAUCUAGUAUGUUCUCAUUACAAUUCCAGAGUAGCAGUCGGCGAAGGGAAGUUAGACUGUUCAUGUUAUGUGGAAAAACUAACUGUAGACAGUAACGGAUAUGAAGUGUCUCAAGACAAGUUAGGUGUCUCAUACCAUUGGACAGGGGUUUAAAUCUACCGCAUCCAUUAAUGGUCAAAGUUCGAAGAGAGCUCAAACAUUGCAACAAGUGCUCUGAAAAUGACUCCAUUUCAUCACAAUAUGUAAUUGUAAGAGAUUCUAAAGCACUAAGUCUACUGAGUUCAACAGGUAAUUCCUUGAGUCCGUCGAAGUCUUCUAUCCGAAGUGACUUAAGAUUGUUACUGGCAAUUCCCCGUGAAGAGGAAGCUACAUCUUUACUGCAAUUGUUGUAAGAAAAGGACUUCAAUAAUUCUUCAUUUCCUCCACUAACAGAAAGUGACUCCACAGAUGGAAGGGACUGCAAUGCAAGUUUAGGGACAUCUGUUAUAUGUAACUUCAAAAGUUGGGGUAGCAUCUCUACUCCUUCGACUUCCAACACCUUCUCUAAAUUUGGUAAGUCACACAAAGUCAACUUUUUCAAUGACAUAAAAGCCUUCUCAGUUGCAGGUUCAUAGAAGUCAUCAUCAAUGUACUUUAUAUCUCUCAUUCCAGAUACAUGAAGGUUAGUUAAACAUGGUAAUUUACCAAAUGGAGGAAGCUGCCUGCAGUUUUUACAGCCAUAGAAAAUAAUAUGAACUAAACCUUUUAGAAUAGAAGUAUUUCUCAUCCAAGGAGGAAAUUGUGUUCCCAUAAAACUCUGCACCCCAAAACUCUUAAGACCUGAAUGAGGCUCAAGAGCUUCCAGUACUCGCUCGGCAUCAACACCACCAACUUGUGAAUUAGCAUAACCACCCCAUGACAAAUAUAAGCGAUUUAAGUCCUUCUUGCCAAUCAAAUUAGCUUUUCUUGCAUCCUCUUCAUUCAACACUUUCUGAAGGCCUUUGAUGUGUAGCUUGCCUCCUAAUUGCAAGUUGUGUAGCUCUGCUAAACCAAACCCAUUUUUUGAACCAACAAUGAAAGUAGUCAAUGUUUUCAGACAAGUUAACUCCCCAAUUCUAAAAGGAGUUGAUGUCAAUCUCUGGCAAGCAAUAAUAACAAGAUGUCUAAGGUCAUGCAAUUGUGUCAAUUGUUUCGGAAAACUAGAAAGAUAAUCACAACCUUCAAGUUUAAGUGUUUGCAAUUUCUGGCAAUCUACAAACAGACGCAGGCAAGGUUUUUAUAUCACUCUUGUAAAGUUCCAAGUACCGCAAAUGCAUUAAAUUCUUCAAUGCAGAGAGAUGACAAGACCUUGUACGUAAAGCUCGGAGAGGAGUGACAGAUGGAAACACAUAUGAACCAAUGAAGGGUGAUGAUUCAAUGUCAAGAAAGGUUCCAAUGAUUCAAUUUUUGUUAAGGGAUUCAAAUUUACUUUUGAAGCGAAAUAACUUAUAUGGUGAGCUAAAUCAUGGACUAAAUCAUGCAUUUUGAAUGUAAUGUUACCUACAAAAUCUGAUUUAACUUCUUGAAAAAAUGACCUUUGGUAUAAUUCAUUCCAUACCUCAUUACCAACAUGCUCCAUCUGUAAGUUUCCUCUAGAUGUAACAAGUCCAUUAGCCAUCCAAAGUUGAAUGAGAUUUUCCUUCACCAUUUCAAAAUCCUUAGGAAAAACAGCACAAAAAGUAAAACACGGCCUUAAGGACAAAUUCAAAUUAAAGUAGCUUAGUCUCAAAGCAGACAUGAUAGGGUUAUCCUCAGAUAACUUCCAAAGCUCACUUUCCUUUACAGAAAGCCAUUGAUGUUCCUCAUUUUUAAAGCGCAAAAGGCUUCCCAAAACCUUGGCAGCAAGUGGUGAACCCACACAUUUUAUCACUAUCUCCUUGCCUAUUGCUGCAAGCUCUGCAGGCUCUUCCCCAUUAGGUCCAAAAGCGUGUUGUUUAAAUAAUGUCCAAAUGUCGUCGUCAUAUAAACCUACCAAAUGGUGAGCAGGGUGAGUUCCCAUGAUGGAUGCAACAAUAUCAAGUCGUGUUGUGACUAAAAUAGAUGAACCUUUCAUUGUAUUUCCACUCUUCAAAUAAUGCUUCAACUUUUCCCAUUUUAUUUGUUCAUGGUUCCACACAUCAUCCAGUACAAGUAAAUACUUUUUGCUUUGCAAAACUUCUUGAACUUUUUUUUGCAUUAAUUCUAAAGUCGAGAGAUUAUGAUUUUGUCCAGUGGCAGAUUCUAUGAUAGAGUGUAGGAUUUUCAUGAUGCUGAAAUCAUCUGAAACACAAACCCAUAUUUUCAAAUCAAAAUGGGUGGUUACGCUUUCAUCCUUGUAUACCAAUUGAGCAAGUGUUGUUUUUCCAUAUCCACCUAGGCCAACAAUGGAAUAGACAGAGAGAUCUUCACUAUUGCUAGCAUGCCUCAGAAGAUACUCAACAAUUUGUUCUUUAUCUCUGUCUCUUCCAUAUACUUUGGAUUCAGUGAUGACAGAGGUAGUUUGCCGCCACUCUUCAUCUUCUGGUUGGUGCUCCAUGACCCCCACCUGCAAUCCGAACUUCAUCCUUUCUUCAGCAAUAUCAUCGAUCUCUUUAGCAAUCUCCUUCAUCCUCUUUCCAAUGUUGCGACGAGCCAAAAUCUUCAUAGGAUGGAAACGAGUGAUCCGCUUGUUGUCGCCAUGUGCUUUUAAGGUUAUUGAACAUUCGUCCAAUAUAUCAUCAAGCACAUAAGCAGCAUCACGCAGUUGCUGUAACCACUCUUUCACAGCAUCAUUUGUUAUUUGCUUCUUUUCAGCAUCUUUUAGGACAGCACGGAUUAAAGUGAGCUUUCUAGAUAGUCUUUGGGUCAAUUCUCCAACACCCAAAUAGGUAGCAAGCUCCUCUUGUACAAAAGAUCCGAGGUUUUGAAUCACGAUACCAAGUAAAGCAUCAGCCAUUUUCAGAUGUGAGAACAGAAAUGAAUCAAAGUUGUUUAGAUUAGAGAUGACUUUGCUCUAGGAAGAUGAAAUAUGAGUUGUUAUUUGUUUUCAAAGAUUAUCUAUUAAAUCAGUGGAUGUAGUUUUUCUGCAACUUGUGAAUAUUGGUUGCUAUAGAAAAAAAAAUAUCAGUACAUGACAGUGAGGAAAACUACAUGACAGUGGGAAAAAAACAAGAUCAUGUCCAUUCAUUUGCUCAGUGCCUAGAAAAAUUGUUCUCUUUCAAAGGUAUGGCUUAAUUGUUGAUAAUAACUGUUAAACGGACUAGAAUCACAUUCCAAAAACUAGCAUAAUAAAAGGUGAGAGUGCUCAAACACAUUUAUACAUAUAUGCAUAAGAAUGUCGGUAAUGUGGGAAUCCAAACAACUUCAAUAUUAAUAUAUAAACUGGAUAAACAAUGGUUCGUGAGUGAAUAUCUCUUUCAUGAAUGUGUUGUAAUUGCAAACGCAUCAACAAAUUGUUUGAAUUCUAAGAGUAUAGCCAUAGACCGUAAAAAUAAAUUAUAGCAAAUCUACCUAAUAAGAUUAAAAAUUACAACCCAAAUGUCACUUUUAUUAAUCAUUUUAGUCCACAAAUAUGUUUUUCUGGUGGUCAAUUUAGUCCAAAAAUUACAUACAAAAAAAAAAACAAUAGAAAUAUGUUUGGAAUCUAGAUAUAUUUAAAAACAUGCAUAGACAGGUUUCACAUUAUACGACCAAAAUGGUUCUCUACUCUUUAUAAUUGGGAAACAUAUUGGCUCAUGCGAACAAUCCACACCAUUGAAACCUAUUUUAAAAUUUUAAAAUUUCCAAAUUUGUUCUAGGGUGACCUAGACUUCACCAGAGAGAAUCCAGUCACAAAUAAUAGUAAUACUAAUUAUUUAUAUAUUUCAAGUUGGGAAGUGUAUCUGCUGAUUUUUCUACAGCCACAUCUGUUGCAACCUUUCAACCUUGAACAGUACAUAAAUUUUACUGCAUACUGUAUAUAAUACUAUUCAAAAAUGAUUUUUGAAUACUAACAACAGACAAGUUAUCACAAAAUACUUUCAUUGAUUGUGUUGUGUGGCUGUAAUCUUUUCAACAAGUUAUCACAAAAUAUAGGAUCAGCUUGCAUUAUAUUACACACAAAAUCACAUAGAAAGAUCUUUAAUUCCAUAAAGACAGAAUGAGAUCUUUAAUUCCAAUAAAUGAAAACAAAGCGCAACAAAAUACACAAGAAAUGUGACUCAAUGGAAAAUAUCAGAUUCAAAUAUAAUUCAGCAGCAAAGAUAACUAGAAGCAACUGAACAAUAGAAGCAUCCAUAACAAAGUAAGAUUGUUAGCAGAUACAAAAAAGGAAUCUGCAAAUUUACAAUUUUCAUCAAAUCAAAUAAUGAUUUAGGAAGGAUACUACAGAAUGUUUCUAGAGAAAUAAAGCAUUGAUUAAUCCAUUAUACGAUCACAAAGCCAUUUCAUACAUAGGAAAGUAACACAACAAAAUUAGUAACACAGAGAUAUGAAAUUCCAAUUAAACAUAUCAAGAAAUUACUCUAUACAACAGACAAUUGAAAAAAUAUAACGGGGAACAUGGUAUUCAAACAUGAGUGAUGCUUAUCGCAUAACGUACUCUCAUAAAAUACAGAACAUUGACAAAAUGCCAAGAAUUGUAAUCCAUUUCAAAUGUAAUUAAUUCAACAGCAAAGAUAACAGAGCAAUAUGCAGGCAAUAAUCAAAUCAAAUUUCUGUUUAACGGAGCCAAGUUGAGCAUUUUGUUUGAACUUCAAAACUGAUCAGCCCUAAACUGCAAUUAAGAUCAACAUUGAUUUUAAAUCCUUUCAAUGAAACUAUUAUAAUUAUAUUACUGAAUGUCACAUAUCACACGCACAUAUAUGCACUUUACCUCGAUAACAACGCCAUGCAACUCCUUGUGCGAGAAAUUCCUUAGAAAAUACGGUUCAUUUGUCAAAUACAUAGUAUAAAAAUUGAGACGGUUAUUGCAGAAUCAUGUACAAACCUGUUUGCGUAGGCGUGGGGGAAAAUAUUUUUUCUAGUAUUACUAACUUGACACUUGCAAUAAAGUAAUAAUUGAAUGAUACAAACUGGUACCAAUUGAUAAAUUCACUUGAAUAACAGAGAUUUUAUUGAUGAGUCUGUAAUGGAAUUAGUCUCAAACAUUUACACUGUCGCAGAAUUGAAAUAACAGAGAUCAGUUUUAUUGGAUCUGAGUUUGGUUCUAGCAAGCCGAAUCAACCAAGUUACAUGAAUCACAACUUGACAACAUUUUAUAUAAAUAUAACUUCCAUAUUACAGAACAUUUAAAUAAUUUUUUCACUGCAUAAUUGCCAUACUAUCAAUUUCGAUUAUCCAUUUUCAUAUUUCUUACAUAUUGUAAACGAGCCAUACUUUAGGCUUAUUUUCAAUAGUAUCCAAUACUUGACAGAUAUCUGCAAUCACAAGAAUGUAUAGGACACAGCUUCAAACUAUAGACCUAUUUGGCCAAAUAGUACUCAAAAACAUUUUCCACUAAACAGAGAAGUCUUUCUCUUUCAUUUAAUAAGAAGGGUUGUAUGAUUAUUAUAAAUAAGAAUAUAGGAUGAGAUAUUUUUACCCUAAAGAAUCAAUAAUGAAGACAAGAGCGUUCAUUACACAUCUAUAUGCUAUCGACUUCCUUUUCAAUCAUCCAGUCAAAUUCACCGUAGGUAAAGUCAGGGUAUUGAGAUGGGCGGUGCCAGAAUUGCUUCCAUGCUGAUUUGAUAUUCUCUGCACACAUUGUUUAAUAUUCUCACAUCAUAUAAUUUGAUAUAAUAUAGUAAGAAUAAAGAGUGGAUUCAUUAAAUUAAAUUAAAUUACCACAUAUAGUUGGUUUUGUUUGUUCUACAUCAGAUUGCAAUUCUCGAUUCAAUACAAAUCGAGGAAUGUGAGCUAUCUUAUGCCAAUCUUCACCUAUUCCUCUCUUGCAUCUCUUCUCCAACAUAGGGCAACGAUCAAUACAUAACAUUUGCAAGUUUUGGAGUUGCUGAAAGUUGUCUGGUACUGAACUUAACUUUGAAAACCCAUAAAUUUGUAAUUCUUGUACAGAAGUCAUGGCACCCAAACAGUCUGGCAAGGAUGUUAGAGAAGGAAAAUCAAUCAGAUGCAAAUAUUGCAGUGAGGGGAUGUUAGGGAAGGAUGUUUCUCAGCCGUCUAGUAUGUUUUCAUUACCCCCAAAGACUUCCGGUUGACGAAGGGAAGUUAGACUGUCCAUGUUUUGUGGAAAAACGAACUGUGAACAGUCACCGAUUACAAGAGAAGUAAGGUGUCUCAUACCGUCGGGUAGGGAUUUGAAUCUAGAACAUGAACGAACUGACAAUUUUCGAAGAGAACUCAAACCUUGCAACAAUUGCUCCGAAAAGGACUCCAUUUCAUGACAAGAAUCAAUGUUAAGAGAUUCUAAAGCACCAAGAGUACCGAGUUCAACAGGUAAUUCCUUGAGUUCGGCGAAAUUUGAUAUGUGAGAGUUAACUUAAAAUCAGAAAUCUGGAGCAUCGUGCCACGAUCGAAAAGCAUCGCGCCACGAUGGUUGAAGCAAGAUUCCUGGGAAGACACUGGAAAAAUUGUGCCACGAUGAAGCAGGGUCGUGCCACGAUGGUCGCACUGAAGAUAAAAAUAAAAUGUAUUUUCAUUUAGAUUUGUUUCAGUUUUUUAAGGGUUUACUUUCCACUAUAAAUACAGCCUUGUAGCAGAUGAUAAAAGUGUGUAGAAAAACAAGGUUUAGACCAACAAACAAACUAGGGUUUAUAGAGAAUCUCUCUUGGCAACAACUCUAGGGUUGGGAUUGUUUUGAUUCACCUUGAACAAAACACUAUUAGGAUUGAGUCUCUUGGUCACGGGAAGAGGCUGGGACUUGGGUAGAAUUAGGUUUGAAGACUGAUUCUUGAAACUCAUUAUCUCUUUGUAAAGAAACUCAUUCAUUAUAGUGGAUCGGAGAGCUGCUCUCUCCCCCAGACUAGGUCAUCAUUAGACCGAACUGGGUAAACAAAUAUCUUGUGUUCUUUCUCUCUCUCUCUCUCUCUCUCUCUCUCUCUUUUAUUUCUUGUUGUUUUUGUUUGGAUUAUUUGCUACCCGCUUGAUUUGAUUACUUGGUAUUAAUUUGCUCCACGCAUCAAGUCUUAUUGUUGUGGUUUUCUCAACAAAUUCACAACAAGAAAGUGACCUAAGAUUAUUACCAGCAAUUCCCCGUGAGGAGGAAGCUAGAUCUUCACUGAAAUUGUUGUAAAAAAUGGACUUCAAUAACUCUUCAUUUCUUCCACUAGCAGUAAGUGACUCAACAUAUGGAAGGGACGACAGUGUAAGCUUGGGGACAUUUAUUAUAUUUAACUUCAAAGGUUGUGGCAGCAUCUCUACUCCUUCAACUUCCAACACCCUCUCGAAAUUUGGUAAGUUAUGCAAAGUCAAAAAAAUUUGAAUGACAUAAAAGCCUUCUCAGUCGCAGGUUCAUACAAGUCAUCAUCAAUGUACUUUAUAUCUCUCAUUUUAGAUACAUAAAGAAUAGUUAAACAUGGUAAUUUACCAAAUGGAGGAAACUGCCUGCAAUUUUUACAGCCAUAGAGAAUAAUACUAACUAAACCUUUUAGAAUAGAAGUAUUUCUCAUCCAAAGAGGAAAAUGUAUUCCCCCAUAACCAUUCACCCCAAAAUGCUUAAGACCUGAAUGAGGCUCAAGAGCAUCCAGUACUCGCUCAGCAUCAACACCACUAACUUGUGAAUUAGCAUAACCACCCCAUGACAAAUAUAAGCGAUUUAAGUCCUUCUUGCCAAUCAAAUUAGCGUCUCUAGCAUGCUCUUCAUUCGAUACAUUCUCAAGGACUUUGAUGUGUAGAUUUCCUCCUAAUUAUAGGUUGCAUAGCUCGGCUAAACCAUAACCAGUUUUUGAAUCAACAAUGAAAAUGGACCAUGUUUUCAGACAAGUGAACUUCCCAAUUUUAAAAGGAGAUGACAUCAAUGAAUGGCAAUUUUUAAUCAUGAGAUGUCGAAGGUCCUUCAAUUCUAUCAAUUGUUUAGGAAAACUGGAUAGAAAAUGACAACGUUCAAGUUUUAGUGUUUGCAAUUUCUGCAGUCUACAAACAGAACCUGGUAAGAUUGUGAUGGGACUUUGGUUGAGUUCCAAGUACCUCAAGUGAAUUAAACUCAUCAAUGAUGAGAGUUGAUGAAAACUUGCAUGUAAAGCUCGAAGAGGGGUGCUAGAUAGCAACAUAUUUAAGUUCUUGGAAGGUGGUUUAUACUCAAGAAAGGUUCGCAAGGAAUCAAAUUUUUGGAAGGGAAUCAUGUAGUCAUCUUUUGAUUUGUUAUCAAAGAGACUUAUAUGGUGAACUCUAAUUGAAAAAUUAGUCAACUUUGAGACAUCAUAAGAAAUACAUUCUUCUCCCAUAAAAGACUGACCUAAAUCAUGGAUAAAAUCAUGCAUUUUGAAUGUAAUGUUACCAACAAAAUCUGAUUUAACUUCUUGAAAAAAUGACCUUUGGUAUAAUUCAUUCCAUACCUCAUUACCAACAUCCUCCAUCUGUAAGUUUCCUCUAGAUGUAACAAGUCCAUUAGCCAUCCAAAGAUGAAUGAGAUUUUCCUUCACCAUUUCAAAAUCCUUGGGAAAAACAGCGCAGAAGGUAAAACAUGGCCUCAAGGACAAUUUCAAGUUAAAGUAGCUUAGUCUCAAAACAGACAUGAUAGGAUCAUCCUCAGUUAAAUUCCAAAACUCACUUUCCAGUACAGAAAUCCAUUGAUGUUCGUCGCUUGUAAAUCGCAAACUGCUUCCCAAUACUUUAGCAGCAAGAGUUGAACCCACACAUUUUCUCACUAACUUCUUGCCUAUUUCCACAAGCUCUGCACGUUCUUCUCUAUUUUCUCUGAAAGCUUGUUGUUUGAACAAAGACCAGAUGUCAGAAUCAGAUAAGCGUGUUAAACGAUGAGCAUGAUAAGUUGCCAUGAUGGAUGCAACAAUGUCAAGUCGUGCAGUGACCAAAAUUGAUGCACCUUUCGUUUCAUAUUGCAACAAAGACUUGAACUUAUUCCAUUUCUCUUGGUCUUCAUUCCACACAUCAUCAAGAACAAGUAGAUACCUUUUGUUUUGAAAAUUUCUUGAACCUUCUUUCGCAUUGACUCCAAAGAUGAGAGAUCUGGAUUUUUUCCAAUUGUGUCUUCUAUGACGGCUCUAAAACCUUCAUCAUGCUGAAAUCAUCUGAAACAAAAAUCCAUAUUUUCAGGUCAAAAUGGUUUCUUACUCUUUCAUUGUUGUAUACUAAUUGAGCAAGUGUUGUUUUUCCAUAUUCACCUAGGCCAACAAUGGAAUAGACAGAGAGUUCUUCUUUGUCAGUAGUAUGCUUUAGAGGAAACUUUACAAUCUGCUCUUUAUAUAUGUACCUUCCAUAUACUACAGGUUCGGUGACGACAGAAGUAGUUUGGCGCCACUCAUCAGCACCUCGUUGACGCUCUUCUGUUACUCCCACUUGCAAUCCAUACUUCAUCCUGUCUUUAGCAAUAACGUCAAUCUUUUUAGCAACCGCCUUCAUCCUCUUUCCAACGUCACGCUGAGCCAAAAUCUUCUUAGGAAGGAAACGGGUGAUGCACUUGUUGUCUCCAUGUGCUUUUGAUGUUAUUGAACAUUCGUCCAAUAAAUCAUCAAGAACAUGAGCAGCAUCAGCCAGUCUUUCACAACAUGACUUGUUAUUUGCUUCUCUUCAGCAUCUUUGAGGACAACACGAAUUUGUUGGUGUAAGCCCUAGAGGCCAAUAGUUUAUGUUAAACCUAUCUUAUGUAUCAUGACUUUUAUUAUUGAAUAAUAUAUGGCACUCUUUAUUAUAUUUAGAUAAUGUUAAUAAAGUCCUUAGAAUAGAUAGUUCGUGUAAUAAUAUAUUAAGUGUGACUUAAUCAUGAGAUUACAUUAUCUUAUAGAACGCUAUUCUUAAAUGUAUCCGUAGUCAAAGCUUUAAUAUGAAUAAAGGAUAAUAAUAAAGCGUCGAGACUAUUAUGUAUGUAGACUGAUGACCGCAUCUCAUGGGUCAUAGAUAUGAGAUAUCAAGUCUAUACAUAGAUAUAAAUAUUAGGAGUAAUAUUUAUAUUGGAUUGACCCACUGUGAGAAUACUACAUAGUAAGUUAUGAAAUUGUCAUAAGAUAUUCUCACAAUGAUAAUAAUGUAUAUCGCUCUUAGACCUGAAACCACUAUGAUCUCUAGAUGUGGACUCAAGUGCUUUGUUGUCAUUCUAACGUUGUCUGUAAAAGGAUAACAAUAACGUUGGUUGAUGGGCACUUGAUGAAUCAUGCUGAGGGUCAUGAGUGUCCUAGAUGAGAUUUGUCCCUCCUCAUAAACAGGAGAUAUAUCUUUAGGCCUCUUGAUGAAAUAUGACUAUAAAUAUGCAUGGCCAUGCCGAACUAAGUCAAUAUAAGAUAUUGGACUUAUUCGUUAAAUAGUAUAUUUCGGAAUCAUGAUAAAUAAACAUUGAUCUAUACAAGGGUGACACUAUCUAUGCCUUGGGAUCAAUGAAGAUAUUGUGACAAAGGAGUAAUUAUACACCUAUGUGUUAUCAUGAAAGGUUUCGUCAGAUCACUUGACAUUCUUGUCACUUGGGUAGCAAUGAUGUGUUGCUAGAUACCGCUCAUUGUUUAUGGUAUUAAAUAUUAGAUUUAAUAUCAUUGCCAACGUGACUAGAACCUAAAGGGUCACACACAAAGAGCAGAGAUAUGUAUAAGUAUGACUUAUAUAAAGGGUGCGCUUAGUAAAUAAUGCUAAUGGUUUAGCAAAAUUUGCUAAACUCGUAUUGGGCUUAGUGAAGUCAAAAACGAGUUUGACUUGCAAAGCAUAUAAGGAGUUCUAUAAAUAGAACCCUAGUGCAAUAGUUUGCGGUUACGUAUUCUUUGCAGAAACCCUAGUUCUCUGACUUCCGUCUUCUUGGCUAGCACCGAGGUUUUGGAGGAGCACUGUUCGUGUGGACUUGAUAGAGGCUCUGCUGUUUGCUUGGCUGUGAUCGUGAUUCCGGUUCGCAGAUUCCACCGAUCGUUUCAGACUAAUCGUUCAAGGUAACAAUCGAAUCACUGGUUCAAGUUCCAAUUCGUAAUGAUCCAAGGAAAGUAAAUCGAAAUUUUAUUCUGCUGCUUAUUCUGUAUAUGUCGAUUUACCUUCAGAAUUGCAGUGAGAUUUCCGGAUAGCCUUUGGGUCAAUUCCCCAACACCCAAAAAGGAUGCAAGCUCCUCUUGAACAAAAGAUCCGAGGUUUUGAAUUACGGUUCUAAGUAAAACAUCAGCCAUUUGCAGUACGUAAUAGAAACGAAUCAAUGUCUCGAUUGGAGAUGACUUUCUCUUGGAAGAUAGCUAUACUAAAUUUGAUGUUUUCAAAGAUAUCUCUUAAUUACUAUCAUAUUAUUGUAGUACUAAAAGAUACUACCAGUUGUUUAGGUACGCGUCAGUGUGGAAAAACCAAAAUUGAGAAUCUUAUUAUAUGUAACAUAAUGUUGGUUUAGAAAAAAAAUUCACACUCAAGUUUCAAAGGUAUGUCUUAAUUAUUGGUAGUUGUUCUUUCCAAAGGUUAGUUCCACUAAACCAUGAUAAUUAGUAUAAUAUAUAUUACUGCAACAACACUACUAAUAGUUAGCAUAUGAUGCUUUGUUUAAUGUCAGUAGAUACCCAAAACAAUUACUCCCACCGUUCCUAAAUACAUGUUGUUUGACCAUGUUUACUAUUCACGUGAUCUACUUUGACAAUAUAUCUUUUUACUGAUAUAUAAAGACAAAUGUUAGUAUAUAAGAUGAUUGAUUUGUCUCAAUGAAUAUUUUUAAAGUAUCAACUUUAGCAAUAAAUGUUAGGUAUGUGUGUAGCGGUUGGCUACAUUUAUUUAGUAACGGAGGAAGUACACUAUUAAAAUAUAGGGUUUCUCAUAAUAAUUUUGAUUUUAUCCGAAAAAGCGUAUCGGAAUGCGAGUGGUUAACCUCUUGAAGGAAAAUUAUCUCCACCACUGCCUUGCCAGUCCUGACAAUGAUAAUUUUUCAAUGGCACAAGUGCGAGUACACAUUCAGGUGGUUCAAUAUUCUAAAAAAGGAAAAUGACGUUUGGAAUUUUAUAUACAAUCAUAGCAGGGUGGUUUGAGUGUUGCUAUCAACUGGUUUUGAACCUAAGUUGCCUAAUUAAAUACCAAAUUAUACUGAUCUUCCUUCAACUUGUUCACUUCACUUCUGGAUACUGCUGCAGCAGGGACCGUGUCGAAUCAAUGCAAUUGCCCUACCACCAAUUAACAAAAUAAAUUAAGUGAACUUGGUUUUAUUCAAAAAAAGUAUAACGUGCAUGCAUUUGUUUAAUUUAUUGCUUUAGAAGUACGUAUAGACGUAAAUGUAAACCCCUUUUUGGAAGUUUCAGUUUAAAAAGUCAACCAAUUCUGCCUCAACUUGGCAAUUCAAACAAGCUUGAAAGCAUUGAAUCGUUCGCAACACUAAAUUCACCGGUCUUUCAGGUGCUUUGAAGUGUUCAAUGUUCAUUAAUUUCUCCCUGUAUGUAUAACUUGUAUGGCGAUUUAACCAGAUGCAUUAUUAGAGAGGAUUAUGGAUGGUUGAGUCGCUAUCAGUUGGAUGGUUGAGCAGUAUUAUUUCUCCCUGUAUUUUUAUCAGUCUUGGUUACAGAUUUUUCCUUUGGGAUCUGCAAAUGACGAACAUUGAUGUUGUGAAAAUCGAGACAACUCAUAAACUAGACUCUUGGAAUUGUACAGUCGAACUCACAUCGGUCAACUCUCUUAGUAUCUGUUAGGCUCUUUGAGACAAGAAAAUAUUGAAAAUAGUAAAUACAGACAUAACAUAUAUAAAUGUAUAAAUAAUUCAACUCAAUUGUAAAUGAAAAAAAACUGAUAUGAGCAAAAUCAUAUUAAGAAAGAAGAAUAGGAACCAAAUGUGAAAUUUGAGAUGAGAAAGGAAAAAAAAGACUGAAAACUCUGCUAAAAAUUUUGAGUUUACUUGAGUUUACCCAGUUCACAUCGAAUCCAGCCGAGUCAGCCUGGUCUGGUCUGUAUUUCCAAGUUGCUCGAAUUUGAAGUUGUUAUCUAAACUCGUGGAAUGCGAUAAAAUACACCAGCAGUAGCUUUCUUUUAUCACUAAUAAUGAAUUGCAUGCAUUGCCUUUAUCUCCAUUUUAAAUAAAAUAAGACAUGCAAAGACAUCAUUACAGAAAAGCCAAAACCCAAGCAGAACACAAGUCCCAUGAGAGGCAAAAUUAUGAACACAAUUAUUGCUCUCUCUAAAGAUAUGAGAAAUUAAUAUUUAUUUCUUUAAUUCAAAUAGUUGACCUACCAACCCGUGAUAUGAGAAAUCUAAAAAUUUAUAUUCUCAGUCAACAACAAACAAAUUCUACCAAAAGCAAUUUCUAUGGAAAUCAUGCCUACAAAAACGAUCGCUUCCAUUUACAGUAAGAUCCCAAGUGAUGAACAACUCAUUUUGAGACACAAGAAUCCUUCUUCCAUUUGUUCUUUCAACCAAAAACAUAUGGAGUCAAUGGAUGAUGUUUGGUUUGCCUCUGAUAGAGGUUUCCCCCCUCAACGUAAACAUCAUAAAUGUCAUUUGGUCAAGCUGAGAUACUUUGAUAAUAAGGUGAUUCCCUGGCAGUCAGCAGUAAACAUGGUCAUUGCUAACAAAAAAAGAAGUUUGCUUGCAACUCAAUCUCAAAAUCUAGUAUUCUUAGAAAAAUUAUUGGUAAGGGAAAUAAAAAACAAAAUUGGGAAACUUUUCAUGUGAUACAUCAUCAUGUCCGUGCUUAGAAAAAUUAUUCACUGUGAAAAGUGUGGGUUAAUUAUUGGUAAUAAUUGUUAAAUUGACUUAAAUAUCAUUCUAAAAGAUAGCAUAAAAAGUGAGAAUGUUCAAACACAUUUAUACAUUAAUAUACAUGAGAAUCUUAACAAUGUGAGACUACAAAGAACUUCAAUAAUAAUGUAAUGGGUUAAUUGUUUAAAGAAAUUUUGUAGGUGUUCAACGGUGUUUUUGUUAAAUAAGAGUGGUUGGUUUUGGUUAUUACAAGCAGAAUCAAACAAGAAAGUCUAGGACACGUUGUGCAAAGUUUUUCUAGAAAUUGAGUAAACGUUCAUCAAAUUCAUAGGUGCUUUAUAAACAAGACGAAUCCGUGUGGUGUCUUUCGACAGAAAAGAGUAAAAAAGAAGUAAAAGAAAGUGAAGUAAAAAGGCUUUUAAAGUUAAAAAUGCAGAAACUUAAGGAAAAGGUAAAUUGCAUUGCAUUAAAAUAAAAAUGGUUCGACAAAUCAGAUUACAUACAUAUUGUAUGACUCUUUUCUCUAGACACCGAUACUUCGAGUGCUUAGAAUUUCUUUAAGUGAUUUGCGACUUAUUUUCCAUAUGGAAAACUACUAUUUAUACAUAGUAAACACGACCGAAAAAGGCUAAUUGCCGCGAUCAACACUUCCUCCAUCGAAAACCGCUUGUCCCCCACGUCUUUCACUAAGGAAACCGUUGCUUUUUGAAUUCAAACUCCUUCUCUUCGAUAGUAACUCCUUGGCUUCGACCAAAUUACAUCCUGACUCACGUCUUGUCGAACUUCGAAGCUUUUGGAAUCUUCCAAAGUCUAAGUCUAGACUCUGUUGAAAUCCCCAUGUUGAAAAUAAAGACUUUGAUUCCUGAAAAGUCCAAGCUCAACAAAUAUUGAUUGCAUUAAUUGAGCCUGUCGAAAAUGCAGGCUAUAAGUAAGAUAUGCGAAGUCUGAAAAAUUACUCUGUAAAAUAAAAAGCACAUAUUCUAAAUCUAUAAUUCGAGAGUUUUAUUAUUUUUUACCUUGUAAUAUACACAAAGUCCAGAAAAACGACCUAGAUGUUGAAUUUUUUUCAUUAUUUUUACAUGCAUGUUUAGGGUGAAAAUAUGUAUUUUCUAUUUUACAAAGUCAUUUUUCAGAUAUUGCGUAUAUUACAGAGUCAAUUAGAACAAUUAUCGCUAAUAUUUUCUUUUUUGAAUUUUGCAAUUAACGCUAAUAUAAAUGAUAGUAAUGUAAUGUGUGAACAGAUGAACAAGUUUCUGAAAUUUUAAUAAUAUGCUUAUAGAUUAAAUUUACAAUUUGAAAACAAUUAUAGCAUAUCUGUUGUGGAAUGUAUUGAAAUUGCAUACCGAUGAACAAGUUUUUGAAAUUUUAAUAAUAUGCUUAUAGAUUAUGAAUAAAAAUUUGUACCAAAAAAAAAUGAUUAUAAAUAAAAAUUAUAGCAGACCUAUCUAAUAUUAUACCUAUCUAAUAAGAUUAAAAAUUCAAACAUAAAUGUCAUUUUUAUUCAUCAUUUUGAUCUUCAAAUUGUUCUUAAAUAGAAAAUUUAGUGUUCGAAUAUACUCCAACAAUUACCAACAUAAAAAACAGCUGAAAUAUCUCUUAUAAAAAAAAAGAAAGAAACAAAAAAAAAAAACAGAAGAAAUAUUUUGAAAAGGACAAAGCCAACGCCUCAUACAUGAGGAUGAAAAUGGUAUCUCCCCCCUCUCUCUCUAUAUAUAUAUAUAGAUACACACAAUACCAUAACAACCAAAAAUCCCAUCGAAAAUGUUAAACAUUUUCCACUAAACAGAGAAUCUUUAUUAUAAAAAAAUAAAUAAACAAACAAAUAAAUACCAUUACGGUGCUUAAUAAUUGUCAAUCAUCUGCUCAAAUUCAUGCGGGAACAUAUAAGAUUGAGGAGGGUGCAAGAAUUGCUUCCAUGUUGAUAUAAUAUUCUCUGCAGACAUUGUUUAAUAUAAGUCUAAAAUAAAAUCAUAUUUGAUACUAUAGUAAAACAAAAGAGAAAGGAAUGAAAUAUUUGAUUCGUUCAAUUAAAUUACCACAAAUUGUUGGUUCUGCAUCAGAUUGCAAUUUGAAAUUCAAUUCAAAUUCAGGAACGUGAGCUAUCUUAUGCCAAUCUUCACCUUUUCCUCUCUUGCAUCUCAUCUCCAACAAAGGGCAAUAAUCAAUACUUAACUCUUGCAAGUUUCGGAGUUGCUGAAAGUUGUCUGGUAGUGAACUUAACUUUGGAAAUCCCGAAAUGCCUAAUCUCCGAAGAGAAGUGAUGGCACCCAAACUAUCCGGCAAGGAUGUUAGAGAAGGGAAAUUAGUCAGAGACAAAAUUUGUAGUGAGGGGAUGCCUUCUAAGCCUUCUAAUAUUUUUUCAUCACCCCCGUAGACAUGCAGAACCCAUAGAGAAGUUAGAUCGUUCAUGUUAUGUGGAAAAACAAACUGUGGACAGUUGAUGAUAUUAAGUGUCUUAAGACAAGUUAGGUGUGAUCUCAUACCGUCAGACAGGGAUUUAAAUCUAGAGCAAGAACGAACAAUCAAAGUUCGAAGAGAACUCAAACCUUGCAACAACUGCUCUGUUAAUGACUCCAUUUCAUCACAGCCUUGAAUUCCAAGAAAUUCUAAGGCACUAAGAGUGCCGAGUUCAGAUGUACUAGGUAAUUCCUUGAGUCUGGCAAAUUU